rnacentral:lncRNA from 1 species
AGUUGGAAACUUUCCCUCUUUGUCUGUAUAUUUUAUUGAACUUGGAAAGAAGUAAAAUGAUUUUGGCCAGAAAAAAGGUAAAAAGAUUUUUCAAACAAAAAACGUAUGAGCAUGCAAAACAACAACCAAAAUAGUGAAAAUGAAAGCUUACCUUUUGCGUGCAAUGAAAGCAAGAGGAAGAUUAUGUUUAAGUUCAGAGACGACGAAGAAGAAGAGAGGAAGACGAUGAGAUACUCUGACAGUGCUCUGACAAGGAAAAAAGUCUAAAAGUUUUCUCUGGGAGAUUGAACUUUUUAAUCGGGUUUGAAAACGGCGCAUGUGUAUGUCAGGUAGACGAAAAGUUGCUUACAUAUAAAACCAUUUCAAAAAAAUAAUACGGCGGUUACAUAUAACUACGACGUAUAAAUUACAAAAUACGACGGUACAUUUAACUUCGGACGUGGUAAAUAAAUACGACAGUAGUGUUGUAGGUACCGUCGUAGUAAACUCAAAAAUUAAAGUACAUAAGUAAUAACUCGCGUCAUGGUAGAUUAUUUAACACGUCGUUUUUAUUAAUUUACCGACGUGGAUUUCUGUAAUAUACGUCGAUAAUACCGACGUUGAUUUUACAAUUUAAACGGCGGUUUUUUUGUAAGGACCGCCGUUGGUUUUAAAAAUUUAUUCUAUAAAUUUGUCGCUUUCAUUCAUUUUCGGUUUACAUUUAAGGUUCCAAGUUCUUCCUCUCUCAGUCUCUCACGUCUCAAAGACAAUAAUUUGGAUGUCUUUCUCAAAGAGAAAUUGAGCUUACUCGCAUCAAAUAUAUGUCCACAAGAAGAAGCUUGUCAACUAGCCUUCUCACUUCCUUGAUCAAGCCUGAUAGGACACUUAGUGCUUCUGAAUACUCCUUGCUUUCCAUCAAAAGAGAUGCAAGCCUGGCCUCCACUCGCUGUCGAAGGAAAGUUCGCUUCUCAGGGAAAUCUUCUUGAUUUUCUUGGCUAAGAAGAUCCGUCAGAUUUGUGAUAGCCUCUUCCUUUAUCCGUAGAGCUUCAGAAGAAGAAGAUGGGUUUCAAGAAUGCGAUAAAGAAUAGAAAUGGCUUCAGAUGGCCUCUAAAGCAUGAGCAAUCGAAUCAGUAGUUGUUGGGAGAUAUGAUGAAGACAUUGUCAAUGCUUUGAACUAUACAAGUCCUGCAGAAAGAUAAAGGACCAAACUGUUAAAGAAACUGAAACAAUGGCGGUUUUCUGUUCUACCGUCGUCUUUUCUCGUCGUCUAUAUUAAGGUAAGAUGGCGGUAGAUUUAUAAUUACCGACGUAGAUUAUUUUGUUAAACGUCGUUAAGUGUACUACAACCGACGUGGAUUUUAUUUUUAAAUUAUAAAUAGAGUUUUUUUUCCCCUAUUCUUUCAGUUUUAGUUUUCAAUUACAAAGCGUGAUAAAUAGAUUUUUCUUUCCCGAGGAAAUUUAAAAUGAGGGAAAUUAAUGUUCUAGAAUUUGUAAACUAACACGACGCAAUAUUUGCAAAUCUGUGUCAUCUGUUAAGAUUAUGAUGUGGAACAGAGUUCCAUCUGGUAAGAUUUCGUAACCCUUGGGAUCUCAGACAAAUCUGAUUAUGUCGGCGGUUUUCUAUAUAAAUCGUCGUGGUUAUUUCAAUUCUUGUCAUUAAGUAGAUCUACCGACGUAGGAUAAGAAAAUCAAAGAAAAAAAUUGUUAACAAAAAUUCUUAUUAAGACGACGGUUAAAAUUAAAGGUACGACGUAUAAAAUGAAUAAAUACGACGUUAAAUUUUAUUGUACGAUUUAAAGAUAACGUCGUAGAACUAUAAGAGAAUGACGUCGAUAUAUUUAUAUUUUCCGUCGUUGUACAUUAAUUUAAUACGGCGAUAUUUUGUAUUUUAAAGCCGUGGAUUUGUUUGUAAUUAUACGGCGUCUUAUACGAAAACCUCGUCGUGUUAUUUUAUGAGUAAAAACGGCAGUUUUUAUUGAAAUCGUCGUCUUUACUUUCUACGUCGGUCGAUUCAUAACUUCUGCCGUUCUUUGUUGGCAUUGAUUUUACACUGCGAAAAUCUGUUUCAAAUAGACGUCGGUUGUUUAAUUAUGUACGUUGUUGUUUUUGAACAGCCAUUUGAAUCUCCAUUUUUUAGUUGUCUAAGGUUGUAUUACACGACGGUGUUUUUAGAACCGUCGUCUUUUUAAAAACCACGACGGUUUUCACUUAGACCGUCGUUGUUUUCUGGUCGUCUUUUUCACUUUUUGUAGUAGUGGCAUAUGAUGACGACACUCACAACAAGAUCAUGGCAUUUGACUCGAGUUGUAUGAUUCUCUCUUAAGUGUAUGUAAAGUGUAUGACAUUUACAUCAAUACGUGUAUUCUUAAUUGAAAUCUACUAUGGCAUUUACUCAAAUUAACAAUCAAGAAUCCAUUAAGAUCAAAGAGAAUAUGAGUGUCACAAAAACCCUAAAACAUGGCAUUUGUUAUUAGGAAUUCAAGAAUCGAUUUCUCAUAACUAGUUCUUAACCCAAUUAUUCGUUGCAAAUAAGAACACAUUCAAUAUGGCAAUUGACCUAUGUUCUACAACAAUUUAAUUCCAAUACAUGCUUCUAAGUUAGCUACUCAAAGAAACAAAAUAUCAGAAUUCACAUAACAUAUAGAAACCGAAAACAUCACGCUUGUAGAAACUAAAAAUCCAUUAACCUUGUUUAUAAAAUUGAAAUCAUGUUUAGGGCUUCAAGAUUAAGCCCUAACUAACAAGAAAUUAGUUACUCAUGGUCUUGGAUGAACUCAAAAAUAAAUACAUAAGAACUGAAAAUUAAAGAAGGAAGGAAAAGAAAGAACUCGUUCGCAGCUUUCUCCUCUUGCGCUGUUGAUCUCUUUAGGACGUGAAUCCUUUUUAUCAGCCUUGCCUCGUCUUUUAUAUCACUUAUAUCAGAGUUCUAAACCCUAAAAUUGACUGAAAAGUCGUCCAAGAAGUCUUGGUAAACAAGGAAUCCAAAUAGGAAAGUAAAAAUCACAAUUCCUAACUCCACUGGGAAAUACAGCUCAGCCCAAUGUUCACACGAUUUUGGGAUCUUCGACCUUGUAGAAAAAUCAUUAAAAAUAUAUUUUAGAAAGAUAAAUGUCUUAUCUUUCCAACCAUAUAUAGCACGUAACUUGAAAAAUUCGGAAAGGCUUCCGUUUCUUCACAUUCACGUAGCAUGUACGAAACUGUCCUGUCUGCACGUGGGCUAACUUUACUUGUAAUACUGUACCAAUUGGCUCGGUAGAAAAUUCUAGAAAAAUCAUAGAUUGAACUUCAAGAUGUUAGCUUUCAUCUCCAAUCAGGGGCGGCCUUGGGGAGGUGCAAGUGGCGCCACCGCACAGGGCCCCCGAAAAAAAAAAUAUUUAUAUUAUAUAUAUAUAUUAAUAUUAUAUGAAUCGUAUAUAUAAUAUAGCGUCUGGAUAUUUGCACAACAGCGUGUUCAGGGGAGUUGGAUGGAGCACAUCUCUCUUUGGCAAAAGGGCCCGAGUUCGAUGCUCCUUGAUGUCGUUCUACUGGCUAGCCUUUUGUGAUAUUAUUUUUGCAUUCAAACUUUACAUAAUUAUUGAACCAUUGGAUUAAUAUGCAACGAUGGGUGACCACAAUCUCUUGGACUCCUGUGGUCCAUGAGAUCGGGACUGAUAUUACAUGACUUAUUUUAUUAAAUUAUUAUCAUGUUGAUGAUUGGUUGUAUGAGAAUAUAGUUUGUAGAAAUAUUUAUCUAUUUCUUGUUGGGGUUUUCUUCCAGGUUAUAGGGUUUUGGAAUUUUUCUUUGUAAUCUAAACAUGCCACCUACUAGAAAAUACGUUUAUGGAUAUACAAAACGGCUUAGAAAAAGAAAAUUCGAGGAAUUGACUCAAUCUCAAAGAGGAGCUCUUGAUAGAUUCAUUGUUAGAGAAUCACAUGCUACAAUUGAUGAAAAUAUUUAAAUUUUUAUGAAUUUAAUUUCUGAUUUUCAUUGCAUAUUUAUUGAUGGUGAAUUUUAGUUAUAAAAAAAAAUUGUUUAUGACAUUAAGUUAUGGCAAAUUUUUAUAGUAUUUUCGUAUUAGAUUAUGCAAGGCCCCAAUUUAAGUUUCGCACAGGGCCCUCAAAAUCUCAGGGACGGCCCUGUCUCCAAUUGGUCUUGUGCUAAAAUUCCUCCGAAAAGUUGAUUUUCCCUUAAAAACCUUCUAAGAGUGCAGAAAAGCUGAAAAUCAGAAAAAUAAAGUAAUAAGCCAUUUUUAAAUCUAAUUCUCUUACAAAACCAAAGUAAAAAGAGUACAUAAAUGAGUAUAUUUAUGGACUUAUCAACGUCUUCUUCGUUGGACUUGGGGUUGUUUUCCUUAUAUGUCCCCUAUAUAUAUAUAUGGCCUUUAGUUGAGCCCACAAAUACCUUCAGUUAGUUUUUGGGUUUAGGGGCCUACAGAACCUGCACUAAACAAUAAAAGAAAAUACCUAAUUAGUUUAGUACGAAUUUAUAAUGAAGGCUUUAUUAGGUGAAGUUUUAUUUCUUAAUCGUUAGAUCAAAUUGGUUAGCAUCUGAAGUCGCCCAAAGAUUUGAGAGGGAUUCCACAAACAUAUAAUAUAAAGAAAGAAAGCAAUAGUAGGAGAUGAACCAGUACAAAAAACAAUAUAUAAAUAGUACAUAAUAAUUCCAUAACCUUGUCACAAACGCACUCACAAAUGCUUUCCAUAAACCUUGCCCUAACAUAUAACAAAUAAAGGCAACAUUGCAUAUGAUGCAACCAUGUCCAAAUCUGAUACGUGAUAAAAAAAAAAGGACAUGGCAGCAACAUAUGACUGAAGUAGAUGGGCUCUUUGCAUCUCGUGUUAUCGUAAUUAAAGACAUCAAAAUAUUAAGGUUGAAAUCUUCUAUAGUAGCAAGCAUUAAAAUAGGUUUGAAGCAGAGUUUAAAGAAAAUUCCAAUUCCACUGAUUUGCCUCUGCUCAAAGACGAGAACCAAAAUGGUUACUUCCCUUGCUGAGUAUAUUUGUUAACGUCGGAAACGGUAAUAGAUGACCAAUCAAACCCAAGUACGACGAGUUUUGCAUAGGAUCAGAAGUAGUUGAAUCCAGCUUGCAUCACACGCUUCUUUGACUCCAUUGCAUUAGAUGAGUUUUUGUAUUUUUGAACAGCUACACUCCGAAGUCGUUUGUGUCUACGCUUCAUGCGCUGCAACUUCGCCCUAUCCAGAUUGGCCUGCCUUUUGUCAUCUUCAAUUUGGCCUUCAACAAAUUCCAAACGUGCCCUUGCCCUUUGGAUUUCAUCACCAAGUUGAAGAUGCCUCUCCUUCCAAAAAGCAAGAACUCUUUCAGACUCAAAACUUCCAACAAAAUGGUCAUUCUAUCUAGGAAUGUGACAUUGCUUGUCUGGUGACUCACCUGCGUUUCAAAGGCGGUCUUUGUUUGGAGGGGUGUUUAUUAUGCUCACAUCAAACUUGGUUAGUAAAUCCAUUCUAUGGGGGGAGUGAGUUUCUGUGGAGGAGAGAGUUUCAGUAGAUGGAGACAGAUUCGGUGGAGGAGUGAGAUUUUUGUGGAGGGAGAAUUUCUAUGAAAUGGGUGAUAGUAAUACCAAUAAAAGGGUUCCCGCCAAAAAGUAUUUGGUUGACAAUGUAUAAAUUAAUUUUUGGUCUGAUACAAUCUAAGUUUAAUCCUAACUAGUUUGGUUAGUUUGGUUGAAUUCACUAACUAGAUGUCACUUCCAUUGAGUUUCUUUCAACCACUAUCAGUGGUGUAAGGAGAGUGUGAGGUUGACAUGCUUGAAAAGCAAAACCUAACACCUCUUUUUUUUAAAAUUGAAAGAAAGUACAUAUGUUGACUACACACAAGCUUUGGUAUGUUGGUCUAUAAAGCUAUGUUCCCUUUCUCAAACGAAAUUGCAUAUGCAAUCCUCGUCCUCCCAAAACAAAUAGAAUUAUUCAAGCAUGUCAACCUCUUCAGGCGCCAACAACACAAUCAAAGAUGACAAAUUGGAGUCGCAGGUUCUAUUUCCACAUUGUACUCGCCGACCCCUUCCAUUUUCAACAUCAUUUGGGAGUGAGGGGGACUCCGAUGAUCCAUUAGAGCUAAUACAUGCAGUCAAUAGCAAGCUGGAUUAUAAUUCCAGACUGAUCAAUUCAUGGCGCGAGAAAUAUGUUGAAGACGAAGCCAUUUUGGCUGAUCUUAACAUUAGAGUGAACAAAGCGUUCUCCCAAAAGAACAAGUACUUGAAGCUGAGUCAUAAAAGGAAGCUGAAAGCUGAGGAGUUAGAUACAGUAAUGAAUGAUGAAAUUAAAGGUUGUUUGAUGAAUCAUAUGCGAUGCGAAGAGCACCACAGUGAACUGGAGUUGGCAUUCAACGAAGGAUUCGAAAAAUUACGAGCAUUUGCAGCAACUACUCAUACAAGUUAUAAUUGGGACUAUGUGUCCCCUGAUGUUGUGAGAGAGAUACUAGACGAUGGUGGUGACAUGAAUGAGCAUAAGCACGUCAAAGCUGCUUGGAAGAAGCCGACCGAUACGACUAAGUGAUUGCGGCUACAGUUGUUCAGUUGGUUGAGAGUGAUCGUGGUAUUGCACAAAUUAGAAGUAUAUUCCCAUAAUGUCAUUAUCUAAUUUAAAAUAACACAAAUAUCAGUUUCAUUUGCUUCAUAUUGUAACACCCCGACCCCAAAUUUCCCCAAAAUUUACCCUCAUUUAAUUAAUUAAUUAUUUAAGGGUAUUUUAGUCAUAUUUUUAACCGGAGAGAGUUUGGGACCAUGACUUGUAUUUUUGGAUAGGUCGUACUGAGACGAGUUCAUAGACACGUAGUGGGCUCGAAUCAGAGUUGUAACGAGAGAGAUAUGGUCAAAAGAAACCCAGUGGCACAAUCGUAAAUAUUUCAAAAUGGGAUUUUUAUAAAAAUCUGGUUUUUCUCUCUCUCUCUCUCUCUCUCUCUCUCUCUCCCGCGACUUCUCUCUCUCUCCCGUCGGCUCUCUCUCUUUCUCUCCUUGUAUCUCCGGCCACCGACCACGGCUGUGGGCGGGGCCGGUACCAAACUGACCGGGACGACGUCCCCUUCCUUCCCCGACCAUUCCCCGCCGGCAACGCGGCCGUUGCUGGCCGGAAAAUGCAGAAAACCGCCGGGAGGUCGUCGAAACUUCAACGCCGUCGAUCUCCCUCCUCCGGCCACCAUUUUCGUCGACCCAGGUAUGGAUCUUGAACCUCUCGAGCUGUUCUAGCUGUUUGUUGGUUGGGUUUUGAUCGAUUCGAUCUCUAGAUCACUCGAUUUUCGAAUUGAAAAUUGGCCGAAACUUCGGCCGCCGUGAUCGGCCAUUUUCGGCCACUUUUUGUGGUAGGUCCAAGAACAAAAGUGGCUCCAAAUAGGGUGUUAUACCUAGGGUAGAAGUUUGGAGCCGAGAUGUUGAGAUUUUCCGGCGAAGCGUUAUCGCUUUGGGCACCCACGCGUGCGGCGGCGCGUGGGCACUGUAGAAAAAGUAGAUGUGUUCCGAUGAGAUCCUUAGGUUGUCACGAGUGCGUAGGAUUUGGCGGAUCUCAAUUCGGACGUCGUUUGACUAUCGAACGGAUAAUCGCAUAUUAUGCGUUAUCCGGGUUCGAUAGGUUGAGACCGUCGGAUGGUCCCAAAUUUAAUAUAUGUUGAUCUAGGUAUUUCUAGGAUCGUGUAGGAUUUCACGGAUCGUGAAUCGGAGCCCCGGAUGUUCCGAAUAAUAAUUUAAAGUUUAUAUUUUAUAUUAACCAUCAGAUUAUGCGAUCGUGAGAAAUCCGACCGUCUGAUCUGAACCAAACUGGCAGGAAAAGUGUCCUGUACCUGGUAGAACCCAUAGGGACCUUCGGAUCGGAAAUUGGAGGUCGUGGGUUCCGCAAGUCUGUUUGACCAGGGUUAGAGUAGUUUGACCCUUGGUUGACCGUGAGUCUCCCGGAGUAAUCUCACCCUUCCAGGGGGAAUUAUCGGGAGCUAGACUAUUGUGGAGGGUUACACAAUAUUAGAAUUAUUUAUAUAAUUAUAUAUGGUUGUACAAGGGUACAACAAAGUCUAGAAUGUCAGUUUGGAGUGCUAUACGCACUACUUUAGGUACCUCCUCGGAUUUUGGAUUCGCUACAAGCACCACCAAGUGAAAGUUAGGUCCCGCGUGGCGUAGGUUAUCCGGCGUUGGGACAGACCCCAUACGUGGCGUUGGUUGUACCGGCGUAUGGGGAGAUUUGCAAUAUGAUGUUCAGGUCUCACGUGGCGUAGGUUAUCCGGCGUUGAGACAGGCCCCGUACGUGGCGUUGGUUGUACCAGCGUACGGGGAGAUUAUGUGAUAUGAUGUUGAGGUCCCGCGUGGCGUAGGUUAUCCGGCGUUGGGACAGGCCCCAUACGUGGCGUUGGUUGUACCGGCGUAUGGGGAGUUAUAUGAUAUGAUAGUAUGGCAUGGUCGCACAUGGCGUAGGUUAUCCGGCGUGUUGACAGGCCCCAUACGUGGCGUUGGUUGUAUCGGCGUAUGGGGAGAAUAUGUGAAAUGCAGAGAAAGGAAAUAAGGUAUCACCGAUGUGUGGAAUUGGGUUUUAGGGAAGAACUACGUGUGGCUUGAUCCCUCAAGGAGGGUACGUAGGCAGCCUAAGGUUAUUGGGUGCAGCCGCAGACUAAAUAUUAGUCAUAUUUGGUAUUUGAAUUGUAUGGUAGUUGUUUGAGAAUUAUUGGAAGGCCAAAGGCCAUUUAUGAGAAUUUGCAUGAAAUUAUAUUGUGCAUGCUGCUAGUUGUGGAUAUUAAAUGUGUUUUUAUGCAGGUUGAAAUUUUGGGAAAUGUCCAAUUUAUAGGGGAGACUCUGCUGAAAUUUCGGCAGGAAGUCUCGGUUUUUAGUAAGUGGGCCUGGCAUCGGGGUGAUGUCAGGAAUUCCAAAGGGUUCGUCUCGGGUUUUGAGAAAAUUCGGGGCGGGUCCUUAAACAUAUAUAAUUAUUGGGACUAUGUAUUGCAAGUCAUCAUGUGUUCCUUCUGUCUAACAUUAUAUUUUGCAAAUAUCAAAAUAUUAUUCAAUAAGCAGUCAAUAUCACAGCAAGUUGGGAAUUAGUAAAGCCCCAUUAUCAUGUCCGUUCACAUUAAAGAGCUGGCGUACUUUUUCUCAAAAAACUGACACGUGAGUCAUAAGUAACAUAACAUGUGCUAUACAUUGUUUAGUGAAUGGUUUAUGGUUUAUUUAUAUAUAAUAAAAUUCCAAAUAUUGCUGAAUAUUUGUUUUUUCUAUAUCCCUGGGAACAUGAGUGACCAUAAGCAUGUAAGACCUGUUAAGAAGAAGCUGACUAAUACGACCGAGUGAUUGUGGCUACCGUUGUUUAGUUGGUUGGGGAGAUCGUGGUAUUGCUAAGAGGGAGCACAUAAUGUGCUUUGCAAUCAAAUUUUCUUUUGUGUGUGGAAUUAUGAGUAGUUCAAAUGUUAGUGUACCCUUUAAUAUUCUUCAACCGUUUGAAAUGUGAUUAGCUGCAAUGUACUUUUUUACACGCUGCUUUCUAAUCACUCUGUUCCAACAAAGUGCUUUAAGUAUCCUUCAGUUACAAAUGUUUACAAAAUCGUGCAUCUAAUAACCAGUCGAGCUCAGAUCUUAAUAACAAGUAAAACACUAGAACAUAACAUUCGGAAAAAGUGGGUGCUGCUGGAAAUCAUUACUGGUAAUGGAAGCAAGAGCUGGCUGCUGGAAAUGCUGCAUUAGCCUGUGAUAUAAUCAAUGAAUCUCUGUUAAAACAUAAUUCACCAUAAACUACCCAUUUUACAUGGUAAAAGUCAUUGCUUCUUCACAUAACUCAAAAUUUGAUACUUUAUCAAAUGUCUAUGAAAAUUUCUAAAUAGGGGAAAGACGUAAAAUUAACAUGUGUCCAAAUUUCAUGCAAGAAUGAAACCAAGCAAAUUUUUAUUUCAAUUAUCAGUGGACAUAGUAAGAACUCAUCGGUGGACAUGAACAAAAAAAUAAUAAUAUUAAAAACUGAAUCUAGAAAACUUCACCUGAUCAUUAGUCUUCAUAACAACCGAAUUUCGUCUAAUAGAAACAUAAAUCAUUCAGUUGGUCCGUGCAUCGUGUCAAAUUCAUAGAAUAAUGGGUCACUACGAUCUAUUGGAGUUGAUUCGUCAUUGUUCGACGGUGAUGUCCUGCAUAGACAUCAAACACAAGCACAGAAAAAAUUUACCUAUUCAAAUUUUAGGUGUUAUUAUAAAUAGUGUUAGCAUCUUACGGUGUGUUCAAAUUUCUUGCGCAUUGUCUUCUAUCAUGACCAAUGUGUCCACACUCCAGACAGUGUCUAAUCCCUCGCUUCAUUGCCUUUUCUUUUGCUCCCGUUACUCGUUUCGACCUUCUUUUGCACCUCACUCUCUUAGGGUCUUUCAUAUAUUGUGUUUGAGAGCUGGACCCUCCAACUUCGUUAUUACUUGGUCCAUCCUUCAACAACUUCAACUUCACCUGCAAACUUUUUAGAGUCUCUGACAGUAGCUCACAUCCUUCUUCACUCAUUAAUGCACCCUCAACCACAUCUUAAGCAAGUCGAGACAUUGUACUCCGCCUUAUUAAAAGACCAGGAUCUGCAGAGUCUUUAAUUUCGUUGCCAUUUGCAUCUGACACCAAUUCAGAUUUUGCAGUUUUCUUCCACCUCUUUAAAAUAUAUUUAUCGGGCAUAUAUUCAAUCUGGUCCCUUCUGAACAAUGCUAGGAUGUGCUUGCAAAUAAUUCCAACAAAUUCAAAUCUUUUGCACCCACACGAUGCGUGGUCAGAAUCUUUAACAUAUACGACGUCUGCCACUCUUGUUUCCCAAUUUUUCCUUUUGCUCACGCGAAAGACAACUUUAGAAGCACCCUCUGUUUUGAGCUCUAGGAAACAUGUUGUACUUUGUAUUAGUUCUUGGUCAAACUUUUGAAACAUUGUCCUUGUGUACAAGGUAGCCAUUUGUUUGUUCAUUGGCAUCGGUAGAAUACAUUGAGCCACUUCAAAUGCAUCUACGUGAUCAGCAACUAACUCUUUUUGACGUUGAUGAGAAAGUGCCCUCUCAAAUCGUAUUAUGAAAUCCAUCAACGAAUUUCUCCUUGAUAUGUAUUGCUUGAAAAAACCAUGAGAACCUUCCACUCUUUGGCUGCUUGACAUUCCAGCGGCAAAAAAUUGUUGUGCGUAGGCUGGAACCCAAGAUUCUCUUAAAUCAAACAUUGAACUUAGCCAUGGAUGGUCAGUCAAACCAGCCUUUGUAACCACAAUAUUCCAUUUUGUAACAAACUUAUCCUUAUUGUCAGUAUCCCAUACGGCUUUCUGAAAUUCACGCCAAUACUCCUUAUAAGCAGAAUGUGGUAACUUAACAGAGAACUUUGAUGUGAUGUGCAAUAUGCAAAGUCGAUGAAAUGUAGUCGGGAAGGGUAUUGAAAUCGCUCUGGUCAUUGCCGCAUCUUGAUCUGUAAUGAUCGUUUUAGGUCCGCCACUUGGCAUGGCUUUCUUAAACUCCUCAAACAUCCAAAUAAACGACUCAGUCGUUUCCUUGCUCAAAAAUGCGCAUGCUUAGACAAUUGUCUGACCAUGGUUAUUAACUCCCAACAUUGGUGCAAAUGUCAAGUCGUAUCGAUUCGUGUUGAAUGUGGUAUCGAAUACAACAACAUCUCCAUAAAACCCGUACGCCCAUCUAGAAGUUGCAUCUGCCCAAAAACAUUGACUAAACCUGUCAUGGCCAUCUCUCUCAAUCUUGAAAUAAAAAGCCUCAUUUUUUUUUUCUGUUCAGCCAUAAAAUACUCGGUCACUAGUUCAACAUCGUGGUUCCUCAACUUCCCAUUCACACUACAUUCAAAAUUGUAGAUAUCUUUUUUGAUAAAACCGAUUUUAUCCAUUCCUCCGGAUUGCACCUCGAAAAUACUUACCUUCUGAUGAAUGAGAAUAUUAACCGAACCCAACUGUUUUGUGAGUACUUUUGUAGAAUCUGAACUAUGACGGUGUGAUCUCAAUAAAUGCAUUCUUUCUGAGGGUGUCAUCUUAUGAUUGUGUCCCUCUGCAAAAAGAGAGAUGGUAUACUUCUUGCUCCCAUUUGUCUUCACAACCACAAUCUUAGCUUUGCAAUUGCAUCUACUUAUUCCCCGCUGUCUUUUUCUCUCCCGAGUUUCAUCUCUCCUGUAUUCACCUUGUUUGCAACAUACAAAUUCUUUCCUCAAAAUCUCUUUCUUAUUUCCCCCCCAAAAGCUGGAAUGAAGUCGAAUACCAAAGCCAGCCAAGAAUGCAUAUCUAUUAUAGAAAUUGUAAACGAGGUCAAGCAAGUCGAACUUCAUCCCAACUGCUGGUGUUUCCUCAUUUCUUACUUCAAGAAUGUAAACCCUCCCAUUAGCUGUUACACAGUCAUCACUCUCUGAGCCCCCAGACAUUUUAUCCACGUAUAUUAUUGAUCCACUUCUAUAUUAUUGCAUAGCAAAUAUUAAUUCAUUAAUAAAUCAUUACUGCAUCACAACAUAUCAAUGCAUUCCACUUACACAAAACAUUGCCCAAAUUGACACAAAACACGCAUAGCCUAACUUGUUGGAUUCCGAUUACACAAAACGCAAGCAAAAUUUAAUAAUAGUUACGUCAUCUCUUGUGAAAUAAUCUAGAAAAAAUAACAUUAGAACCAACAUGUUCAACUAAGAACACAAAUGCAAUUCAAACCAGCAAUCACAUAACUUCACCCAAUAUCCUCUCCAAAUGCUUACUCCUAAUGUCAUUAAGCCUAAGUUUAGGAUCUUUUACCUACAUUUCAUAAUUUUUCACCCCCACCAAAAAUAAUCAACUAAGUAUACUGAAUAUUCAUAAGGAAAUGACGCAUUAUUGAUGCCACAAAUGACGAAUUUCCUACCCUCACAAAAAACAAAUCAAACCCAAUUAAAUCAAUCCAGCAAGAGUGAACUUACCUCUCAAAAUCAAUCGGGAGCUCCGAAGUCAGUAAGCUUGAGAGAAUGUGGUGGACAUUAGAGAAGACUCUUUGGUAUUGGAGACUCCAUCUCUACCAAAAUCGAGGAACGAACUGCUGCUACGGCGUCUAGCUACAGAAAAAGAUAUGCUACUUUACUUUCAUCUGGAAUCUUGUUUGCUGAACGAAAAAGAGAAAGGGUUUUCACUUGAGCCAUAGAAUCAAAACAAGGCAACAUCUAGGUAAGAGCCAUUAAUCGUCAUAUCGAGGAUACCAUAGAUCGCAGGCCUCCCAAGGAGCUGAUGACAAUGGAGCGACUAUAGGGUUUGGGAGCUUUGGAUCCUUCUAAUUGUGGGUUUGCGUUACAUUCAAAAAAAGAGGAGUGUGUUGUUGAGUUUUUCACAUAGAGGGAAAGAGGGAAAGAUCUUCAACUGAAGUUGGGUUUCCAACGGGUCAAAUUUCAACCCGGUUCUACAUGCACCCUCUUUUAAAAACUCACCGUUGGAUUUCAUCCAACGGCUCGUACAUACCCCUCAAAAACACCCCUUAUAACUUUCCACUCACUAUAGAAGCUCUCCCCAGGAAAUGCUUCGAGGUAGAUUUUAUGUUUUGGGCCUUGGGACCCAACUUCACAAAAAGAAAACAAAUUUGACCAAAAAACAAAGUUGAAGGACAUUGAUAUUGUACCUGUAGGAUAGGUUAAAACACUAAAAGGAAGGUAAAUAGUACGUUUACAGAGUUUAAGUGUAAUAAAGGAAUAAAAACAUGCCCAGAGAAUUGAUAAGUGAUAUCAAUUCUUGAAUAUAUAGAACGUAAAAUAAAGGAAUACGUAGAAAAUUAUUUUAUGUGGUAAAACUCAAUCUAUGGGGCCACGGGACUUCUUAGUCCAAAAAAAAUCCAUUGAACGAUGAUUACAAGAAGUACUCACACACUUAUCCUAGACACAUUCUAGAUAAUUUUUACUAACAUCUUUGUAACUCAACUUCUGUCAUAGGAUGAUUUUUUGACACUCCUUAUGUUGAACGCAAUACUGGUCACGAUUUCUUCAAGCUCGCAGGAACUCUCCUUAUAUUGAAUAUGAUACUAGUCACGAUAGAUUCAAGCUCAUCGGAGAAAAACAGCCACAACGGUCUUGGUGCCCUCAAUGGUAUGAGUCACUGAACAUGCAAAUAAAUACAAUAUGAAUGAUAAAAGUGUUUGAUAAAUCACCAAGUUAUGGAACACUUGAUGAUUUAUCUCAAAUAAAAACUCAGCUUUCCAAAGUUUAUGAAUUGAAAAUAUGAUCGUUAAAGCUCUCUAAACAAAGAAGACGAAGAUCUUAUUUUAUAGAAUUUUUCUUUAUAAGAAAGAAAACACAUUGAAAACCAAAUCUCCAAGGCUUGACAGAAAAUCACAAAAGUAUCUUUCCUAUUCUAGAGAUUGGUCACAUGUAGUCCAACCAAUAGGACAUGAGAUAUUUAAGAAAUGAAGAUUUUGAUCAAUAUCAAUAUCAAAUGAAUUCUUAUACGCCUAGUCAACUAUUAAGGGUAUCUUGACUCCUUGAUAUUGUGAUAUGAUUGAAACAUGAUUUCCACGUUAGAAAAUUAAGGGGAUGUUAAAACAUGAAAGUAAUAGGAGAAUCAAAUUGAUUUCGGCCAAAAUUGCCUAAAAAGAAAACACUCCUAAAUAAACUCAAUUCACUUUUAAAAACAGUAAAACGUGAUUGAAUUGUUCUUUAAAACAAUUCCCUAAUAUACAUGCAUGAUAAUGACAUCACUUACCUCUGAAUCAAAUGCCUUUCAUAGGUCAAGCCACAAGUCUGUGUUUUGGGGAUUGCUGAGCUGCAUCAAUCCUGCCAAUGUCAAUGCUGCCCCUAUGCUCUCUCAAAGCACGUUUACAACCUAUGCUAACAUAUACCCUAAACCCUAGUAUCAAGAAAAUGCCAACACUAAUUUCGUAACACGUAGAAAUUGUUAGAGAUUGGAAGUUUUUUUUCUUCAAGUCUCUCCACCACUCACUAAUACAGAUUGCUCAUGUGAUGAGUUUACAAAACCUAUUUCUCUACUCUCACAAAGACUAUACUUCUUCUCAAAAGACUAUAUCACUUUACCUCUAUCUCUGUGAAAUGUAAAAAGUUGAAACUUUAAUGUCAAACCUCGACAAAAGAUGAACUUCCAUAAGUUACGUUGAAUUUGGAUUUGUUGAACUUAAGUGGUUUUACUUUUCUGUCAGUGUUUGAUGACUUAAUUUGGUAUUUACUUCUUCUUUUUUUCCUUGGAAAUGUGUUCCACCAACGUGAGGAAGAAAAAUAUGCACAAAUUAAUAUAUUUAAUAGAAGCCCAAGAUUUCGGAAGCACAUAAUUUCUACAAAAUUCUACAAAGUGUUCUACUUUACAAACUUCAUAUGUCUACCAAUUUUUACUAAAAUUAAUUUAUCUGCAGUGCUCAAAUUCAUCAUAUGUGUGUCCUUAAUUUUAGUGAAAAUUGGAAGUUUCCAUUAUUUUUGUUUUACGGGAAUUUUUUGAACCAAGGAAAAUCAAGUAAAAUUAAUAAAGCAUAAAUUGGAAAGGGAAAAUAUCUAGAGGAUGCAUUGUAGGAUUGCUCAUGCCAAUAAUUGUACCCUCUAAAUAUAUAGGGACAUAUUUUUUUUGCUCAUACCACUUGUUGCAGUACACAUUCACCCGUUUUCAAAGAAAGAAAUUCUACCAAUCGAUAAUGUCUCAAAUUUAAUCACAUAUUUUAUGGACCAUCCAGCUAUGAGGUUUUAUCUCAAAAACCUUCGGUACAUUUCUCCCACAUGCCACAAUUGUAUAUUCACAAUUACGUCUGAUACAUCACAUCAUGCCACUUGCCUCAAAUGAAUUUAAGUGAGUGAGGCAGUUGGAAGUAAUUAAGCUCUAUAUUGGUGGGUGGAGUGUUAGUUCUGGGUACCCCUCAUCAUUCGUCUAUAAAAUGGUGAAGCCAGUUGCUACUGUUACCAUAAGAGCCAGCUCCGACUUUCUUUAAUUUCUUGCUUCAUAUCCACUAGCUACAUCUGUUGCUCUUCUCAGUGUAAGCUCUGCAAUUUGAUUAACUUUCCCAUUAUCUCUCACUGUACUCUAUAUAAAGGAAUAAGUGUCGUCCAUUAAUUCUCUCCGAAAGUGUCGUCCUGAUUUUAAUUAGAGUUCGAAUUAAUGUUGCAGCUAGCAGCGGUUGCACUGGCAAACCAUGCUGCUCAACCGGUACCUCAACUUUACUGGAACUCCGUCCUGCCAAACACACAGAUGCCAAGAUCUAUCAGUGAACUUCUGCAUCCUGGUUUGUGUUUGAGCACUUUAGAAUCUUAGAUAUCUCUUCUACCUGCCAUUUUACUAAAAUAUGUUCAACCACAUAUUUAUCAGUUAACUACUGUCAUUACAUGAGUGACACAUAUUCACAAAUCGGCUGAUCACUUAUUUUCCAUUAUGACGUUGAUAUAUAAUGUUGGGAAUGGAAAGCCAAUUGACCACAAGGGAAAACCUGAAAAUACUGUACUACCACAGCUAGCACGAAGCCCAUUUUCUUACAAGAGUGAUGUGGGGACCAAAUCUCAUGUAUCAUAGCUUAACCCAUAUGCCACAACUAAAAGACGUGGGAUGAUCGAACAGCAUACCCACAUGGUCAUGGAUCUCUUCAGAUAAUCAAUAUUAAACAACCCAUAAACUUCUCCCUUUGAAGAACAAAUUAAAACCAAUUUCUAGAGGAAGGUUACAAAACAUUUUAGCCCGUGAAGAACAAAUCAAGACAAUAUAACCCAUUUGAUAACAAAAUCAAAAUGAGAUUUACCAAUACUAGAUGACCACGGCGCCAGUAUAAUGGUACGACGGCGGCGUUAUUGUAACGGUGGAGAAGUGGAUGGUAUGACGACGGUGUUAGUGUGACGGUGGAGGAAACGAUAUUAUGAAGGAGGCGUUGCUAUGUUCGGUGGAGGAGUCGUGUGUUUCACAGUUCAAUAUAUCCUUUUUAGUCAUUUUAUAUUAGGGUAAAUCAGUAAUUCAAUAAAUAAUUUGAUAGUAUGGUGUACUCAGUUAAUAUUAGGGUUCAUUUAACAGCACUCAAAUUAACUAGUGUAGAGUCUAUCUAUAUUAUUAAUACUAAAAAUAAAUAUAUGACUAAAUAACUCAAAAAAAAAAUAAAUCUACAAUCUUUUUUUUAAAAAAUUUUUUUUAUAGAAUUUUAUUAGAUUAAUAGGCACUACUAAAAAAUCUCCUUAUAAACUACAAAUACACGCAUAACUUAUACUAAUGUGAGCUACUGACACCACCUGCCACAUGACAGUUGUCCAAGCAUAGUGUUGUCAUUCAUUAUUCCCCACAGCAACUAACAUCCAAUAAAGGGUUGGGGCCCACCCAUACUCCACCUCUCUGUAUGUAGCUCUUUGAGAAUACAGAAGAAAUAUUUUUUAGGGAAAUAGCUUAAAAUGAUACCCAUUUCAUAAUUUUAAUUAAAAAUACCACCCCUUUCCAAUUUUUGUACAACUAUCACCUAUAAAUAUAAAAUUAUUGUCCACUUAUUGCUGAUUUUUCACAAGUUCAGAAAUUUUGGAAAGAAGAAGCUCACACAGCUCUCUCUCUCUCUCUCUCUCUCUCUCUCUCUCUCUAGCACAACUCUCUUUCUUUGGUAUCUGUCUAUCACAGCUCUCUGUGUCUCUCUUGGCUCUCUCUAUCUUGGCUCUCUCUCUCUCUAGCACAACUCUCUGUCUCUCUCUUUGCUCUCUUUCUCAUAGCGCAGCUGUUUCUCUCUCUAGCUUCGUUAUGUCUCUUUCUCCCCUAUUCGAUCUCUUGCUUUCUGUUUGGAAUCGCGAACCCCUCCCUUUAGCUAUGUCUUCUGAAUAGCUGCUUGCAACCUUGAAGCUCUAGUGGAUUGCCGACCUCGAAAAGGUAGUGUUGAUGGUUAUUUUCUUAAUAUCAGUGGGAUUAUGUGAAAUGGGUUAUAGUUUGAUUGUUUGGGUUUGUGUUAAAUUCGUUUUGGCUUUAAUUUCUUUGGGUUAGGUUUUGUUGAAUAUUCAUACUCAUUCAUCUGGGUUUGUACCAAUUGCAUUUAGAUUGGUCUGGAUAUGUGAAUCUUGAAACUUGGGAUUUUCUAUUUGAUGUAGUAGAUCUGUAUAGUGUGAUUCUGUUGUGUUCCUCUUAUUUUACAGUCGUAUUGCUGUUAUAUUGUCAUUAUAUUGCUUAUAUAUUGCUGUUAUAUUGUGGUUAUAUUGCUAUUGUAUUGUUUGGUUAUUGUGGUUAUAUUGUGUUAAUGAAAUGUUGUUUUGUCAUGGUCAGAAAUGGAGACAAUUGUUAUUCUCGUGUGCUACAAUGGAAAAUGGGUCACCUCGAAGAAGAUGUGCAAAUACGAAGGGGGUGACUCAAAAGGCUUAAUAGUUCCACGGACCAUCAAAUUUGUUGAACUGUUGGACCGUGUGCAUUAGAUUGGUAAUACAAACAGCAGGGAAGACAAGGUUUGCUUAAAAUUCUCAGUUUUGGUGGCCUCGAAUGAGUGGAAGCACAUAAAUAUUGAGGACGAUGAUGAUAUCAAUUUUUUUAUGAAGUACAAUUCCGAGGUAACACCUUCAAAACUAGCUCCCUUACUCGUGAGUAUAGAAGAUAAAGGAUUGACAAAUGAUGUAGUUCAUAGUAUGCAUAUCACGACAGAUAGUAGUCGGAUGGGUCAUUCUUCAGUUGCCAUUGUUGAAAGCAAUGAAGUAACUUGGAAUAAUACGAAUGUCACUGAUGUGGGAGGUGAAGUAGGGACAGAUUUUGUGGAUAUGAUUGAUUUUAGCGAGGUGUAGGAGAUGCAUGGUGGUGAUAAUAGUACUGAAAGAAAUGAAGUGUCAGUGUACUCUGCCCCUCCUAAUUUGGGCUGCUUCAACAUAGCUGCCCAGUUGCCAAUAAUGCGUUUAGGAGGAGAAUCUGAACCCACUCGUCAACAUUAUUGGAGUCAAAUAGGUGAACAAAAUCGGUACAAUGCAGCCGGUGUAAAUGAUGAAGAAGCAUAUUUGGACAGCGGGUUUUCACGAAGUGAUUGGAAUCCGAAAAUUACAGUUGGGCAAAUUUUCUCUAGUAAGAAAGCAUUGUUGACGGAGUUACGGUUGACGGCAUUAAGAGGCCACUUUGAAUUUAAGGUGCAAUUCUCUUGCACUAAAAGGUUGCUUGUGGUUUGUUGUCAACGUCCAUGCCCAUGGCGGGUCCGAGCAUCGAGAAUUGGAGAAUACAGCUUCAUGAUUGUGAGGUGUACAACUGUCCAUGAAUGUGAUUUGAGGUUCGUAAGUGACAAGCAUCGUCAAGCAACCGCAGCACUUGUAGCCACUUCACUUAAAAGGAAGUGACAUUAUGAGAGAUGUGAAACACAACUUUGGUUGCACCAUCCAUUAUUCGAAAGCUUGGAAAGCAAAGGAGUUAGCUCUAUUGUCCAUUAGAGGAUCAGCGGAGGAGGCAUAUUAUAUCCUUCCAGCUUAUUGCUAUGAAUUGGAGCGUAUGAAUCCCGGCACAAAAACACACAUCCAAACUGAUGAGAACAAUCACUUUGUGUAUUUAUUUAUGGCGGUUGGCGCAUGUAUUAGAGGGUUCCGUUCUUCCAUGCGCCCAGUGAUAGCCGUGGAUGCCACUCAUUUAAAAUCCAAGUACAAGGGUGUUAUGUUUGUAGCAAAUGCAUUCGAUGGUAAUUGAAAUAUAUAUCCUCUUGCUUUUGGGAUCGGGGAUUUGGAGACGGAUGCAUCAUGGCAUUGGUUUUUCACUAAACUUCAUGAAGCCAUUGGUGAGUGUCCCAAUCUUGUUAUUAUUUCUGAUCGCAAUGUUAGCAUAGAGAAUGUGUGGAACAAAAUUUUUCCAACUGCACAACGUGGCAUAUGCUUUUAUCAUAUGAAGGGGAACAUGAAACGCACUUGCUAGUUGAAAAAGCGUGAUCACAUACUUAUGCACUUUGAGCAGGCUGCGAAAUCUUAUUCCAUUGCUGAAUUUGAUUGUCAUUUUUGCAAGAUCAAGCGAAAGGAACAUGUUGCUCAAUAUCUUGAAGAGACAGGGUUACAUAAGUGGUCUAGAGCUCACAUGGAUGGACGCCGCUACAAUGUAAUGACAACAAAUAUUGCAGAGUCAAUCAACUCAGUCCUUAGGUUUGCAAGGAUGCUGCCAGUGGUUCAUUUGAUAGGGGAAAUUGUUAAUCUCCUUGUGAAAUGGUUCACCGAACGUUGUGAGUUGGUUUUGAAUUGCACAACAACAUUGUGCCCCAAUUUUGGAGAGAAGAAGUUGAGGAACAGGUUGGAGGAUGCUGCAAGGAUGAAUGUGGUUAAAGUAAAUAAUGCACAGUUUAAUGUUUUGGACGGUGAUAUGGACGGCCUCGUAGAUUUGGCGAACAGCAGUUGUAGUUGUAGAAAGUUUCAGCUUGAGCAGCUACCUUGCAAGCAUGUAGUUGCAGUUUGCCGCUUCUUGAAAGUAAAUGUAUACGCAAAGGCUUCUCGGUAUUACACUCAGAAAACCUGGAUGAUGCUUAUUCGGAUAGCAUCUACCCGGCACAACCUCACGGAAUGUGGGAUAUUCCUGAAGAUGUUCGAAGUCGAGUUGUGCUGCCUCCCAUGGCAAGGGUCAUGCCAGGCAGACGAAAGAAGAUCAGAAUUCCCUCGCAAGGAGAGGGCACCAUUAGAAGAAAGUGCUCAAGGUGCGGUUCCGCAGGCCACAAUAAAAGCACAUGUAAAAACAAUAUUCCAUUGCGCAAUGUAUCUUAGACAAUAUGAUUUGUGUUGCUUUGGUAGGUCAUGUAAACUCUACUUUUAUUUGUGGUGGGUUUCGUGUUAUGUUGAAUGGGAAUUCUUUUAAAUUUGCAUAAUUUGGGUUGCAUUGCUACAGCAUGCUGUAUUGCUGACAGAUUGCUAUUAUAUUGGACUUUUAUUGUACUGGUAUUGCUUCCAGAUUGCUAUUAUAAUUUGAGUGCGAAAUUAAAGGGACUGGAAUGUAAUUCCAAAUGGAUCCAAAUCAUUAAAGUUCUUAGAAUUCCUAUAUUACACAGUUACUGUGAUACUCCGACUAUACCUUCUUUUAUGAUUACAAAUUCGGCCAAUGCAUAGGCCAGAUGUGGGGCAAAUACAAGGUGAAAUGUCCUAUGUGUUUGACUACAUAUACUUGUUGAAGGAGCAUUACGAAUGCUAACCUCAAUAGAUUGCUCAUGUCUUGCCAAGAACACUCUUGAAUUUAUGCAAUGUGCCCAAGCCAGUCCCAAAGCUGGACUCACCCGUCUGCCUGAUGUGUCCAGGGACUCCAAGUUUCCCAACCUCACCUCAUUCACUUUAUCAUGUGGCCCAAUAAAAUCCACCACUUGGUUGGUGACAACCACCGCCAACCCAAACUUAUUUGCUAAACCCUUCAAUGUCCCAGAUAUGUUGAAAAAUAUUUCAAACCGCCAUUUCAAAUCUGCUGGUGUUGUCUGAUACUGUGAUCGGAACAAUGCAGCAAUGGAAUCAAUGACAAUGAGUUUCACAGGUAGGUGGGUGUGAUCAAUGGCAAUAAAUGCUUCUAUGUCUCCAAGGACAUGGAUGAGUUGUUGAGCAUCAUGAACACCAUGAACAUAUAUGUCUUCCAAUGGCUCCAACCUUAUUAAGUUGGGGUAUGAUGCAUGAUAAAGGUUGCCUAGUUGUUGCAAUCGACGAAAUGGGAAGCUGAAUUCUGUGAAUAUGUAGACGGUGGAGCCCUCUAGUCCGCCAUGUGAGGGUGGGAGCUGAGCUGGUACCGUAAGUUGGAGACAAAGUUGCGUCUUCCCAGAACCACUCUCCCCUACCAAUUCUGUUAUAGAGUUGCAGGGUAUCCCACCCCCCAAGCAGUCAUCUAGUAUUGGGCAUCCAAUGGAUAAUUGAGGGGUUGAAAGAGGAAGGAGCAUGAGGUUUUAGGGUGUCAUAUUUGUGUAAUUUAGGGGGGGAUGUGAUGGUGCUACAAGGCAUGCAUUAUAUAUAUAUAUAUAUGUAGAGUUCAUUUUGAAGGUCUGUAUUGUAGGCCAUAUGUCUUUUAAGGGAUGUAUAAUCCAUCCUUUUUUCAGGUUGUAAUUAAUUUUUUGUUUAUUUAUUAGUAUUUUUUUGGACCAAAUAAUUUAAAAAACAUUAUGAUGCAGUACGUACUGUAAUAGGAUCAUAUUGUAACUCUAUCAUCACUCUAUUGUACUCUUAUUGACAUAAUAUUGCCGUUAUAUGCAUGUUUAUUAUAUAGUUAUUACUGCUAUAUCGCCACUGAACUGGACACCGAUAAACUGUAUACGCACAAAUACAAAAAGAGGCUUCAUCAUUCCAUAAAAUCCUAUUUCCAAACUUACAUAAUACAACAACAGGCCACCCCAUCGUUACAUAAUACAAAAAUACGCCACCUCAUAGUUCCAUUUCCCUACUGUUGACAAAUUCGAAGUUGCAUACUCUUCAAGUGCGGUGACCGCGACGCAUGAAAUUCAUGACCCCGGCCACAGUGAUGUUGGCCUAGUUUCCUGCCGGAUCCACUAUUUUUGCAAACUUACGAAAUAGUUCGAAUCCGCUUUCCACUUCUUCUUGCUUCAACUUGGCCGUUGCUUCUGAUUCCUUGAAUACCAUAAUUGCAGUGGUAGGGGCAAUUUCAAUUUUUGCUUUCAUUGUCUUUAUAUGUAGGAGAUGCAUGCGCGCAUGAUAACGAGAGCGAAUUGUGCGGUUUUUUAUGACACCCCAUCUAGUUUGGCCCUCCACAAUUUUGAAACUAUGUCUGCAUGAAGAUUUUUCCAAAACAUGGUAUUGCCUCGACAUUGCUGCAUGCCAUGGACCAAGUCUGCAGGGAGUGAAUUGGGUGACUUGGCUUGUGUUUCAGUCUUCUCUCCUUCAGUAAUUGAAAGUGUUGGGUGUGGUGUGAGGUUAUGGUCCAUGGUCUUCGAUAUUUAUUGUAGCCUAGUGUACAACUUAAUUGGAAAAAAAGGGGACUAAAUGCGAUGGGAGUGAAAUCAGUGGGGAAGGUAGUGGCUGUAAGCAGGAGUUAAUGUGAUGGAAGUUUUCAUUUCAAACAACUGGGUUGAUUAAUAUAGGCAAGUUUUAAUGACCUGGAGUAACUCAGAGAGUUAUUGGUGGGAGGGAUUAGAGGGAGUAAUUGGCGGGAGGGAUUGGCGGGAGUCUUAGGCGGGAUAGUAUUGGGCGGGAGUUAUUACCCAGUUGACUGUAUGCCUUUUUGUAAUAUAUUUGUAUGUUGGACGUUCCAAACUUGGUAAUUUUCCCAUUAUGUAAUUCAAAUAAGGGAUUUGCCUAUUUGCCUAAUUGACCAACUCAUUCAAAUUGACCAAUAUGGUUAUUGUCUUAUUUCUCAUUUCAGCAAUCUCAAUUCGUUUCCAUUUUUCCAUUCUUCAUAUUUUCCUAUUUUCCAUGUGUCAUCCAAUUUUCCAAUUUUCCAAUUUUUCAUUAUUUUUGCCUAUUUUUUCCUAUUCCCUAUUUUCCUAUUGUGCAAUUUCCCAAGUUUCCUUUUGUUGUAUUUCUAGUUUUCCAAUUUUUCAAUGUUCCCAUUUUCCCAUUAUGUAAUUUAAAAAAAGUUGCCUGCUUUGCCUAAUUCAGAAAGUAAUUAAAAUGGUCCAAUAUGGUAAUUGUCUUAUUUUCCAUUUCCACAAUUUCAAUUCGUUUCCAAUUUUCUUAUUUUCCAUGUGUCCCUAUUUCCUAUUUCCAUUUUUCAAAUUUUAAGUUUUUGUCCAAUUAUCCAAUUAUCUUUUUUCCAAUUGGACUAUUUUCUAAGUUUCCUUUUUUUCCUAUUUCCAAUUUUCCAAUUUUUCAAUUUGCUAACUUUCCUUUUGUUCUAUUUCCAAUUUUGCUAUUUUCCAAGUUGCCUUAUUUCCUAUUUUUCAAUUAUCCAGUUAUCCAAUAUUCCAAUUUUCCAAUUAUCCAAUUUUCAAUUUUCCAAUUUGCGAAUUUGCCUAUUUUCCAAGUGUCCUUUUUUCCUAUUUCCUAUUUCAAAUUUUCCAAUUUUCAUGUUUUCAGAGUUUCCUUUUUUUUUCCUAUUUUCCAAGUUUCCUUUUGUCCAAUUUCAAAUUUUCCAAUUUUCCAAGUUGCUUUAUUUUCCAAUUACCCAAAUUUCCUAUUUUCCAAGUGUCCUUUUUUCCUUUUUCCAAUUUUCCAAUUUUCCAAGUGUCAUGUAAUCCUAUUGCCUAGUUUCCUCUUUCCAAUUUUUCCUUUUUUCCUAUUUCCAAUUUUCAAUUUUCCAAAUUUCCCAAAUUUCCAACUUUCCAUUUUUUCGUAUUUCCGAUUUGCCAAUUUUCCUUUUGUUCUAUUUCCAAUUUUCCAAGUUUCCUUAUUUCCCAUUCUCCAAGUUUUCACUUUUCCUAUUUUUCAAUUUCGCUAUUUUCCAAUUUUCUGUUCUGAAAUUCGCAAUAAAUGCUUAGUUACACAGUCCUAUUUUGGGUUGAAAUCCACAAUUUUCAAUUUCCCAUUAAGGUUUGCUUUUUUGUCGUUUGGAAGCCAAUUUUAUUGUUGUUAAUGUAAUGUUGUACUGUUGUAAAUUACAGCCAAUGAGUUAAUGAUGUAGUUUGCAAUCCCAUCAAUUGAAUGCACCAACUAAAUACCCAAUAUACUUCAUAUAAGUUCGUACAUAUAACUCAACCUUCCUAUACAGAACUGCAACAGAGGCACCUUCUUAACGGGAAAGGUAAUUAGUCUUACUAAAACGCAAAUAUUCUCCACUACAGCUAACCAAUUGUCGUUUACAACUGGAGACUGAAUCUACCUUUAUUUGUUUUGUUGCAGGCAACAGCUGUGAAUUGUCCCCGGCAAUACUUAAAGAUGUCGGAUGUACGCCCUCCAAAUGAGCAUGUCACAGUUACCCGGGGGACCAGCCGUGGCAUGUGCCAUUCCCAUCUCCACCUCGGACUCCCAAUCAUGAUCCCACUUCAUCUGGAAGUGAGGCUGAGAGCAAUGAUCCGCUUGACAAAAUCUCUGCCGUCAAGCACCACCUCCAAUAUAUGUCAAAGGCAACGGAUUGGUGGGAGAGUAAGUGCGAUAUUCAUGGCCAAGUUAUGGGAAACUUGGCCAACAAGUUGAACAAAGCAUACGCUGGAGAGGUGAAGCAAACUCUAAAAGCAAAAAGUCGGAGCAAAGAGUUAGAGUCCUUGAAGUUGAAAUUGGAAGAGAGAAAGAAAAAUGCUGUCGAAAAAUUCACACAAUCUGAAGAAUAUAACCAUGAAAUGGUUGAAUGUUUCAACAACGGCUUUGAAAUGUUCCGAGAUUAUGCUUCGGUCAUCUCACCAGACUACAAUUGGAGUGAAAUUGAUGUAGCUGGUGUUUGGCAGGUGCUGAAUAUGGGUGCUGAGGGAAUGGCUCAUCAUAGCCUCGUGCAUGCAGCAAGGAGAAAGGACAAAGACUUGGAUCUUUUGAUGGACCUGUAGUAACAGUGAGUGCUGCUUCAGUUCAACUCACCUGAGUACAUGGAUCUUUUGUUGCCUUCAUUUUCCCUUCGCAGGCUAGUAUUGUUAAGGUUCGGUGGCGAUUUCUUUUGCAUGUGUAAAAUGUUGUCUGUAAUGUGUAUGUAUUGUAUGUAGAUUGACUUAAUAUUGUAGUUCUAUUGUAUGUAUAUUGCCUUAAUAUUGCCUUUGUAUAGCAUAGAUAGUGUAUGCAUAUUGCCACCGUAUUGGAUGUAUAUUGUAAAACUAUUGGUAUCGUAUUGCCCUUAUAUUGCUCUAAUAUUGCCUCUAUAGUGCACCUAUAUUGACCUAAUAUUGCUCUUAUAUCGUAUGUCAAUGGCAUGUGCUCUAAUAAGUCUCCAGUUCGUUGAAAGUAAUCCUGAAUUCAAAUAUGAUGGACAAGACAAUUGUUAUCCAUCCUUAUAUUACCAUGAAUUGAUUUGGACCUUUCAAAUGAUAGUUGGAGUUGCACAUGGAUUCAUAUUCAAAAGGAAAGUAAUUCUCUCCCUCAAUGAAUUGUCGUUCAAAAGAAGGCAGCUAUCAAAUUUUGGGUACAAAAAGGCAACAUCCACGGUAAAUUAAUUGGGCACAAACCACAUAUUACAAAACCAGGAUGAUUUUUGGCAUGCUUCAAAAGAGAAGGGCCAAAUACAACAGAAAAGAAAAUCCAUUCAAGCUUGUACAAUAGAAUGCACAAUAACCCUUUUACAUGUCCUUCCAACACCAGUGUUUUGCCUACUUUAGAGUCGCAGGAGGAGAGCUUAUUGCCAUUGUGCAAUUCGAGGGGGCAGUCAAUUUGGAAUGGUGGCAUAAACAUGUUUACUCCACGGAUCACCUAUAUGGGACAGAGCUUCCUUCUUCCCUUGUCGUCUGUAGGUUUCAACUUCACACUUUUUAUAUACAUGUAUGAGAACUUGUGGCUAUUUAUUUAUGGCCUUCUAACACUUGUUCUGCCAUUCCAAAGUGGGUUGGAGACUUUUUGAGUUGAAUGACUGGAAAGACUUCAGAUGACAGAAACUAGAGAGUUUGAAGAAAAAGGGUUACCAAGAACAGCAGUCAUGCCCACGACAUAAACUAAACAUGCUAUAAGCUCCACAGUAAUAUUUACUUCAUCUCCAUAAUCAGAAUAUUGGGAAAAAAAUACCACGGAGAAAUACGUGAAAUGAAAAACAACUCGGCAGUUACUGUGAGAUUGUGUACAUAAAACUUGGAACAACCAAACCAAUUAAAGCUAAGCCAUCUCAUACGUAUACCUACAUCAAAUAACAGUGUAUGGUCAUCUUGUUUAGAAUAUUGCAAUCAACACUUGGUUGAGACCGACCUGCAAAAACAACUGGGUUAAGUACAGAUGAAGCCAUUUAUGAAGGGCAGUUCCAGAAUUAAGACCUACGUUAAUUUGUAACUGCCACCGAAUCAGUUCAUAGUGCCAAAUGCAUCUACCAAGCACACAGAUAUGACCAGCCAAAAGAAAAAAAAGCAAAGUAAAAAAGAUAAAAGAGGCAUGCCAUAAAUGGGAACCUCAGCAGAAAUCAUCAGAUAUGCAUACAAGCAGAUUGAGUAACAUCUCACUAAGUAGAGGUCAUGUUGGUAAUCGCAUGUUGUGUUUGCACACAGACAUUUGGUUUUUGCAAACACAACAUGCAAUUGCAUUCCAUGAUGUGUGUGUUGUGUUUGCACACAGACAUUUGGUUUUUGCAAACACAACAUGCAAUUGCAUGAUGUGUGUGUUGUGUUUGCACACAGACAUAUGGUUUUUGCAAACACAACAUGCAAUUGCAUAUUGUGUGUGUUGUGUUUGCACACAGACAUAUGGUUUUUGCAAACACAACAUGCAAUUGCAUAUUGUGUGUGUUGUGUUUGCACACAGACAUUUGGUUUUUACACACACGAUAUGUAACAUUUAGUUUUACCCUUUUAUUCUUAUUUUCUUCGUUCAAACAUGGUGGUGAGAAAAGCACCAAACCAUCCCAUCAUAUAAAGCAAAACUCAUACAAUAUUUUAGAUGCAAAAGUUAUAUAUUUUAUAUAAAUGCAUCAUCCGCAUGGCUUGAAAUUACAAAUUCACGUUCACAUAUUACUUUUCACAAGCGCACAGACUAACAAUAAUAAUAAUCAACCAAGUAGUUGCGACAUUCAUCCUAUUACGUCCAUAUUGAUAAUGUCAGAAGUUUCAUCGAUAAGCCUCAUCAAACUACAAGUUUUUUAAUUUGAAUUAUGAAUUCAGAACUAAAAGCUCAUGAUAUGCAGAAAAUGACAUACAUUGUCCACAAUCGACUUUUCGAUAUAUUUCUGCUCUAGCAAUUUAUCGUCCAAAUUCUGGACUCUCUGUGUCAGGUGCUUCUUUGUGUUCUAUCCAGCAUAAGAAUAUUUAAUAGUGUGAUUUCAAUUGUUUAUACAAAUUCUAUAAGUAAUAUUGAUGAGUGCUGUAAAUCUAUUUGAUAUUGGGAACAAACAUGGUCCCACUAACAGAAACUCAAACAAAACAGGAAUUUUUUUUUAUUUUUUUUGGCAUAGACAGCCGAAAAGAAACUUACAGCAAUAGCCUCUGUCACGCUCUCCAGACGUUUAUGCAAUUUUGAAACAGCAGCAUUCAUACUACGCUUUGUCACAUACAGAAGAUCUGAGAAUUUUAGACCCUAACCAUUUGUGAAGAGCAAAUAUUAGAUUUGCUUAAAGAAGACAACAACUCACAGAACCAAUGGAUGAAAUAAUAUGAACAUAAAUAUAUCAUUUGGAUACCUUCCACCACAUGUAACCAUAACCCAAUGCCCCCAAGGUAGCUGUUGGCAUUAUUAGUGAUGUCAAACCUAUUAAAAAAAUCAAAAAAAAAAAUAUAACCAAGUAUAAAAUGUUUCUAUUGCAUUAUGAAAUACAUACGUGUAAGGAAUUAAUCGUUUUACAACUUAACCAAAAAGUCAAGGCAGGAGCAUGCAUUCAUUGAGUGGUUAUAAGCAAGAGGAAAAAGCACAAAGCAUGCUAAGAAUUCAUUUGAACACAGAAGAGAAAGUAAGCUACCUUGGAAUUUGGCUGUCAUUCCCCUUCAGGACGGCUCUCUGUAGUGACGAGUCUAGUUGUCGGACCUCAGCUGCCAGUCGGCGCACCUAAAACAAAGUAACACAGGAAAAUUGAUAUCCAUUACAAAAAACAAAAAUUGAACACGAGAAAGCAUCCUUCGACACUAAAUUUAUAGCAGUUUUUCCAAUACCUGUGAUGCGAUCGCAUAAAAGUCACCUUCUGAUUGUUCUCCGGUUCCAUUGAACAAAGGCUGCAAACAAAACAGAAAUAGACACAAAUCCAUCAAUUUUUUGAGCAACAAGACACAAGCUCCGAAAUAAAUAAACUAUCUAACUGAUCAAAACCCUAGUUUACCAAAUGCAUUACAAAAUUAAAAACUCAUACAAAAAUAACACCAAAUACAAAUGUUCUGCGAGUUCCACUAGCAAAGCAGAGUACAAAUCAUGAAAAUGGUACCUGAAGUUCACCGAUCAAUUCAGAUAAUUGACCAUUCUUACGCAGGAUGGUGCUCGUAUACCCUGUAGAAAGAGAACAAUCACUCAGAUCAAAUGUAGCUAAAUACACAAGGAAACUAAUCCAGUAUGCAAGAUGAAAGAGGAGUGAUUGGUACCUACUCCAGCGAAGAUCAGCAAACACAGUAUGAGGUUCCAAAUUCAAAUAACAACAUAAUGCUAAGCAGAGAAGUAGAAUUGCUGCCGAAAUUAUUUAAAACGAACUAAGUCAAAACUAAAUGGAGAAAUGUUAACAAAGUUGUAUGCUUCAGUAAGUCCAGUAACAGAUUCCCAAAACCACAGAGACAAAAUGUGAACAAUGGCUACAAAAGCAUCCAUAAAGAGCAACUAUGUUUAUAUAUGGAGGUGUACAAAAUAGUUAACCUUCAAAAUCGAAACAGUGUGUGUGCCAUGUAAGGCAAUUAGCCACUGCUUCUAGACUAUACAAUAUUACACCUCACAAUAAUAACUAAACCAACUAGCUCUAGCAAAAAGGCAGGAUGACCAUAUAAAGUACCCCCAGCAAAGCAUCUACGUCUGCAUCUUCAUAUCAAGGAGUUCCUGACAUAAGUAAUGAGCAAAGUGAAUUCCCAAGUCAUAAGUCCAGAAUGAGGUGAAUUCACGGACAUUAAAACAUUUACCUCAUAAAUAUGCCUCCCCCCUUAAACCCUCAAUUGCAAGCCUCAGCCGGUAAUAUUUGAUCUUCAAAGGGUCAACUUUAUCUACCGAAAUCCCAGCACUGAGAUGCUCGAUGAAUUUGACGGUCAUGAUUCCGCAAGACGUACUGUGAGACCAAUAAGUUGGGAAAUUAGAACUGCAGUUAUGUAAGAUUUGGAUAAACUGCACUAAAUUCACAAAGCUUACCCAUCUCGUUGUUGUGGCACAUCUGCAAUGCUGCAAACUGAGAAUGGCGUAAACGUCAACAUCUUCAGCCCCUUUUGCUUAACCUUUUCAACCUCAGAAUCUUCAUAAAAGUGCAUAUCGUACAGCACUCGUGCCAGCGUAUCGCUAAUAGGGUGCAGAAGUGUAACCAGCUUCGAACAUUUGGUAAAAGCAACAUAUGAGUCAUACACAGUUGCAGUAUGUCAGACGAAAUCAAUUUCGAUUGCAACCCAGUAAGACCCUUUAAGAUUAUAUGGAAUAUAGACCUUCCGGACUUUUGUCCAAGCUUGGCCAUACCCGUGUUGCCACGUACCGCGUACAAAGUAAUGUAUAUUCUGCAGCUUGCUGGGUGGAAGGUCAACGGUGUUUGAAGCAACUGCCUUCUUCGAUCCACGUUUCUUGGCAGUCGGUUUGAACGGAUCUAGAAAUUGCUGCAUAAAUUGAAAUGAAGGCAUAUUAGAAAAUCACAACCGAAAGCAAAUGAAGCAGCGAAUGUAACAUGGUAACAUGUUUACCUGCAAGCAACAAUCUGCUGUUGUCCAGUCAGUUCCAAAUACCAACGGAUGAGAGAGUUGCCUUUUCCAGAUAAGAAAGGUUGCCAUGUCCAGGUGCUGAAAGUUGACACACAUAAUAUCAGCACAAUUUCAUACAACUGUACACUUAAAAAAGGUGAGAAAACAAUUUAAUUAUCGCAAUAAAGUAGAGCUUUGUGUAUUCUUACCCUUGAGCUAAUCCAUUCCGUUUCAUCGAUAAGUCUGUAGAAAAAAUCAGCGCCCACUGAAAAUAAUUCCAGCUGCACCUCCGCACUACAAAAGGCAAACUUGCAAUGGUUACUUUUAUAGUCAUCUCAUAAUUCUGACUUUGUUGAUGACAAAAAUACACAUGUAUAUUAAAGCAAACUCUACGUUUUCUCAUUAGUCUAUGACUACAUACUAGAAUAGGAUGAAGAUUGGAAUUCAAAGGUAAAGAAUCCUAACCUGAUAUCGUUUUUCCAGGCAGUACAAAACUCUAUUACUGCCUUCACAUCUUCAAUGGGCACGGAUUUUGAUGGAUCAAAACAUGGCGGGGUUGCAGUCGCAGCCAACACACUCAUCGUCCUCUUCUUCCUCAAAGGAUCAGUAAAUGGGCUCAACAAUGUCUGCGCCGGGCGCUUCUGUCUGCACCCUUUACCUUCCACUUCUUUUUUUUCCACACUCGAACUACCUUCUUCAUCACCAGCCAUACUAACUGUGGGUAGACUUGGAGGAUUCAUCGGACCUCCCGAUGGCAUACUCUUAGUCACUUUCCAAUCUUCUAACAGAGACAACACUUUUUGGCAGAUUUCGUCACACCCGGCCACAUCUUCCGGGGUAGGCAGCUUCUCGGAUUGUGCCUGCUCAGCUGCUUCAUGCACUUGUAAGUGAGGAACUGAAGCGGCCAUUUCUGCCUCUUCGACUACCAUGGCUGCGGAAGGUUCGGCUCCAUCACCGGGAACUUGUGUUUCCAUUACCGCCGGUUCUGUAGGCGGACUAACAUGGUCAUGUAAUGGCGACAAGUGAUUGUCGCCUCCUUCAUUCAUAUGAGGACUACUGAGGUCCUCAUGUCCUUUCCCACCUUCAUUCACCCCACCAUUUCGUUUUUUCAGCUGCUCUAUCUCCACAUUAAAAUAAUGCUCCAUUAAAGCCAGGGUGUUGCGGAAAUCCUCCACACACUUUUUAUUUUUUUCGAACUCUCUUUCAACUUUCAAUGACUCCUUCCGUACCAUGUCUUCCAACUGAUGCACUCUGUUGCGAAGCGCUCGAUUUGAUAUGGCAACUUUGGCCAAUUCAUCCUUUGUCCUUUGAAAGUCACGCUUCAAAGUGCGUAACUCUCUGGACGCGACUGUACCCUGCAUUCAGUUAUAAUGCAAGUGUUACAAUAUUUUCAAAAUAUAUUGCAACAAUACAGCAGUUAUUUUCCUAUUGUAUUAUGACGUAUAUCUUGGAAAAAAAUGUAAUGCUUGCCUUAGAAGACGACGGAAGGCUAGCAGUUUCGUCAAUGUCCUUAUCUUUUUCUUCUACAGAGGCAGAAGUGCUGGUUUUUUGUUCAGCGUCAUCGCCAAACAACUGAACAAGUUCUUCAGUGUCGUCAACACUGUCACCCCAAGUCCAAUACGGCUGCUGCUUGUCGAUUACAGAUGGCCGGAGAAGUUGCACAUCAACCUGCAAUUUACACAUACAAUAUACAUAUCAGUAAACUUAUUAUAUUAUAUUUUCAUAUGCCUAACAUUAUCAUUAAAAACUUAACUAACCUCACGGUUCUCGAAUACUUGGCUCAUUAGCUCAUAAAAACACGGCGAACUAUUGCUCCUCCAAUGUAGUAAACGAGGGAUGUAGGCAUUAUCUUCGUGCACCACCAAAUGUAGUGCAGCCAACGCUGGAAAAACCUCAUAAGCCCAAAUCUGGUUUGAGGAAUAAAACGUGAGUCACUGUAAACAAAUGAAAUUUAACUUCAACAUGAAUGGAAAUUUGCUCACCUGAAGUGCAUAGGCAAAACCUUUGAGGUGGUACUCUCUUGGUCUACCAGUUGCCGUUGUUUUUGCUUUCUUUUCAGAUUUUUUUGUUUUUGCAGCUUUUUUGGGCACUUUCACUCGCUGGUAAUCUGUACAAAGUGCCCUCAGAAGUGACACAAUUGUCUUGGCAUAACACACAGCACCCCAUGGAUACUUCCCAAACUCUUCAAGGUCUUCCACCAACUUCAAAUAUCGCAUGUCAAUCUGGACAUGUUUUUCACUGCCCAACAGCACAAACACAGCAAAGUAUACAAAUCUGAGCUUCAAUACAUCGUCCGCAUCAACGCAUUUGAGGAAGGCCUUUUCUAAUUCCAAAACAUUGACAGUUUUAUAGUUGCCAAAGUACUUCCUUUUCAAUGAGCAGUUCUCAUUAGUGGGAAUCGGAAUAAAGGGAAGGUUUCCAAACCUUAGCCCUGUCACGAUGCAAAAUUGCUGCGCCGUGAAUUGGAUCACCUUAUUGCCAACGAUGAAUUUGAUCCCGUUGAGUUGGGAAACUGUCUUUGGAUCAGCUUUCCUCAGCAGCAAGCCGUGGACAAUUGGCGAAGUCCACUUGAGGUCCUCAAUCAGUAGGAGAUGCCCAAAACAACUCUCUUCAAACCUUUGUAGCUGUUGUUCACUGAAUUUCUCCUUUAUCGUGCUGAUUGCAGUCUUCGUAUGGGAUAGGGACAAUGCUUUUCCUUGGAACUUUUCUUCCUCUGCAAUCAUCAACUUCAUUUGAGCAACCAUCUUUCCCUGCAUGCCAAUAUUAUAAAAAAAAAUUCAGUCCGUUGCAAUCUAGACAAUAACAAGCAAUAAACAAUCAGCACUUAUCUACAGCCUAUUAUAGGAUAUUAAGUGAAAACAAAAAAACAAAAAAUACAGGGCAUAAACAAAACCCCAGCUAUUUACAACUGACCUACUAAUUCAAUAGCUCAAAGCCACAUCCCAAGACACCCAGUACUCUACCACUCUUGCAUAAUAUAAUAUCUAAAGACACAUCUCAACACACCAGAUAAUCAUGACACAGCUUCAGCUAGAAUGGGAAUGUGCGGUAGCACAAGCCUAAUUGAGAACAAUUCAAGACUAACGAUAGAAAUCUAUCUGACUAGAAAGAGUUUUAAAAAAACAAGAAGACAUCGGGAAAGAAUUGAUUGACUUCAAGGUAUAAUGUAAUGGAACAUCCUAUGAAUUAGUGGCAACCAUAAUAAUGACUCCACUAUGGCCCUCCUUUCAAAUGUAAGAAAAUGAAUGAAAUUGGCACCAUCCCUUCAGUUUUUUCUUAACAAAAUAAGAGAUUUGUAUGUAUUCUCUGCUUUAUCGAUAUCAAAGAUAAAUUAAUAAAUAAACCAUCAAAACUGUAUAAAAUGUUUGUUAGACAUGUACAAUUACAAAAUUAUAAGUUCUCCUCAGAAACAAAGUUCUCUAAGUACGCAAACAAGAAAAGCAAAAGCUUAAAGAGUUAGCUUAUAGCAAAAUCAAUGUCCCCAUUUCUCUAAACCACACCUGCUGGUGGUAGGUUCCCAUCUUCACUCAUUUCCCGCUUUCUUUUAAACAGACAAUGAUCAAGCACAAAAGAGCAAACUUUUAAAUAACUCAUAUUACACCACAAAUAGUUCUAAAGAAAACUUAUUCAUAUCCAAUAUGCAACCCCUAAAGUUAGUAAACAGAGUUAUAAAAAAAUAUGUCAAAUUAACAAGCAUUAUUCUCAAACAAAAAGUAUGAUAUGGUUGGGAGUUUACAAGUUCAAAAUGAUAUACACAGGUUAAUUGUCUUAGACUUUAGAUAUCAUCUUCAACAAAGAAAAUAGAUACCGAUUAGACUUGUAAGAAGGUUAAAUGCAAUGGUCAUAAAGACCCAUAGUAAGCCACCAAAUACCAAUCAAUAACUGCUAUAAAAACCAUAAUAAAACCAUAAUAAACUAAAAAUACAACAGCACUAAAAUGCCAACACAACAUCACUACAUUAGCAAUAUAGUAGCAACAAAACCACAAUACGACAUCAAUAGCAACAGCAAAACAACAGCAGUGCAAGCAUCAGUCCACAAAGAACAAACCCAUUCACUGUUUCAAACAAGGAAUCAUCAUACUAAGAUCAUUUCAGAGAAACCCCAAAACCAAUUUCAGUGAAACCCCUAAACCAAUUUCAGAGAAACCCCUAAACCAAUUUCAGAGAAACCCCUAAACCUUCAACCAAUUUCGAACAAAUCCCUGAACCAAUUUCAUAGAAAUGCAUAAACCCUAAACCAACUUCAAAGAAACCCUAAACUGUAAGAAAAUGACGAUGAACAGUACCUGUUCAAGGUGAACGAUGGAGUUGAGCUUCGAUGAACAAAUUUCGCUCGGAGAGGAAGAGAGAAGAGAGAGUCAGAGCUGAGCGACGAGAGAUUAAGGGCUGAGCGACGAGAGAGUGAGAGCUGAUCGACGAGAGAUGAGAGAGUGAGAGCAAAGUGACGACAGAGUGAAGAGAAAUUGAGAGAAGGAGCCAAGAGAGAGAGCUGAGAGAGAACUUCAGCAAAACUGAUAGAGAACUUCAGCAAAAGUGAUAUGUGUACAAUAAGGGGACAAUAAAUAUAUAUUUAUAGGUUAUAGUUCCAAAUUUUUUUAAAAAGAGUGGUAUUUUCAGUUACAAUUAUAAAAAUGGUGGCAUUUUGAGCUAUUUCCUUAUUUUUUAUUCAACAUGGACGCAGAAACUGUUGCUAAACUGCAAACUUCUUAAAAUAUUUGUCUCACUUUCUCAACCCUAUAUUUGUCUAACUUUCUAGAUCCAUGUACUGAGAUUUAUUAGGGAAAUAUUGUAGAAACUGAUUAUUUUGAAAUAUUAAAUGUGAAAAACUGAACAAAAAUUUGAUGGGUUACAUAUUUCAACUCAUUUCAGCAGCUUAGAUUUUGAAGACCUCGGAAGAGGCCAUGCAGUGAGCCUAGCUAGUGCACUGUUGAUCACUUCAGUGUCUACCGAUCUGUAAUUUUUCCAGAUUGGUUAUAUUUUCCUUUACAUAUUCUUAUAUUAUUCCCAGCUGUAAGUGUUUUACACACUUGUCUAUUAGAAAAGGGGAGACUUAUAAAUAAAUCCAAAAUGGGUACAGUAUUUAUAAAGAAUGACAAAAUUAAAGUGUUUGGGCAAUAAUGCCCUUAUUCAUUUUGAGAUUGCCUAAGGAAUAUUUUUUCUGAUUUUCAGAAGAUGCCAAAGGACCGUUGUUUGAUGAUUGCCGUAAGGAGCUAAGAAAACUUGCUUUGAUAGUUUUGGACAGAUGCAUGCUACUGUUGCUGGGAUGAUCUCUUCACGUGAAAUGAGGAUGAUGAUGCUUCUACACUACACAAUCCAACGAAUUCACAUGUCUAUUUCAGAUACAAGUAUAAACUAACAAGGCUUUAAAAUAUGGGCUGAUGCACUGUUGUUGAUGUUGCUGACACUGUUACUGUGUUGUUGAUACUGUCACUGCGUUGCUGUUGGAAAAAGCACAAGGACUUCACAUGUUGCUUUCGUCUUUUGUGGAGGAGAGAGACCUAGGACUUGCAUGUCUUAGAUAUUUAAGAUAAGGGGCUUUCGUUCCAUUUUGAAAAUACUUUGGGUGUUUUUGAAAGGUGAUUGUUUCUUUUGGGUUUCUCACUAAAUUUCGCUUUAGAAGGGAAAAUAAUAAUAAUAAUGUCAAACAAAGUAGGGUAAAUAUUCAGAUAUGCUCAUAUUAUUAUUCUUCUCCAAUAUUGAGGUAUUUAUACAAGUACAAAGAUGUGUUAACCCUAAAUAAAAUAGGAAAUAUAUCUAAAUUAUAAUAGGCAGUAAAUCUCUAUUACAAUAGGACUAAAUAAUAAUUGGUAAGUAACCAAAAUUCUAAUGAAAUAAGGAAUCAAAAUCCUAACUAAGUAAGGACUCGCCAACACUCCCCCUCAAGUUAGGGCAAACAUAUUUCGCAUGCCUAACUUGACAAGCGAGUCAUAGAACACCAUACUUGAGAAGCACCAAUUGUAGAGAAGGUCUUUUCGUCAACCACGAGUGAAACAAGUGACAAACUAAAGCAAAGUUCGCAGCGGAAACACAAGAGCGAAUCCUAAAAAAUAGGGCACAUAGCAGAACACAAAAAUCCUGGAGCACGACAGUAGAUAAGGCAGAACACAGAAACCCUGUUAGCACGGCAAUAGGUAAGGCAGAAAAAGUCAAGAGCAAAGGCAAGGUCAACAGGCGUGACCACAACGAAAACACACCAGCAAAGACAUGAGCAACAAUAUUAGCACCAUAAUAGACAUGAGCAACAAUACUGGUACCAACAACAGCAAUACAAGGCACUGGCACCAGCAAGAGCAACAAGGCAUGGACAUAACAUGCAUAAUCAAUAGUAAUCAACAUUGUCCCCAACAAGAGUCAUAAUAGGCAUGAGCAAUAACAUUGUCCCCACUAAGAGACUUAACAGGUAUGAGUAACAGUACUGGCACCAGCAAAGGGCAUAGUAGUCAGCAGCAAUAACAAUGACAAAUACUUCUAUUAUUGCAGAGACAACUUCUCUUCACUCCCCAUCUCCCCUUGAAGAGAAGGGGUCAUCGGAACCAUAAGAAAAGUGGCACUUAAGAAACAGAAGUUGACUGACGCUCAAAUGUAGAAGAAUCAGCCAUGGCAAAUAGGUAGCUGAAUUGCAGCGGAAUAGAUGAGCAGCGGUGUCACUCCCCCUCAUAUCUGAUAAUGUAUGAGAGUCGAGAUUUGGAGAAAGCAAUAUCGAAAAAUAAAGUUGCAGAACCCAAAUAAAGUUGCAUCUAUCUCCCCAUCAAAUCCGACACUGGUAAAGGGUCGAGAUUUGAAAGAGGAGAAAUUGAAAUAAUAGUAAAGAGACUCAAACAUGCAGUCUCAUGGCAGAAACAAAUGCAAGAGGGGAAGAUGGUAGCAUACGGUUGUCCCAUGAAGAAAAAACUUCAGAAAAGGAGAAUAGUAAGGGAGGAAACCUAGCAAAUCAUGAACAGAGACAAAGACAAAGAUGCUCAAACUGAGAAGCGGAAAGGCAACUCAAGAGAGCAACCGAAGAAGACAGAGGCCCGCAGAACAGUCAAAGUUAAGGCUCGGCGAGUGGUGACGAUGCUCGCGGAGGAAAGCAACGGCUCGGUGAGCGGUGAUGAGGCUCACGGAGUAAAGAGACUUGUUAUGAAGUUUCAAAGAUAGAGAAGCUGAGACAUCAAGAAAGACCAUCUGGCAUACAAAGAUGAAAAAUAAAAAUUUUGGAACAGUAGCAAAGAAGCAUGUGAAGGCUGGUGCGGUGAAAACACAUAUGAAAGGAUGAACAAAAGAAGAUGACUAUACAAGAUGAAGACCCAUGAUGGGUUAGGAAUGAGGAGUGCCAACGACUCUCAAUUUGGCAGAGGUUAUCGCAGGUUAGGAACCUGGCUCUGAUACCAUGUCAAACAAAGUAGGGUAAAUAUUCAGUUAUGCUCAGAUAUGCUCAUAUUAUUAUUUUUCUCCAAUAUGGAGAUAAUUAUACAAGUACAAAGAUGUGUUAACCCUAAAUAAAAUAGAAAAUAUAUCUAAAUUACAAUUGGAAGUAAAUCUAUAUUACAAUAGGACUAAAUAAUAAUUGGUAAGUAACUAAAAUUCUAAUGAAAUAAGGAACCAAAAUCCUAACUAAGUUAGGACUCGCCAACAAAUAAUAGUACAACUCUUAUUAGCAACAGGUUACAAACUUCUUCUACAACACACCAACAUGAAUCUAGCCCUGAUCCACUCUUUUACAUACUUGAAAACAAAACAAAACACGAAAAACAAAAAACAAGAAACAAGAUAGGGAGAAAAUGGCUACGGAGAGACUUCCUGCUAAUCAGGGGCGGCCCUGGGGUGGUGCAAGUGGCGUCACCGCACAGGGCCCCCGAUUCUUAAGGGCCCCCAAAAAAUAAUUCUUUAUAUUAUAUAUAUAUAUAUUAAUAUUAUAUGAAUCGUAUAUAAAGUAUAGCGUCUGGAUGAUAAAGAGACUCAUUAUCAUUAUCUUAGUCAUAAGAUUCAAAAUGAAUUGAUACUUUUGUUAGCUUCUGAGCUCAAAAGUGCAAUCAUUAAAAAGAUUGAAGAAGCUAAAUAUUUUUCUGUGAUUCUUGAUUGUACUCCAGAUGCUAGAAACCAAGAACAAAUGAGUUUGAUAGUAAGAUGUGUGGAUGUCUCUACUAAUUCAAUAAAGGUUGAAGAAUUCUUUUUGGAAUUUUUGAUUGUGAAUGAUACAACAGGACAAGGACUUUUUGAAGAGUUGCAAACGGUGUUGCAAAAACUUAAGCUUGAUAUUGAUAAUGUGAGAGGACAAGGCUAUGACAAUGGAUCAAAUAUGAGUGGGAAAUAUCAAGGUGUCCAAAGAAAAUUUUUGGAUGUAAAUCCUAGAGCAUUGUACACACCUUGUGGUUGUCAUAGUCUUAAUUUAACACUUUGCGAUAUUGCAAACUCUUGUGGAAAAGCAAAAGAUUUUUUUGGAAUCAUACAACGUAUUUAUACAUUGUUUGCUAAUUCUACAAAGCGGUGGAAGAUAUUGAAAGAUAAUGUUAAACACUUAACUCUGAAAUCAUUGUCAGUUACACGUUGGGAAAGUCGUAUUGAAAGUGUGAGAGCAAUAAGAUUCCAAGCUGCAGAUUUAAGAGAAGCUUUACUUCAGUUAGCAGAAAGUGACGGUGACUCCAAAAUAACAAGUGAAGCUAAUUCUUUGGCAACAUAUGAACUUGGAAAUUUUGAGUUCUUAUUGGGCAUGGUUAUUUGGUAUGAUAUAUUAGGUGGUGUCAAUGUAGUGAGCAAAAACUUACAAUCUGAAGACAUGCUUAUUGAUGUUGCUAUUGAUAAAGUGAAAGGGUUGAUUACUUUUUUUUUGAAAAGUAUAGAGAAAAUGGGUUUACAGAAGCUAUGUGUACUGCUAAAAAAAUUGCUACUGACAUGGGAAUUGACCCGGUGUUUCCUGAGAAGCGAAAAAUUCGUAGAAAAAAACAUUUUGAUGAGAAUACUUGUGAGCUAUCCCAAUCAGUUCCUGAAUCAACUGAAGAAAAGUUUAGAAUUGAUUAUUUCUUGUAUUUAGUGGACCAAGCUAUUGGUUCUUUACGAAGAAGGUUUCGACAAUAUCAAGAGUAUGAGAAUUUUUGGGUUUUUGUUUACUUCAGAGAAGUUAAAUUCAUUGGAUGAUUGCGAUUUGAAGAAUAGUUGCAGUCAUCUGGAAAGCAUUUUGAAAAAUGACAAGUUUUCUGAUGUCGAUGGGGAGGAUUUAUUUGUUGAGUUGAAAGUUUUACAAGAGCUUUUACCAAAAGUAAAUACCACAGCUACUGCAAUAUUAAAUUUCUUGAAAAGAUUAAAUUGUUUUCCAAAUGCAUUCAUUGCAUAUAGAAUCCUAUUGACUAUUCCUGUUACUGUUGCAUCUGCGGAAAGAAGUUUUUCAAAAUUAAAAUUGUUAAAAUCAUACUUGAGAUCAACUAUGUCGCAAGAAAGAUUAAAUGGACUAGCUUUGAUUUCAAUUGAAAGUGAACUUCUUGAAAAACUUGAUUAUGAACAUUUGAUUGAUGAUUUCUCUUCUAAAAAUUCAAGAAGAUCAAUUUUCAGACAUUAGUAUUGUACUAGCUGUGUUUUUUUUUUUCUUCUAGGGUAAAAGCUCUCAUAAUAAUUUUAAUUCUUCAAAUAAGACAGCAAAUACAAUGUGAUGAAUUUUGGAUAAUCAGGUAUGUUUUUGUUGUUGCUUUUGUGUUUAAUGCAAUAUAAUCUAAUUUUUUUAAUGACAUUUGUGUGCAACUACUCUUUGAUUUGUGAUUGCCAAUUUUUUUUUCUUUCUAUUAAACACAGAUUGCUUAUUGGAGGCAGCAAGAGACCUUAUAGGGGCACAAGGAGCUUAUUUUUGUACAAAACAUUUAACUUUAUCAAAUGGAAACAUUUAAAUUUUUAUGAAUUUGAUUUCUGAUUGUCAUUGCAUAUUUAUUGAUGGUGAAUUUUAGUUAUAAAAAAAAAAUUGUUUAUGACAUUAAGUUAUGGCAAAUUUUUAUAGUAUUUUCGUAUUAGAUUAUGCGAGGUCCCAAUUUAAGUUUCGCACAGGGCCCUCAAAAUCUCAGGAACGGCCCUGCUGCUAAUACUUGAUCAAUAACAGAGAUAAUAGAGCACACUGUUUGUAUGACAAUGAGUAUCAGAAGAAUAAUAGCUGCAAAGAGAGAAAUAGCUGCCCAAGGUGUGUUGAAAUACUUUUGUCUCAAAUUUGCCUUCCGUCUGUUCGUGGUCUUCUUGCAGUACUCGUUUAGUUUGCCAGCAAGAUCACCAAAAUAGUAGUUUCCGUGGUUCGGAGCAACUUUACUGCAAAGCUUGUUAAUCAUAAUGGAAACCUUAUUGUUGUCACCUAGCGUGUUUACAACAAUUCCAUUGUCAACAAGCAACUCUACAUCCUUUGGGGUGUUUACAAAUUUAUCCAGGAUGAAAACAUAAUCGCUUAUGUAUUUAUCCACGCAAUGGCCUUGUUCAAAGGCAAUGAGAUUUCUAUGUGUAAGCUGUGUAAUCAUGUAUUUCAAUUUUUGGAAUUUCCAAGGUGUUUUUCUUGAACUGUAUAUCGAAUAAGUUCUUGCUUGAUCCCACGUUAAACUUAACUCCGGCCUGGUGUAGUUUUGUCAUGCUGGGUGUACUUUGGAGCCCUCCAUUUUUUUUUCUUUUGGCAGAUGUAAAGUUCUAAUAAAAUCAACAAAAUGUAAAGGUUUUUUAGGAUCAGGAGGCAUAAAAGACUUACGGAAGGCUGGUGAGUUCUCCAAGUUUUCUAAACGCAGUGCCUGUUGGAAGAACUUGUAAGAGAGUUCAAUUAUUGAAGGCUCCCCAGUCUGAGCACCUGUGAGAUUGUAAAGAUCCUCGAGAAUGAAAAAUGGCAGCUGAUUUACGAGCAUAAGCAUGUCAGGCAAUAUAUUUUGUAGCACCCAUGGUUUUUUAAAUAUCCAAGCAUCAUCAUCCUGCAAUUUUUCUUCCUGAAAUUUUUCUUCGGAUUUAUUCCUCAACAAUAGCUCAAUGACAAAGGCGGCAUCAACUAGAAUGAUAUUCACAAAAGUAGCAAUGUUAAACUUCUUAGGGCUAGUUUGGCGGCGUUGUGCUUUUAAAAAAAUAUGCUUCUGCUGUGCUGUGAAAAUAAUUAGCUGUGAAAAAAAGCUACUAGGCGUUUGGUAAACUGUUUUUGAAAAACUGCUGUGAGUAGUCAAAGUGUUUGGUAAAUUUUUAUCAGAAGUACUUUUAGUGUGUAUAAUGACCAAAAAGGACAUGAUGAUGAAAUUGUUUGUUAUUUUCUUCAUUCUUUUUCUACUUUAAAAAAAAAAAAAACCCAAUUUCACUACAUAAAUUUUUAUUCUUUUUUAAUUCACACCUUUUUAUCAAAAAAUUUAAUCUACAAUUAACAUACAUAUUUUACCAUAAAUUAUAAAUUACUAUUAUAACAAAAGUAAUUCUAAAUAUUGUUAUAUUAAUAUGGGCUUCGGACAUGACAAAAAUACAAAAAUUGUUCAAUUUUAAAAUGCCCCAAUAGAUCACUACAAUAUAAAAGAAGCUAAUUAGAUGCAUUCAUUAAACUUGUAGCGAUGCUAUUUCUUAAUGCAUUCAUUAGCUUCUUUUUUUGGUUUCCAAUGGUUCUCUAACAAUUUUAACUAAAAAAACAACCAUAAUGCUUUGUGAACAAUAAAUUCAAGUCCAAAUCUGCUAUUGCCCACACCAUACAUAUAUACAUAAUUGUUCCUUUCAUAAAACUUGAAGAUUCAAUAGUAAUUACACAGUUUACCAAUCUUGAUUCCAACUAUAUCCAUAAAAUUAAACUAUAAUUAGAAAUAGAGGAGCUACAUGUGAUUACUCAUAAAUGCUUCCCACUCUCAUCAUCAUCAUCAUCAUCAUCUUCCUCCUCUGUACUUUGCCUUUCACAAAUGGACAAGACCAGAUGGUAACGUACACGACAUGGUCCACAUAUAGAUAAAUUUUGGGUUCACUGGAGAACAUAAAAGAGUUUUUACACGAAUACAAAGUUAGUUAAGUAGUGAAUAAAGUAAAACUAUUCUGUACAAUUCUAGCUGAUGCAGUCCAAAAAGAAUAUAUGUCUAAUAACUUAAAUAACAAUAAAGAGAAACAAAAGCCUCAUGAAAAAUGCUAGAGUAAAAGUUACAUAACUGAAUCGAUGGACAGAGAACUCCACAGGCAGAGAAACAGCAACAAAAAUUGUCAAAACAGUAGCAAGACCAUGUUGGAGUCAAGGCCAAAGAUCAUAUUUCCUGUGUAUCUUCUUCCAUUCUGAAUUAUUCUCGUAUUCAAAUACUGUAACUCUAUUUCAAGUGCACCCCAAAAUACUUAUCUAAGGCCAGUACAUAGGACUUCAUAAAGGGUGCGAUAAAAAAUAUUGCCCCUUAAUUGAUAAACAGAACCAAGAUCCCAACAGCACACCAAAACUAUACCAACCACACCUACAUAAUAUGGACAGAAAAUCCUGUUGUUCCGAUCUCUAACCACACCAAUGACAUUCAUUAGGAAAAUACAAAAGAUGGGUACCCUGCAUUUCUAACAUUUAAGAUAAAAUUCACUGCCAGCUAAUCACAAAUUUGAAAAGAUGGCAAGAAAAUUGGCUAAGCUUUAACAAAAACCAGAGCAGUCCUUGCAUAGACCUGACUUUUUGCUCCAAGCUUUAGCAGAUCACUUACUGGUAGAGAGCAGAGAACAUGUAUGUGAAUAUCUGAAGUUGGAAGGGUAAGCCAUCACAAACACCAAGAGAUCUGAUUCUCAUCUCUUGUUACAACAACAAAUCACAAACACCAAUACAUCUGAUUCAGAAUCUCAUAAACAAUGGAGGAACAAACACAUAUUCACACACAUAUAAAUCCCUAAACAGAAAAAAUAAAAAAUAAAAAAAAAACCAUGAAAGUCAUAGGAGAAUCAAAUUGAUUUGGGCCAAAAUUGCCUAAAAAGAAAACACUCCUAAAUAAACUUCAAUUCACUUUUAAAAACAGUAAAACAUGAUUGAAUCAUUCUUUAAAACAAUUCCCUAAUAUACAUGCAUGAUAAUGACAUCAUUUACCCCUGAAUCAAAUGCCUUUCACUGGUCAAGCCACAAGUCUGUGUUUUGGGAAUUGCUGAGCUGCAUCAAUCCUGCCAAUGUAAAUUCUGCCCCUAGGCUCUCUCAAAGUGCGUUUACAACCUAUGCUAACAUAUACUAGAGUUUGUUUUAGUAUCUAGAAAAUGCCAACACUAAUUUCGUAACACGUAGAAAUUGUUACAUAUUGGAAGUUUUUAUCAUUUUUUCUUCCAGUCUCUCCACCACUCACUAAUACAGAUUACUCAUGUGAUGAGUUUACAAAACAUAUUUCUCUACUCCCACAAAGACCAUACUUUUUCUCAAAAGACUAUAUCACUUUAUCUCUAUCUUUGUGAAAUGUAAAAAGUUGAAACUUUAAUGUCAAACCUCGACAAAAGAUGAACAUCCAUCAUCAAUUACAUUGAAUUUGAAUUUGUUGAACUUAAGUAGUUUUACUUCUCUGUCAGCGUUUGAUGACUUGAUUUGUUAUUUACUUCUUCUUUUUUCCUUGGAAAUGUGUUCCAUCAACGUGAGGAAGAAAAAUAUGCACAAAUUAAUAUAUUUAAUAGAAGCAAAAAUUAAUAUUUACAAAAAUAUGCACAAAUCAAGUAAAAUUAAUAAAGCAUAAAUUGGAAAGGGAAAAUAUGUAGAGGAUGCAUUGUAGGAUUGCUCAUGCCAAUAAUUGUACCCUCUAAAUAUAUAGGGACAUAUUUUUUUUUGUUUUCAUGACAUGUGGUCCUAAAAUUAUUGUUCUUAGCGGGCUCUCCACCCCUCUCGACUGAAAACCUAUUGUGUAAAUCUUCAAUCCUGAAUGAUGCACCUAAAACUCAUGUUGCAAUACACAUCCACCCAUUCUCAGGCCAAUUAUUACUCCUAGUGGGCUCUCCACCCCCUCUCAAAUUUAAGUGGUCCAUUAUUAUUAACCGUAUAUUUUAUGGACCAGCCAGCUGUGAGGUUUUAUCUCAAAAACCUUUCUCCCACAUGCCACAAUUUAUGUCUGAUACAUCACAUCAUGCCAGUUGUCUCAAAUGAAUUUAAGUGAGUGAGGCAGUGUUACUUCUGGGUACCCCUCAUUAUUCGUCUAUAAAUUGGUGAAGCCAGUUGCUACUGUUACCAUAAGAGCCAGCUCCGACUUUCAAAAUAAAAAUUCCAACAACGGUCUUAGUGCCUUCAAUUGUAUGAGUCAUUGAACAUGCAAAUGAAUAAAAUAUGAAUGAUAAAAGUGUUUGAUAAAUCACCAAGUUAUAGAACACUUGAUGAUUUAUCUCAAAUAAAAAUUCAGCUUUCUAAAGUUUGUGAAUUGAAAAUAUAAUCGUUAAAGCUCUCUAAACAAAGAAGACGAAAGUCUUAUUUUAUAGAAUUUUUCUUUACAAGAAAGAAAACAUGUUGAAAACCAAAUCUCCAAUUUCCAAGGCUUGACAGAAAAUCAAAAAAAUAUCUUUCCUAUUCUAGAGAUUGGUCACAUGUAGUUCAACCAAUAGGAAAUGAGAUAUUUAAGAAAGCAAGAUUUUGAUCAAUACCAAUAUCAAAUGAAUUCUUAUACGCCUAGUCAACUAUUAAGGGUAUCUUGACUCCUUGAUAUUGUGAUAUGAUUGAAACAUGAUUUCCAUGUUAGAAAAUUAAGGGGAUGUUAAAACAUGAAAGUAAUAGGAGAAUCAAAUUGAUUUGGACUAAAAUUGCCUAAAAAGAAAACACUCUUAAAUAAACUUCAAUUCACUUUUAAAAACAGUAAAACAUGAUUGAAUCAUUUUUUAAAACAAUUCCCUAAUAUACAUGCAUGAUAAUGACAUCACUUACCCCUAAAUCAAAUUGUCACGCCCCGGACCUGGGGGUCAGUGGAAACCCCACGUUCGGUGCGUGAGAAAAUAAAAAGUAAAAUAAAAUAAAAAGAAUGCCGAAACAAGGGUUUAAAAUAAACUUCUCUUAUAAAAAUAACUCCAAAAUCUUACAACUUUACAAGAAAUAAAUAAAGCCCUAUCAUUCUUAUCUAAUUCAGCCUCAACUGGUUUAGUCCUUGUCUUGCCCACUAAUUCAUCUAAAAAAUGAAGAGUGUUGCUAAACGAACCCUAAAAUUAAUUGAGUACACCCUACUACCAAACGAUUUAUUGAAUUUGUCACAUCUCGGGAUCAACUCCGCCGUAGCACGAUAUUGUUCGCUUUGGGCCCUCCCUCUCUGGCUCGCAUGGUUUUGUUUCUGGGAACUCACGAGUAACUUCCCAGUGGGUCACCAAUCCUGGGAUUGCUCUAGCCCACAACUCGCUUAACUUCGGAGUUCCUACGACUCCGAAGCCUGUGAGCUCCCAAAAGGUCUCGUGCUAGAUGGAUGCGGGUGUGCACAUAUAAGGCACAUCACCCCCUCUCCGUUGGUUGAUGUGGGAUCUUAUAGAAUUACUAAUUUAUCCUAAUAUAAAAUGACCAAAGAAGAUAAAAUAAUAUUGGUAUCUAUUGCUUUGAAUCCAUGCCUUCAAACAAAUUGACUUAAUUUUUAACAAACAACACGGAGUCCAGGAGAAGUGUAUUGAUCCAAGUUGAUUUUUGUAUGCGUAAAACUUAAACAAUCAAUAACACAAAGCAGUUCAUGCUGAAAUAUUGGAAACCCACACCCAAAGAGUUCUCCGCUGCGAGGUUGAAGGCAGGAGAGAUGGGUGACAGAUUUUACUUCCACUGCGAAGUUGGAGGCUAGGAGAGUCUGUGACUGCCAUGGUUGAGGGAGAAGAUGCGUUCAAAAUGCCUAUUGAUAUUUUACAUUAUUGGCUUUUUUCAAAAGUGAAAGUUUUUUUAUGGGUAAAACCUAAAUUUACUUUUUCUAUACAAGUUAACAGUGUUUGUGUAUUGUGAAAAGGUGGAGAGACGUGUCAAAAUUUUAGACAAAGGACAGGAGGAGAUAGGGAAUUUGGGGACAGCAGAUCUCAACUCCCUUGAGACCCUAUUCUCUACGCCACCCCUCCCCCUCAACAACCCUAGUCACCAUUUCUCCUUCAACUCCAACGGCAACUCAUUAAAACCCAAUUCUCAAAUGCAACAAUCUAAUCCCAAUCCCAAUUCAGAUGUUUCUAAAAAACCCAUUGUCGUGGUGGAGAACUGCAAUUCCAGGUGGUGGUGGUGGUACCACAUGGGAGAGAGAAAAAAGAAGAAGAAGAAGCAGGAGAGAGAGAGUUUUUUAUUUUAUUAUUAUUUUACUGUAAUUUUUUAAUUUAAAUAAUUAAAAAAAUUAAAAGUUAAAGAGGAUGUACCAUGGGUAUUUUUGGUAGUUAAAUAAGGUGUACUUAGGGUCAGUUUGGCAUUGCUGUGCUGUGAAAAUAAUAGCUGUCAGAUUUGCUGUGAGAGAAAUCAGCUGUGAGAGAAAUCAGUUUGGCGUUUGAUAAAAUUUUUGUUAAAAGUGUGUUGAUAUUGAUUUUAUGCUUAAUCCGAAAAUGAUUGCUGCAUAAUCAUUAAACCCAGCGCCUCUUCGAAACUGAUUCCUAUAUAAUCAGAAAAUGAAAGCACCUCAUUAGCUGCUUUCCUUUAUAGCUUUCUCUCACAGCAAUUUUUAACAAUAAGUGAUUUUCUCACAGUUUACCAAACGGGUUGGGCUUCUCAAAAUUUUUUAAAAAUCACUUAUUACCCCAAAUAAGCAAUACCAAACGGGCACUUAGUUAAUUUUACAUUUUAAUUUAAACAUUAGGGUGUACUCAGUUAAUUUUAGGGUUCGUUCAGCAGCACUCAAAAUUAAACAAGGUGAGGGAUGAGCAAGUAGGGACAUGAGACAUUGCCACAGUAGAUUGAUAUAACUAAAUAUUAUUAUAAACAUAGAAAUAUAUAAGUAUUAUUAUAAUAGGAUUCAUAAUAAUUAAUAUAAAAGUAUAACAACAAUAUUUACAUUUAUGUACCAAGAUAAUUACACAUAUAAAUAUAACCAAUAUAUAUUUUUAUAUAUUUUAAAAUAUAAGUCUUUACGUAAAUGCCUUUCACGGGUCAAGCCACAAGUCUGUGUUUUGGGGAUUGCUGAGCUGCAUCAAUCCUGCCAAUGUCAAUUCUGCCCCUGAGCUCUCUCAAAGCACGUUUAAAACCUAUGCUAACAUAUACUAGAGUUUAUGCUGUAUCUAGAAAAUGCCAACACUAAUUUCGUAACACGUAGAAAUUGUUAGAGAUUGGAAGUUUUUAUCAUUUUUUCUUCCAGUCUCUCCACUACUUAUUAAUACAGAUUACUCAUGUGAUGAGUUUACAAAACCUAUUUCUCUACUCUCGCAAAGACUAAACUUCUUCUCAAAAGACUAGAUCACUUUACCUCUAUCUCUGUGAAAUGUAAAAAGUUGAAACUUUAAUGUCAAACCUCGACAAAGUGUUCUACUUUACAAACUUCUUGUGUCUACCAAUUUGUACUAAAAUUAAUUUCUCUACAGUGCUCAGAUUCAUCAUAUGUGUGUCCUUAAUUUUAGUGGAAAUUGGAAGUUUCCAUAAUUUUUGCUUUAAGUCACUCUUCUGAAGGAAGUUGAGGUUCCACUUCAUAAUCCAAAAUGUCAGGUUGACUUAUGGCAAACAAUGUAAAUAUGUAGGAGUACUAUGACCUUUUAUAGCAUUUUUAGUUUGAAUUUGGGUUUUAUACAUAGAUUUCAAAAUUAAUAGGUUGAUGCCUAGGAAAUAGAAAUUGUAAGGGCCUAUAUUAGAGUAGCCCUCUUAAAAAUAAUAUUAAUUAAUGAAUAUUUGUUCUUCUUGUUGUUUUGAAGUAGUGGUGGGAGGCAGACCAACAAAAAAAAAAUAUAGUGAAGGCUUAUAAGAGCAUUUACAAUCAUGCUCCCUAUUUUUUAGUUAAAAUUUAGCUAAAAAUAGAAAAAAAGUUAUUAUAGGAGCUCUUUAUAAAGCUCCUUUAUAAAAUUUGAACUCCAAUCAUACUCCCUAGUUUAGGGAGUCAAAAAUACUAUAGUUAUUUUUUAAUUCAAUUUGAUUUUGGUUAAUCUCUAUAAAUAUGAAAAAAUAGUUAGCAUUAAUUAAAAGUUUAAACUAUGCAUAAAACAAAGAAACAUUAAAUUAUAGGGAGCCACUAUGAGUCAUUACUCUCUCCUCAGAUUUAGGAGCUCCUAAAGGUCUCCCUAUUUUAUGAGGUGGAUAAGGAGCAUGGUUGGAGUUGUAUUUCUUCAAUUUCCUCCCUAAAAUUUGUCUAAGGAUGUGGUUUAGGGAGCCCAUUGUGAAUGCUCUAACUCUGGUAAAACACGAGUGACAUGGACAACAUAUGUUACGUCGUACUGAAGAUUUUUGGGUUUCUUUAAUUGGUUAAGUAGCAUCCACACAGCUUCCUAAAUCAUCUCCUUAGACAAAUUUUAGGGAGGAAUUGGAAAAGUACAACUCCAACUAUGCUCCCUAUCCACCAACUAAAAUAGGGAGACUUCUAGGAGCUCCUAAAUCUGAUGAGAGAGAAAGGACUCUUAAUGACUCCCUAUAAUUUAAUGUUGCUUUAUAUUAUUUUGUAUACAGACGGGUCAAUUAUAUUAAAUUAAAAAAUAAUUAAAGUAUUUAUGACUCUCUAAACUAGUGAGCAUAAUUGUAGAUCAUCUUAUAUACCUUAAUUUGAAGAUUCUUUAUUUGGGUUUCUUUCAAGACUUAUCACCUUAGCCACGCCACCUACACGUCUGCAAGCUUUCCUAACAAGGAAGGGGAGGCUGCGCAAUACUUAUCACCUUAGCCACACUACACCAAAUUGACGUCUGCAAGCUUUCGUAAUCUAACAAGGAAGGGGAGGCUGCGCAAUACUUAUCACCUUAGCCACACCAACACCACAAGACCAAUAUGUGUAGUCCAGGAGGCUUUCCCAUUUUAAUAUAUAUUAUCAAAUAAAAUAAAAAUCAAUCUAUUAUCAUAUAUAUUAUAAAAUAAAGAUUAUUGCUCCAUCCUCCAUGCACUUGCAUGCCUCUUACAAAGUGUGAAGUAGAUUUUGUGUGCUCCAAGUCAUUGACGAGAGCUGUAACAUGGUUAGCUGGAUUUAUAAGAUCUUUUCUUUUCUGGGAAUUUUCUGAAUCAAGAAAAAUUAAGUAAAAUUAAUAAAGCAUAAAUUAGAAAGGAAAAAUAUCUAGAGGAUGCAUUGUAGGAUUGCACAUGCCAAUAAUUGUAUCCUCUAAAUAUAUAGGGACAUAUUUUUUUGUUUUCAUGACAUGUGGCCCUAAAAUUAUUGUUCCUAGCGGGCUCUCCACCCCCUCUCGAUUGAAAACUAAUUGUGUAAAUCUUCAAUCUUGAAUGAUGCACCUAAAACUCAAGUGUCCCAGGCCAAUUAUUGCUCUCAUACCACUUGUUGUAAUAAACAUCCAUCCAUUCUAAAGGAAAGAUAACCAUCGAUAUUAUCUCAAAUUUAACCACUUAAGUUCAUUAUGAUUAACUAUGUAUCUUAUGGACCAAUCCAAUCAUGAGGUUUUAUACCCAAUUAGAUCGACUAAUACAAAGUUCACACGUGGAUUGAAAAGCGCUAUCAGUAGGGGAGUGUUCGGCACCCUUUACUGCCGAACGCAACACAAGACCCCUUGCAUGCCUUCACUAAGUUGAGCCUAUCUAUUUUUUAGCAUUAACAAUAUAUAUAGAUUGAAAAAAUAAAAUAAAAAUCAAUCUAUUAUCAUAUAAAAUAAAUAUUAUUGCUCCAUCCUCCAUACACUUGCAUGCCCUCUUACAAAGUGUGAAGUAGAUUUUUUGUGCUCCAACUCAUUGACUAGGGCUGAAACAUGGUUAGUUGGAUUUAUAAGAUCUUUUCUUUUCUGGGAAUUUUCUGAAGCACGGAAAAUCAAAUAAAAUUAAUAAAGCAGAAACUGUACCCUUUAAUUAUAUAUGGACGUAUGUUUUUUUGUUUUCAAGUCUUAGAUGACAUGGGGACCUAAAAUUAUUGCUCCUAGUGGACUCUCGACCCCUCUCAAAUUUAAGUGGUCCAUUAUUAUUAACCACAUAUUUUAUGGACCAUGCAGCUGUGAGGUUUUAUCUCAAAAACCUUCGGUACAUUUCUCCCACAUGCCACAAUUGUAUAUUCACAAUUACGGCUGUUACGUCACAUCAUGCCACUUGCCUCACAUGCAACAAGUCUGUGUUUUGGGGAUUGCCGAGCUGCAUCAAUUCUGCCAAUGUCAAUUCUGCCCCUGGACUCUCUCAAAGCACAUUUAAAACCUAUGCGAACAUAUAUUAGAGUUUAUGAUGUAUGUAUCUAGAAAAUGCCAACACUAAUUUCGUAACAUGUAAAAAUUAUUAGAGAUUGGAAGUUUUUAUCAUUUUUUCUUCCAGUCUCUCCACCACUUAUUAAUACAGAUUACUCAUGUGAUGAGUUUACAAAACCUAUUUCUCUACUCUCGCAAAGACUAAACUUCUUCUCAAAAGACUAGAUCACUUUACCUCUAUCUCUGUGAAAUGUAAAAAGUUGAAACUUUAAUGUCAAACCUCGACAAAGUGUUCUACUUUACAAACUUCUUGUGUCUACCAAUUUGUACUAAAAUUAAUUUAUCUACGGUGCUCAGCUUCAUCGUAUGUGUGUCCUUAAUUUUAGUGGAAAUUGGAAGUUUCCAUAAUUUUUGCUUUAAGUCACUCUUCUGAAGGAAGUUGAGGUUCCACUCCAUAAUCCCAAAUGUCAGGUUGACUUAUGGCAAACAAUGUAAAUAUGUAGGAGUACUAUGACCUUUUAUAGCAUUUUUAGUUUGAAUUUGGGUUUUAUACAUAGAUUUCAAAAUUAAUAGGUUGAUGCCUAGGAAAUAGAAAUUGUAAGGGCCUAUAUUAGAGUAGCCCUCUUAAAAAUAAUAUUAAUUAAUGAAUAUUUGUUCUUCUUGUUGUUUUGAAGUAGUGGUGGGAGGCAGACCAACAAAAAAAAUAUAGUGAAGGCUUAUAAGAGCAUUUACAAUCAUGCUCCCUAUUUUUUAGUUAAAAUUUAGCUAAAAAUAGAAAAAAGUUAUUAUAGGAGCUCUUUAUAAAAUUUGAAUUCCAAUCGUACUCCCUAAUUUAGGGAGUCAUAAAUAUUAUAGUUAUUUUUUAAUUCAAUUUGAUUUUGGUUAAUCUCUAUAAAUAAAUAAAAAUAUGAAAAAAUAGUUAGCAUUAAUUAAAAGUUUAAACUAUGCAUAAAACAAAGAAACAUUAAAUUAUAGGGAGCCACUAUGCCAAUAAUUGUAUCCUCUAAAUAUAUAGGGACAUAUUUUUUUUGUUUUCAUGACAUGUGGCCCUAAAAUUAUUGUUCCUAGCGGGCUCUCCAACCCCUCUCGAUUGAAAACCAAUUGUGUAAAUCUUCAAUCUUGAAUGAUGCACCUAAAACUCAAGUGUCCCAGGCCAAUUAUUGCUCUCAUACCACGUGUUGUAAUAAACAUCCAUCCAUUCUAAAGGAAAGAUAACCAUCGAUAUUAUCUCAAAUUUAACCACUUAAGUUCAUUAUGAUUAACUAUGUAUCUUAUGAACCAAUCCAAUCGUGAGGUUUUAUACCCAAUUAGAUCGACCAAUACAAAGUUCACACGUGGAUUGAAAAGCACUAUCAAUAGGGGAGUGUUCGGCACCCUUUACUGCCGAGCGCAACACAAGAUCCCUUGCAUGCCCUCACUAAGUUGAGCCCAACUAUUUUUUAGCAUUAACAAUAUAUAUAGAUUGAAAAAAUAAAAUAAAAAUCAAUCUAUUAUCAUAUAUUUUAUAAAAUACAUAUUAUUGCUCCAUCCUCCAUACACUUGCAUGCCCUCUUACAAAGUGUGAAGUAGAUUUUUUGUGCUCCAACUCAUUGACUAGGGCUGAAACAUGGUUAGUUAGAUUUAUAAGAUCUUUUGUUUUUUGGGAAUUUUCUGAAGCAAGGAAAAUCAAAUAAAAUUAAUAAAGCAGAAACUGUACCCUUUAAUUAUAUAUGGACAUAUGUUUUUUUGUUUUUUUGCUCUCGACCCCUCUCAAAUUUAAGUGGUCCAUUAUUGUUAACCACAUAUUUUAUGGACCAUCCAGCUUCGGUACAUUUCAAAAAGCUUCGGUACAUUUCUCCCACAUGACACAAUUGUAUAUUCACAAUUACUUCUGGGUACCCCUCAUCAGUCGUCUAUAAAAUGGUGAAGCCAGUUGCUACUGUUACCAUAAGAGCCAGCUCCGACUUUCUUUAAUUUCUUGCUACAUCUGUUGCUAAGUUAAUUUCAGUCCUAAUGGGGUUUCAUCUCCCACUCAUCUUUGCUAUUCUCAGUGUAAGCUCUGCAAUUUGAUUAACUUUUCCAUUCUCUCUCAUUGUACUCUAUAUAUAUAAAUGAAAGUUUUGUGUUCCUAUAAUUCUCUCCGAUUUUAUUUAGUACGUACUUAAGUGUCGUCCACUAAUUAAUUACACUUUGUGAGAUUUGAUUUUAAUUAGAGUUCGAAUUAAUGUUGCAGCUAGCAGCGGUUGCACUGGCAAACAAUGCUGCUCAACCAGCACCUCAACUUUACUGGAACUCCGUCCUGCCAAACACACAGAUGCCAAGAUCUAUCAGUGAACUUCUGCAUCCUGGUUUGUGUUCAGCUCUUUAUAAUCUUAGAUAUCUCUUCUACCUGCCAUUUUACUAAAAUAUGUUCGACCACAUAUUUAUCAGCUAACUACUGUGAUUACAAGAAUGACACUUAUUUUCCAAUAUAAUUUGCAGACUCCACAAAUGAAGAAAAGAGCAAACCUGAAAUUUUCCCAUUGCAGGGCAAUAGAGUUUACACUCAAAGCCAUUAUAAAAAACGUCCUCCUCCUCCAUCUGACGAGGGCAAACCUGAAACUUUCCCAUUGGGCAAUAGCCAUUACACUCAAACCCGUUAUAAAAAACGUCCUCCUCCUCCAUCUGACGAGGGCAAACCUGAAAAUUUCCCAUUGGGCAAUAGCCAUUACACUCAAACCCGUUAUAAAAAACGUCCUCCUCCUCCAUCCGACGAGGGCAAACCUGAAAAUUUCCCAUUGGCCAAUAGCUUUUACACUCAAACCCGUUAUAAAAAACGUCCUCCUCCUCCAUCUGACGAGGGCAAACCUGAAAAUUUCCCAUUGGCCAAUAGCUUUUACACUCAAAGCCAUUAUAAAAAACGUCCUCCUCCUCCAUCUGACGAGGGCAAACCUGAAAAUUUCCCAUUGGCACGUUCUCCUCCAUCUGACAGUCAACUAAAGCAUUACAAAGACUUAGCUAUUUUCUUCUUCGAGAAGGACAUGCGCCCGGGCACAACUAUGAAGUUCCAAUUCCCUAGAAAUUCAAACACGGCUACUUUCCUGCCACGCGAAAGUGCUCAAUCGAUCCCCUUCUCCUCUAAGAAACUACCAGAAAUUUUCAACCAUUUUUCAGUGAAGCCAACAUCUGAGGAAGCCAAAACAAUUAAGCAAACAAUCGAAGAGUGUGAAGCUCCAGGCCUUAAGGGAGAGGAAAAAUAUUGCGCCACAUCUUUAGAAUCAAUGGUUGAUUUUAGCACUUCGAAGCUUGGAACAAGAAACGUUGAAGCAAUCUCAACGGAGGUAUUGGAAGAAGGAGCCACCAAGUACAUGCACAACUAUACAACAAUGCCGGGACUGAAGAAGUUGGAAGGUGACAAAGUCGUUGUGUGUCAUAAGGAGAACUAUCCCUAUGCUGUGUUUCUCUGCCAUGCAAUAAAACAAACAGAAGCUUAUGUUCUCUCCCUGAAAGCCGAUGAUGGGAUGAAGGUGAAAGCAGUAACCAUCUGCCAUCUAGACACAUCAGAAUGGGACCCAGAGCAUUUGUCCUUCCAAAUCCUCAACGUUAAGCCCGGAACCACUCCCAUCUGCCAUUUCCUUACCACUGAUGCUAUUGCCUGGGUUCCAAAACACAAAUCUGCAUGAUCAUCACUUAGCACUGUACGUGUAAUAAGCUUGGUCGGGUUGCACCCUAGGCCUGCAUAAUUAUCUCCCUACUUAUUUCUGCCUCUUCAUCAUGCGGUGUAAGAUAUAUGAUGAGAUGAAGUUUUCUCUUGUAACUAUGUAGACUACUUCAACUUGUACUCAUAAUAAAGCACGCUGUUGGGGGGUUCUACUUAAUUUCGUUCUCUCCAAUGUUUGAGUGUUGAAUUGUUACGUUGGAAUAGGCUGCUAAUGCAUGUAGUUAGAGAAGCCUUCAUUUAUAUCAAAGUCCUCAAACUAUCAAGAAUUAAUGUAUCCAGAAACAUAUACCAAGACGCAAAACAACAUAUUUUCCAUUCUCUGUCUGUAACACCAAAGCAAACUUCCUUUAUCACAUCAUUUAAAGGAUCAAAUUCCAGUACUAAUCUAAUCCAUCAUGUAAAGCAUACAAGUGCCUACCUAAAUUUGUCCAUUGGAUAUAUAUGUCACUUUUUAUUUUUUGAUAGAGAUAUAAAUGUUGAAAAAAUUAGAGUACACAACUCUUAUAGACACUACUACGAUUUACUAUUUGCGCGACGGAAGUUUGCGCGACGAACAUUGUUUCGUCGCGCAAAAAGCACUAUUGCGACGAAAAAAAAAUACCGUAGCGCAAACAACAUAACACAAGCGCGACAAACAGUUUCGUCGCGCAAACAAUCUAUGCGCGACCAAUAUUAAUUUCGUCGCGCAAAGGUAGGGGAAAAAAACCCGGUUUUUUUUUUUUGGCGCCAUAAUCUUGCGCGACAACAACAAUCGUCGCGCAUGACAAUAUUGCGCGACAAUUCAAAGAAUUCGUCAGGUAAAGAUGGACAGAAAAUUGUCUCAUUUUUUUGGCGGUAAAAAACUUUGCGCGACGAAAUUUUUCGUCUCAAAAGACAACUUAGCGCGACGGAAAUAUGUACCGUCGCGUAAAAAAACGAGGGAUACUUAUUUUUGGCGCCAAAAUGCAGGGUGGAUAAAAAAAAUUUUGCGCGACGGAAUUACCUUCGUCGCGUAAAGUGUAAUGCCGGUGCUUUCUUGCGCGACGAAAUAAAUAAUUUGCGCGACGUAAUUUAAACCUUGCGCGACGAAAAGUAUUAUUUGCGCGACGAAAUUUUGUGCGACGAAUAAUAUGUUUCGUCGCACAAAAAAGCAGAUGUCGACAGGUAAUUGCGCGACGGAAAUGUUGUUUUGUGCGAUGGAAAAGUGGGUUUUCGCGACGGCAUUUUGCGCGACGGAUAUUGGUGUUCGUCGCGCAAAGUCCUUCUUCUUCAUAUUAGUAUCUGCCAUUGCAGAGGCAGAAUGCAGAAAUUGCAUUCUGCCUCUCUCUCACUCUCCCUGCCGCUGCUCUGCUGUGAAUUCAAUACGUUCAUUGGGUAUGUAUUUUUUGUCGUUAGUUUAAAUGUAUUAAUGUAAAUUCGUAGUAACGCUAUUAAUUUUGUUAUCGUUAGGGAUAUUUGUGAUUAGUGAUUGGUGGAGAACGAUUGAGAAGGUAUGUUAUUGUAAAAGUUUGUUUGUUAUGUUUGUAAUUUUUUUGUGAAGUUAUAUGUAUAUAAUGUUGUGAAAUUGUGCGUGACAUAGCACAAUGUGUUGUGAUGUACGAAGUUAAUUGAAAUUAACUUCGUACUUUUAUUUUUAUGUUUAGUAACACGUAGUUUCCCGUUCGAGAUUAGUUGGAUUUCGUGCAUGGAUGAGUAAUGCAUGACUGCGGUCCAAUUAAUUCUUGAAUUGUCCCAUUAUUUGGACAGUUUGGUAAUGCAUAGUGUUGUCACAUAAUCUUCGGCUACAGGAUUAGGUUUCGAUUGUGGAGAUUUCGGUGUCAUCUCGGUACGUUCUUCGAGUGGUACGUAGGUAUUUAUACCUAUGCCCACUUCAAGAACUGUGUCGAGAUGCUGCCGAAAUUAAUCCACGUCGAAAUCUAAUCUCAUGUAGCCGUAGGUUACGUGACAGGACUAUGCAUUCCCGAAUGGGAUAGGGCCCUUACCGGAGGCAUAAGGUGACAUUAUAACUUCGUAUGAAGUUGUUGUGAUUGUUGUGUCGUGAUUGUGGUUUCAUGAAUUAUGAGCAGAAGGUGGAUACAUAACCCGAAUAGAUGCGCAGACGAAUACUUGGAUGGAAUCGAGGAUUUUAUUGAGUUUGCACAUAGACACAACCCGGGUGCAAGUAGAAUCCGUUGUCCUUGUAGGAGGUGUAACAACACGUUGUGGGAGACAAUUGAAAAUGUUGGAUUUCAUUUAGUAAGGAAUGGAAUGAUUGAAACAUAUAGCAUUUGGAACCUUCACGGCGAACAUGUAGGCCAUGCUUCGUCUUCAAAUGCCCCAAGAGUGGACAAUGUUGAACCUAUUGUGGAUCCUAAUGAUCAAGUCAUGGGUAUUAUACAGGAUGCUUUUCCAUUCGCAUCGACCAACAUCAAUCAGGAAGGGGAAGAUAACGUGCCUACACCAAUAGACAGUGCGGAGUUUGAACAGUAUGAAAAACUGUUAAAAAAUGCCAACCAAGAGUUAUACCCGGGGUACGAGAGCUUUUCCGUUCUCACUUCUAUUGUGGAGCUAAUGCACGGAAAAAUAAAGUAUCGUAUGUCGAACUUGUGUUUCGAUUACUUUUUGGGGGUUUUCAAGAGAAUGCUUCCGACGGAUAAUUAUUUGCCGAAAGACCAGAAACAUGCACAGAAGGUGUUGCAUGGUCUUGGAUUGGGUUAUGAAAAAAUCCACGCUUGCAAAAACAAUUGCAUGUUAUUCUACAAAGAGCAUGAAACGUUGGAUACAUGCCCUAUAUGCAAUGAGUCGAGGUUCAAAAUGACAUCCCAGAAUAGAACGACUAAGAUACCACAAAAAGUCAUGCGUUAUCUGCCCCUUAAACCUGGGUUGCAGCGAUUGUAUAUGUCGACGCAUACUGCCACAGACAUGAGAUGGCAUAAGGAAAAACGGGUAGACGAUGAUGUGAUGCGGCAUCCUGCAGAUGGGGAGGCAUGGAAAGAGUUCGAUCGAACGUUCCCCGAGUUUGCUGCUGAUCCCCGAAAUGUAAGAUUGGGACUUGCCACUGACGGAUUCAAUCCGUAUGGGGUUCUAAACCAACACCACAGCACUUGGCCGAUUUUCGCAUUCCCAUAUAAUUUGCCGCCUUGGAAAUGCAUGAAAAAAGAAUACAUGAUGAUGACUGUUUUGAUAACUGAGGAUCCUGGCAGGUCAAUUGAUGUGUACUUAAGGCCUCUGGUUGAUGAGCUGAAAGAUUUAUGGACAAACGGUGUUCGCACGUACGAUAAAUCAACUGGGAGGAUGUUCACUUUGCGAGCAGCAAUUAUGUGGACUGUGAAUGAUUUUCCAGCAUAUGCAAUGGUUUCUGGGUGGAGCACAAAAGGUUAUAUGGCAUGUCAUGUAUGCAAGGAAGAUGUAACUUCUGGUUGGCACGCGGGAAAAGUUUGUUACCUUGGUCAUCGGAGAUGGUUGCCAUGGGACCACGAGUGGCGAGAAAAAGAUAAAGAGUUCAACGGGAACACAGAGCGUCGCCUCAGACCUGGAGAAUGGUCCGGUGAUGAGAUCUUGGAACAGCUGAACCGUUUGGAUUUUGGUCCGUUCGGAAAAACAAUUAGUCGGACCAGACCUUCUACACAUUUGAACUGGACGCACAAGCCUAUGUUUUUUGAGCUCCCAUAUUGGUCGAAACUGAAAUUGAGGCACAAUCUAGAUGUGAUGCAUGUUGAGAAAAAUGUAUUCGACACAUUGGUGGGCACGAUUCUAGAUAUCGAGGGGAAGACGAAGGACACGAUCAAAGCUCGUCUUGAUUUGGAAAGAAUGGGCAUACGAAGGGGUUUAUGGAUGAAUAGGGACAGUGAUAAAGCUAGAAGGGAUCUUGCAUUCUUUUCUAUGAAACCGAAUGACAAAAAGGAGUUUCUAAAGUUUGUAUCGUCUGUCAAAUUUCCCGAUGGGUAUGCUUCUAAUAUCGCACGUUGCGUGAAUGUCGAUGGGGGUAAAUUUACUGGACUUAAGAGCCAUGACUGCCAUGUUCCUGUGGGUAUUCGACACCUACUGCCGGAAGAUGUGGUGAAGCCAAUCAUGUUGUUAUCCAGAUUUUUUUCCCAACUGACGGCAAAAACAUUGCGAAGGACAGACAUGUUUCAGUUGCGCCAUGACAUUGUCCAAGUCCUAUGCAAGUUUGAGAUGAUAUUUCCUCCGGCUUUCUUUACAAGUAUGAUGCACGUAAUGGUUCACUUGCCAGAAGAGGCAUUGCUUGCUGGUCCUGUCAACUAUCGCUGGAUGUAUCCAAUAGAAAGGUAUAUAAUCUUUAUCAUUUGUGUAUGCAUCAUUAUCGACACUUUGCUAAUUUGUAUCAUAUCGUUUUAUUUUGGCAGGCUUCUCGGAGAGCUGAAAAAAAGUGUACGCAACAGGGCAAAGCCCGAAGGAUUAAUUAUAGAGGCUUGGGUUCAAUAUGAGUCGCUUACUUUCUGUGGAAUGUAUUUAAAAGAUGUGGAGACGGUUUUCAAUCGUCCUCAACGCAAUAAUGACGGAGGUAUGAGAAAUGAAAAACUUUUUGUUUUUGCCCAAAGCGCAUGACCAUUUGGAGAUCCUGGACGAGGAGAGUCGUUUUCUAGAAAUGACAUGGAGGUAGCGCAUUGGUUCGUACUGAACAAUUGUGAUGAGAUAAUGGCCUACUUAGAUGAGCAUGAACAGAUGAUGAAGCGAGAACAUCCAUCACAUUUGGUUGCCCGGAAACAUCGUGAAUUAUUUCCACAAUGGUUUUUGGAUUCUGUAAGUUAUAACUGUUUUGUAAUUGACAAAUAUAAAUUGUAGUAUUUAAUUUUGUCAGACUAACAUGUAAAUGAUUUUGUAUACUAUUAGGUGAAUAAAUUGAAAUCAUCGAAUUCCCCCACUUACAGUGAUGAGUUAUAUAACUUGGCGUUCGGCCCAAUUCGUGCUGAGUUGUUCUCGGGUUGUAAUGUUAACGGCGUCAAAUUUUUGGGGGCCGCACGAGAUGACAAGUUGUGUAUGCAAAACAGCGGUGUCCAUGUCCCAGGUGGAGGCGAAAGUACGGACAUUGAUUUCUAUGGCAAACUGACAACUGUCGUGCAAUUGCUUUAGAAAGAUCGAUACCAAGUCAUCAUGUUUAAGUGUCGAUGGUUCGAUACCAACCCAAAUAGGGCGGGAAGUGUUAAAAUCGACCAUGGAGUACUGUUUGUGAACAUGGCGUCCCAAAUUGUGUAUCUAGAUGACCCUAAAGCCGGGAGCGGGUGAAAAGUUGUGCAGAAGAUGGAUCAUAGGAACGUGUAUGAUAUACCAGAACUAGACCCAAGUGACAACGACGUCGACAAUGUGGCUGACCAACGUUUAGAAUCUUCAAUGGAAAAUGAUGCGGAAACACUUCGAGAUACAAAUGUUAUACAAGAACCGUUUCAAAUAGAAGGAGUGUCUUCAGUAGAAAUACCGAUUCAGUCAAUUACAAUUGACCUCGGUGAUCUUCCCCGAUACGAUGUUGCAGUGGGUCCUAGCAACGCCGAUGAUGCAGUUAUAGAGGAGGAGGAGGAAGAAGAUUGGGAGACCGAGAGUGAUGAUAGCGAUGAUAACGAAAGUUAUUAUAGUUCAGAUGAUGAAUAAUGAAUUUAUUUGUAAAGUUAUUAUGUUAGUGUAUUCAUUUUGUGUAAUACAAAUCUUUGAAUAUAUGUAGUUGUCCAUAUGUAGUUGUGUAUUCAUUCUCCAUAUUUCAUCACAAACUUCAUUGGAAUGUCAAUACUUUAGUCAAUACUUAUUACGACCCCAUGCUUGUCGAUUGGUUUUUAUUUAUUUAUUUAUUAAUGUCUUUAACUCUUCAAUUAUUAUUUUUUUCUUUUGAGAUAUAGUUAUUUCUUCAUGUUUAAACAAAAAAUAUAAGUUAUUUCUCCAAUAUUAUCUGUGUGCCACUUAUUUUUCUUCACUUUGGUUCAUGAUUAGUGGCAUCAAUCUAGUCAAACCGAUAAAAUCGGUCGAUUCAAAUCUUAAUUAUCAAUUUAGUUUGGUUUUGAUGAAGAAAUACAAAGCCUUUCCAAAAAAUACAGAGCAUAAAAAAUGAUGAAUACAAAACCUUUCCAAAAAAUACAAAGCAUACACAAUUUGAAUUAAAUGAGGAUUUAUGGCGCCAAAUCCUUGCGCAACGAUAAGGAGCCCUUCGUCGCGCAAAUAUAUAUUAGGUAACGUUAUAGUAUAAUAUAUACCCACAUAUAUAUUUAAAAUUGGCGAUCGAAGUAGUUCAUUGUAUUCAUAUGAAGUGUAGGACUGUAGCUGCAAAAAAUCAUCAACAUCGGAGUUAAAAUAACCGUUCAAUCAUCACUUUUUAUUUAGAACCGUCGAAAAGUUUUACCCCGUUACUUAAUCUCUGAAUGUUUUUUUUGUCUGAUUUUUGCUGUCUAUGAUCUCGAAGUAUAACAAAACAAGUUUGACGGCUGGAUGACUGAAGCUAGUUUCGUAGACUGCGUGUGCUAUCAAAAUCAUAUAUUCACCAAAAACUCAAAAAUUUGUUCAUACAUUUGUGAAAAUGUAACUUAAUGUUUAUGUGGUAUCCCCUAGUGUAAAAAUAUGAAAUUGAAGAUCAAAUUCAGUCAUUGUAUUCAUAUAGGGUCAACAAAUGUUGCUGUAAAAAAUGAUCAAAAUCGGAGUUAAAAUAACCGUUAAAUCAUGACUUUUCAUUUAUAACCGUCAAAAUAUUUUGUCCUGUUCCCUGAUAUCUGAAUGUUUGGUCGUUUUGAUUUUUGGCGUAUACGAUCUCCAAGUAUAAACAAAUAAGUUUGCCGGUUGGAUCAUUGAAACUAUUUUAGGGUUUAGGGUUUAGGGCUUAGGGCUUAGGGUUUAGGGUUUACAUUUUAGGGUUUAGGUUUUGCGCGACGAAUAAACAUUCCUUUCGUCGCACAAAGUGAAAGUGACAAAGAUUGCGCGACGGAUAAGUCUUCCAUUCGUCGCGUAAUCUGGGACACACAUUUCACCCCUCCAUACCCUUUGAACACUUAGUGAAAAUUUCAACCGAAUGAAAUUCUUGAACCCGCGCGACGAACAAAGCAAAUACGUCGCGUAAAGUGGACGUGAACAAGAUUGCGCGACGGAUAAAUCUGGUAUUCGUCGCGCAAUCUGGGCCACACUUUCACCCUUCCAUCCCCUUUGAACACUUAGUGAAAAUUUCAACCGAAUGAAAUUUUUGAACUCGCGCGACGAACAAAACAAAUACGUUGCGCAAAGUGGACGUGAACAAGAUUGUGCGACGGAUAAAUCUAAUUUUCGUCGCGCAAUCUGGGCCACGCUUUCACCCUUCCAUCCCCUUUGAACACUUAGUGAAAAUUUCAAGCGAAGCAAAAUCUUCAACUCGCGCGACGAAUAAAAGUAUUCGUCGCGCAAAAGGCACAGGCCUCUGAUUUUUGUUAGCAAACAUUGCGCGACGUUUACUGUCUUCGUCGCGCAAAAGGCACAGACCCUUCAGUUUCAGCCUCCCGCUAAACCCAAAAUUUUCCCAAAAUUUUGGCGGAACGACAGCGUUUUGCGCGACGAACAUAUGACUUUCCGUCGCACAAGGUUAACCUUGCUCGACGUUUACUAUCUUCGUCGCGCAAAAGCACAAACCCUUCAGUUUCAGCCUCCCGCUAAACCCUAAGUCCCAAAAUUUGGGCGGAACGACAUCGUUUUGCGCGACGAAUAUAUGAUUUUCCGUCGCGCAAGGAGAACCUUGCGCAACGUUUACUAUCUUCGUCGCGCAAAAUCACAGUUUCAGCCUCCCGCUAAACCCUAAAUCCCAAAAUUUUGGUGGAACAACAGCGUUUUGCGCGACGAACCAUGUAUUUUUCGUCGCGCAAAAGGCACAGACCCUAAUCCCCAUUCAAAAUUUGGCGUUCUGGGAGACCUUGCGCGACGGAUAUUUCAUCGCGCAAGAUUCAUUAAUACCAUUUUGCACGACGCAUUCUGUUCUUCGUCGCGCAAAGUCGAAUAAAUUUGCAGAAACGGCCCGAUGCCUCCUUCUUCCCCAUUUUCUGGUUUCUCUCCGUUUCUUCCUCUCUCUCCGCCGUCACCUUAGCCCUCUCUCUCUGCCAUCACCUCAGCCACCUCCGCUCGUUCCGUAGCCUCCCUGCCGUCACCGUCGAGCCUGCCGUCGCAAUUUCGUCAGUUUUUCCCGAUUCUUCGCCGGCCGAUUUCUCUCUCCUCCGGCCACCAUUUUCGACGCCUAAGGUAUGAUUUCUCGACUAUUUUUUGUGCUCUAGCUGAUGGUUGGUUAGGAUUUCUUGAAUUUUCGCUAUAGGAAAUAGGAAUUAAAACCCUAGGUUUUGGCCGCUUUGGGAAUUUCAAAUCCGGCCACUUCCGGCCAUUUUUCGGGGUAGGUCCGAGAACAAAAGUGGCUCCAAUUAAUGUUUUCAACCUAGGGUAGGAACCUUGGCCCUUAGUUUUUAGAAUUUUCCGACGAAUGUUAUCGCUUUGGACACCCACGCGCUGCCGGCGCGUGUGGUGGCGCGUGGGAUGUUGUGGCAGUGGGGCAUUGGGUCCCAGAGCAAUCCCCUGUUUGUCACGAGCGCGUAGGUUUGCUCGGAUUUGAAUUUGGUUAUCGUUUGAGUCUUGAUCGGAUUUCGGCUAUUGUGCGAUUUCCAGGUUUGAUAUGUUCGGACCGUUGGAUCGAACUCAAACUCACGUAGUUGUACCUUUGUGUUUCUACGAUCGUUUAGGAUUCGACCGAUCGUUGAUCGGUGUCCCGGAUACUUCGAAAUUCCAAACCCUAGGUGAAGCUAUGCUUUUAAUUAAUUAGUUUAAAUUCUUAAUGAAAUUAUAUGUGCAGAUGUCAGAUUUGAUUAGACGUGGUAGGUCGAUGAUGACUGCACCGAGUUCGGAUCCCCCUGCUCAGUCGGCAUAUGCUGCCACUGCUCCAGCUUUGAUGGAGCACGUGCUGGUUGGUCCCGGGGCGUCCCAGGCGCCUGCGUCAUCUGCGUCAUCCGUCGCGCAGCCAGCUAGUGCUAGGCGGCGGCACCGGCCCGCCGACACGACAUCGACCGACGGUACUGGUGCCUCGGGAUCACAGCCAGAUAUAACUACCAUUUUGUAUUGUUAAUUUUAUAUUGAAAUUUGACAAUGUUGUUUAUUUAACAUUAAUAUCUUUUUUCUUUGCAGCGAAGAAGAACACCUGAGGGCCGUGUCGUCAGCUGAAGACGGCGAAGGUCACCCGGGUGACCAACAGUCGUAUCAGCAUCGGAUACGACGAGCGCCAUCGGGCUGCACCGACGGCGGAGUUGCAUAGCUCCUUGGCCCACGACAUUGGCCACGUCGUGCGGACCCAUUGCCUGAUGCAAUGGAAGUCUUGGAGGGUCAUGCCUGACGAGAUCAAGGUGGAGGUUCGCGGCCAGUUGUCGGUAUGUACCUUACAUUUUCAUUAAUUUUCUUUAAAAUUGUGUAUAUUUCUAUUACUUAACGUAUCUAAUUAAUUGAUUGCAGACGAACUAUAACUUGGAGGAUCUCGACGAAGAGUCGUUGGCGUACGUCAACAGACUCUUCGCUGAGAGGUACAAGCAGUGGAAGAGCGACUUGCACCAUCAUUUUCAGGCCUUUGAUGAUCCGCAAGUCGCUCUUCAGGAGGGUUGCCCGAAGGAGCUUGAGGGGCGGGAGGAUAGUUGGGAGUGGCUCUGCGCUCAUUUUCAAGCGUCCGAAUAUGUGGUAUUUUUUUAAUAAUAUUUGUUUAAUUAUUACUUAUUUCUUAUUAAUGUUUAUUUCAUUUUUUUUAUUUCAUUAUUAUUUAAUUUGUUAUGUUUUAACUAAUACGUUUCAUUUUUUGUAUAACAGAAUAAGGCCCAAGUGAAUAAGGGUAAUAGGAAGAAGAAGACCCUUCUCCACCAUUCCGGCUCCAGGCCCUUUUCGUAUAGGAUGGAUGCCCGGCGACGGGUAAUAAUCACAUAAUUUAUAUUUCAUUUUUAAUGUCAUUUUUAUUAAUUUAUUUUUUUCAUACUAAUAUUUUUCUUCUCUUGUUCAAUUUAGGAGGGGUCCAAGUUCCCAGAGAUCGACGUCUUUGGUGACGUUUAUGUUCGACCCGGGAAUGAGUUGGCCGAGUCCCUUCAUGUAAGUAUUAUUUAAUUUUAAUUCUUAUGUUACGCAUUCAAUUUAUAUGCAUGUUUAAAUUUAUAUUUUAUGUUAUGUUCAACAGACGACGAUGGUGGAGAGGAGCCAGUUGGUUCUUCAGGAGUCCGCCUCCCAGCUUCCUCCCGAGACUCCGAUCGAGUCUGUGGCUCCUCCACAGGAUGCUGGAUUUCAGAUCUUGACGGAGACGUUGGAUCAGACUCUCGGGAGGAGGCCGGGGACAUAUUGUCGAGGGAUGGGGAAUGCCCGGCGGAGGGAACCUAGACCUCGUUCAUCGGCCCAGUCAAACAGUCAGGUGACUGCUUUGACAGCACAGGUGGCCGAGCUUCAGGGUCAGAUGUCGGUGAUUCUACAGUCCCUCGCACAGAGCGGCUUUCCAAUCCCGCAGUUUCGUGCGUCAACCUCCCAGCCCGUCCACCCCGAGUAUGCCCACCAGACCACUGCCCCGGUGGACGCCCAGACCUCCGAGCCGCAUACUGGCGACGACCCGAUUGAUUUUGCUUCAUUAUUUGAUUAGUGUAUUUAUUUUCAUCAUAAACAUUUAUUUUAUUUGUAAUACAUUUAUUUUAUUUUAUAACAAAAUUUUGUUCUAAUUUAUUUUUAUUGCAAUUUCAUUGUUUAAUCAAUAAAAAAACCAAUUUUAUUUAAAAAAAAUAAAAAUAAAUAAAAAACAAAAACAAAAAAAACAAAAAAAAAUUGUAAUAUUAUUUUUGCGCGACGGAAGACAUUUCGUCGCGCAAAACCACAUGUAACAAAAAAAAUUAAAAAAAUCAAUUUUUUAUUACUUUAAUUCUUGCGCGACGAAUACAUACGUCUCGCAAACAUUUUUUGCGCGACGAAAUGUUUCGUCGCGCAACAGCUUUUGCGCGACGACUGAAAUUUUCGUCGCCAAAUAGAUGAGCGACGAAAACUUUCUCAUCGCGCGAAUAGUUCUGCGACGAAUAUAUACGUCUCCCGGACUAGUUUUGCGCGACGAAUUAUUUUCGUCGCGCUAUUCGUUUCGUCGCGCAAAUAUACGUGCGCCGAAUACUUUAUCGUCGCGCAAAUAUUUAUGCGACGAACAGUUGUUUCGUCUCCACACCGUUGGUGCAACGAUGGUUUACCCGUCGCACAAUUAUGCGCGACGAAGUGUUGUACCUCGUCGCGCAAAGGCUUUCUUCACGAUCUUCGCGCGACGGAAGGUGCGCGACGAAUUUUUUGUCGCGCUGAAAUUAGGGCGACUAAAUAAGACUUUGCGCGACGUUUUGUUAUUCGUCGCGCAAAGAGUAAAAUGUAGUAGUGAGACUUGUUGGAGACAAAACAGGUAAACAAAUUACUUGUAUUAGACUCACAAAAUAUUACAACAAGACAACUCUCAAAGAAAAGACAAACUCUCACACUUCUCACAAGGACUACUUAACUUUAUAGCUUAUUGCAUAUAGCAUAUGCAAACACAAUUAGAACAUACCUACGUACACUAUGGGAACACUCGUGUAUAUUUCAACACAAGAAAACAUGUGCACCGUGCACGGUUCACAUGAAGUAAGAAAUGAAGAGGAAAUAAAGAAGAAGAAUACAAAAGAAAAUGGAGAUGAGAAAAAAAAAAAAACCGAAUAAUGAAAAAUGAAUUGACAAUUAUAUAUGGUUGACAUUAGAUCUAAUAUUAUAUGUAACAACUAUUGAUCUAAAAUAAACAUUAAAUCAAACAAUAAUUAAAAGAUUUGACAAUAUAAAAAUUUAUUGAGGACAAAAAAAGGCAAAAACUUAUGAAAAAUGGAAACAAUAAAUAUGAACUGAGUCAUCAACUCACCAUGGUAAGUUUGCUGACGUAUAAAAAUAGUCAAUGGACAUCGAAAAGUAAUUGGCUUACAUCAAAAAUUAAAAUCACGUGGGUUAUUCCUAAGAAACCUUAAUAUUUGCCUUCCAUUUGUUCCAGCAAAAUAAAAGUCAUUGCUACUUAUUGUAACCCCUUUUCCAAGCUUAUUAAUCAAAGUAGACACCUCACUGCUGUCACCUAGCCAAUUUUCAACAAUGUCAUACUUAACAAGCAACUCCACAUCCUUUGAGGUGUUCACAAAACGAUCCAUGAGACUAACAUAAUCACUUAUGUACGUCUCCUCGUAGUGGCAUUGUUCAAAUGCGAUGAGAUUUCUAAUUAAUACCUCUGUAUGAUCGCUUAUUUUCAAUCUUGGAAUUUCAAGAGUCCGGCCAGCAAAUCUAAUAAGGUAUUCAUUGAUCCCUCAUUCAACUUGAACCCUGCCCUGUGUAGCUCUGUGAUGCUGGGUGUGUUUAUAGUUAUGAGUUUCCCGUCAUUAGUUUUUAGGGUUAUUCGUUAUAUGAGUCCCUGAACUUAGACCCGAUUUGCAUUUUAGUCCCUCAAUUUCCAAAAUCGUUCCAGUGGUCCUUCAACUUUAGUUUCGUUAGGACAAAUGGUCCUGCCGUCAAAUGAUUAUAAAGUGGAAAAAACAAGAACAAAAAAGGAAGUGAGUUAAAUUUGCACCUGCUAUGUUCAAACGACAAAGUUCGUUUCCGUUUGGUCGAUUACAAGAGAAGCUCAAUGCAGCUUACUUGGUUCCUCUUGGUAGAUGGAAAUAUAAUUUUUCUCCUAAUAACAAAGGUUUAGUGCAAUCAAUGAUGGGCUGUAUAGAACAACUUUUUUGUUUUAUAUGUUUAUGUGAGACAAGUUUUGCCAGAUUGAAUUAAUGUCUUCUAGCUAUGUACCUUAUCUUUUUGCCGGGCCAUGAGUUGAAUGUAGAGGCAGAGCAUGGCCUUGGGUUUGUAAAAGACAAAAGACUGAACCAGACGUAAUUAUUUAGAUUUUGGAUCCAGUUCCACAUCCCAAAGAGAAAACCACAAGUUUGCAAGCAAGUUUGUCCAUAUUAACACUACGUAGAGUAUAGGCAGUGUGCUACUCAUCUCACUUUCUCAACCUACCCUAUAUUUGUCUAAAAGAGUUUCUAAUUUCGUGUACUGAUUCACUACUACAUUUUACACUUUGUGCGACGAAGAGAAUUUCGUCACGCAAAAUACAUUGGUCGCGCAAAGUUUAAAAAAAAUUUUAAAAAAAUAAAAAAUUCCCGCGUCCAAUUUUUGGUACUUGUCCAAAUUUUUUGAGUUUUGCGCGACGAAUACUAACAUCGCGCAAAUAUUUGCGCGACGAAAUAUUUUUUGUUUUAAAUUUUUUUAAUUUAAAAUAAACUAAUUUAAUAGUUUGCGCUACGAAAUAUUUUGUCGCGCAAGGUUUUUGACUUUUUGUUUUAUUAUUUCUUUAAUAUGAAUUUAUUUAUAUGAAUUUUUUGAAAUUUUUACUUUUUAAAUUUAAUUUAAUUGUAUGAUUUCUUUUUAAAAUUACUUUAAUUUAAAUUGAUAUUAAUUUUUACUUUUUAAAUUUAAUUUAAUUGUAUGAUUUUUUUUAAUUACUUUAAUUUAAAUUGACAUAUUCAAAAUAAAAUUACAUAUGAAAAAUAGUGAUUAAAUUAUCCAAUAAAUAUAUAUAUAUAUAUAAUAUUCAAAAUGUACACAUAAAUUAACAAAGCACAAUAAUAAAAUCCUAAUACAAGCGUAUUGUGGUGGUAGUGUCGGAGGAUAUGUUUUGAUAGCUUCCUAAUCCUCAACUUUAGCCGUCAAAGUCUCGAUGAUUCCCUACAAAAAAAAUAAAUAUGGUCAAAUAACCACAAACAAAAAAAAAAAAAAAAAAAAAGGCAUAAUCUCCCCUAAAAUUGUUAUACCACAAAUCCAACCCAAACUCCAAUCCCUCCCCUUUACUCAACCCCAAAACCCACACAAACUCAAAAUUAACUCCAAAAACACAUAUUAAUGAAAAAAAUUUAAAAUUUGGAGAGAAUAUACCUUUUGGCAAGAUUGAGAGUGAAUGAGAGGGAGAAGUGAGUGUGAGAGAAUUAGAGAAGAUAGUGAUAGAGAGAUGAGAGAGAUGAGAGAGUGAGUGAGAGAGAGUGAGAGAUAGUGAAGAGAGAGAUGAGAGAUUAAGUGAGAGGAGUGAGUGAGAGAAAUGGUGGGAUUUGGGGAGAGGGAAAGAGAAAGGAGAGGUAAGAGUAGAGAAAGGCAUUGAGAAAAUGGUGGAUGAGUUAUUUCGGUUUUAAAAACCGUAUCACUUUGCGUGACGAAAAAUAUUGUUGGUCGCGCAAAGGUUUGCGCGACGAAAAAUAUUGGAAUAUUGAUCGCGCAAACUUUUGAGCGACGAAACAUAUUGGUCGCGCAAAGUCUAAAAAAAUUAUUUAAAAAAAAUAAAAAUCCCCGCGUCCCAUUUUUGGUACCCGCCAAAAUUUUUAAAUUUUUGCGCGACGAAUAUAGGAAUAUUGAUCGCGCAAAGUCUAAAAAAAUUAUUUAAAAAAAUAAAAAUCCCCGCGUCCCAUUUUUGGUACCCGCCAAAAUUUUUAAAUUUUUGCGCGACGAAUAUAGGAAUAUUGGUCGCGCAAAGUCUAAAAAAAUUAUUUAAAAAAAUAAAAAUCCCCGCGUCCCAUUUUUGGUACCCGCCAAAAUUUUUCAAUUUUUGCGCGACGAAAAAUACAUAUUGGUCGCGCAAAGUCUAAAAAAAUUAUUUAAAAAAAUAAAAAUCCCCGCGUCCCAUUUUUGGUACCCGCCAAAAUUUUUAAAUUUUUGCGCGACGAAAAAUACAUACUGGUCGCGCAAAGUCUAAAAAAAUUCCCGCGUCCGAUUUUUGGUACCCGCCCAAAUUUUUGCGAGACGAAAAAUAUAUAUUGGUCGCGCAAAGUUUUGAGCGACAAAAAAUAUUGGUCGCGCAAAGUCUAAAAUUUUUUUAUUUUUUUUUUAAAAUCCAGCGUCCCAUUUUUGGUACCCGUCCAAAUUUUUAGAGUUUUGCGCGACAAACUGUUGGUUGCGCAAACUUUUGAGAGACGAAAAAUUGGUUCGUAACACAAUAUUUAUAAAAAUAAUUGUUAUGAAUAAUAAAAAUAAAAUUAUUUUAUUUUACAAUUUAAAAUAUAAAUAAGGUUAAAGCUGCUUAAGAAAUAUAUAUACUAUUCAAUUUCUUAAGUGUUAUACGUACAAAAUAAAUAAAUUUAAAGGUACUUAAUAAAUAAAUAUAUAUACACACACCAUUCAACGAUCCAACCGUCAGACUUAUUUGUAUAUACUUCAAGAUCGUAUACCCCAAAAAUCACAAAAAACAAACAUUUAGAGAUCUAGUAACGAGACAAAACUUUUCGAUGGUUAUAAAUGAAAAAUUACGAUUUAACGGUUAUUUUAACUCCGAUUUUGAUGAUUUUUUUUUACAGCUACACUCCUUGACCAUAUAUGAAUACAAUGACUGAAUUUGAUCUUCAAUUUAAAAUAUUUACACUAGUGGAUACCACAAAAUCUUAUGUUAUAUCUAACGAACGUAUAAAUAACCUCUUAAUUGUUAGUGAAUAUAUUGUUUUGAUGGCAUAUGCAUUCACCAAAACUAGUUUCAACGAUCCAACCAUCAAACUUGUUUGUUUAUACUUCGAGAUCAUAUACGCCAAAAAUCAGAAAAAAUAAACAUUCAGAGAUCAAGUAAUGGGACAAAAAUUUUCGACGGUUAUAAUGAAAAAUCACGAUUUAACGGUUAUUUUAACUCCGAUUUUGAUGAUUUUUUACAGCUACACUCCUUGACCCUAUAUGAAUACAAUGACUGAAUUUGAUCUUCAAUUUAAAAUAUUUACACUAGUGUAUACCACAAAAUCUUAUGUUAUAUUUAACGAACGUAUAAAUAAACUCUUAAUUGUUAGUGAAUAUAUUGUUUUGAUGGCAUAUGCAUUCACCAAAACUAGUUUCAACGAUCCAACCGUCAAACUUGUUUGUUUAUACUUCGAGAUCAUAUACGCCAAAAAUCGGAAAAAAUAAACAUUCAGAGAUCAAGUAAUGGGACAAAACUUUUCGACGGUUAUAAUGAAAAAUCACGAUUUAACGGUUAUUUUAACUCCGAUUUUGAUGAUUUUUUACAGCUACACUCCUUGAACCUAUAUGAAUACAAUGACUGAAUUUGAUCUUCAAUUUAAAAUAUUUACACUAGUGGAUACCACAAAAUCUUAUGUUAUAUUUAACGAACGUAUAAAUAAACUCUUAAUUGUUAGUGAAUAUAUUGUUUUGAUGGCAUAUGCAUUUACCAAAACUAGUUUCAACGAUCCAACCGUCAACCUUGUUUGUUUAUACUUCGAGAUCAUAUACGCCAAAAAUCGGAAAAAAUAAACAUUCAGAGAUCAAGUAAUGAGACAAAACUUUUCGACGGUUAUAAUGAAAAAUCACGAUUUAACGGUUAUUUUAACUCCGAUUUUGAUGAUUUUUUACAGCUACACUCCUUGACCCUAUAUGAAUACAAUGAACUAAUUCGAUCGUCAAUUUAAAAUAUAUAUUUUCUAACAAAAACCCAAUCUGAACAACAAUAAUAUAUUUUUCUAACAAAAAUCCGAUCCGAUCUAAAAUAAUAAAUUUAAAGCUACUUAAUAAAUAUAUAUACUGUUUAAUUUCUUAAGUGUUAUGCAUACAAAAUAAAAAACAAAAAUAAAUUAGUAUAGGCGACAAAAUGUUUGGAUUACGUCAUGCAAAGAUUUUAAAAUAUAUAUAUAUAUUAUUUUUAUAAGGACUUUGCGCGACGAAGUUCAUUGUUUCGUCGCGCAAAGUCACUUUGAGCGACGAUGUAUUGUUGUCGCGCAAAAGUUUGUCGCGCAAAGUUACUUUGCGCGACGAAUUUUUUUUCAUCGCUCAAAAUUUGGUCGCGCAAGACUUUGAGUGACGAUGUAUUGUCGUCGCGCAAAAGUUUGUCGCGCGAAGUGACUUUGCGCUACGAAUUGUUUUUCGUCACGCAAAAUUUGGUCGCGCAAGACUUUGAGCGACGAAGUUUUGAGUUUCGUCGCGCAAAGUGACUUUGAGCGACGAAUAGUUUUUCGUCGCGCAAAAUUUGGUCGCGCAAGGGGUUUUUUUUUACUAGUAUGAGUUUUAUAUACAAUUUAUAACAAUAUUUUCAGGCAAAAAAAUGUCUUGGCAAGAAAAUGUACAAUUUGUUACGUACUUAACUGGAACGAUUACCUUCAAAUUCCUAUGGCCAAUUACCUUCUUUUUUCUUCCUUUUUUUUUUUUUUUUUUUUUUGGUUGUUGUUGUUCUUUUGAUCAAGUUGCAUAUUCCAAAGAACGAAAACCAGUACAGGCUCUUUUCCAAUGCAAGCUCUUUUCCCAUGUUUCCCUCUGUUUUUCUCCUAUUUUUCUUAUAUGGAAGUGAUUAAAAUACACCUCUAAGCUUGUUUUGCGUUUGGUAACCGACUGUAAAAGCUCAAUGCAGAUAGUUUGAGGUAGAAUUUUCUCCAAUUUUACUAGCACAGUGAUAAGCUAUACUAUAUGUAACAACAAAUUGCUUUAAUAAUGAUAAUGAAAAAAGUGUGAUCCAUCGAAUAUUUGCGGGGUUUUGUUCCAAGUCAACACAUCAAAUUCUUUUACACCAUGAAAUUAAAAAAAAUUUAUUCAACCAUCUCGACCUUAUGCUCGAUCAUUUUGCACAAGCAACCGUCCACGUACCCCAAUAAUUUAAAAGGGCUGAUGAUCUUUAAUUUGGCGAAAGCUUCUAUCUACUUCUACCGCGCUAUAUAUGAGCUAUGCAAUUGUGACGGUGUUACAUGACGUCACAAUGUCGUAGGGAUAAAAAAAUAAUAGUCAUGGUUUCUUAUUAAUGUUAAUACAGGCAUAGCAAAAAGCUUGUAUUUCUAGUGGUUAAGAACAAUUACCCAUGCACUUGAGAUAUUAUGUGCUUAAAUCCCCUCUUCCCCAAUAUUUCUUGUAUAAAAAUAAAAAUAAAAAUAAAAAUAAUAAAGAUAUUGAUAUUGUAUUCUAUAAAGUGUUGGACAUGUUUUAUACCCCUUUACUGCAAAUUACAGUUUGACACAUGUACAAAAAUAAUAGGUAAGUGUUGGACAUCAAGAGUACUUACAUAUAGGUUUAAUAGGUAAGUUUUGAAUAUUUCUGUCUUUAGCUUUAAUUAUUGAAAAUCAACCUAUUAUCAUAUUAAAGACUUAUCCAUGUUCAACGUACAUUCUCUUAUUUUUCUCUCAUUGAAGUAAAUACAAAACUAAGCACAUAGUGGAAAAGUAGGUCACGAUUAGGGGUGGGUUUGGUCUGGGUUGGUUCAGUUUUGGGCUCAACCCGAACACCGAACCGUAGACCUCGAUUUGGCUAUUUUGGAAACCAAAACUAAACCAUAAUUAAUGAAAACCGACCACUUCAAUUACCUUCUGGUCUUCCAACCAGAAGAAAACUCAAAACUUUAACCAUACCAAGUGCAACAGAAUUACACCAGGCUGGAGUCAAGUUUAUGAUGGUUAAAGAUAAAAACUUAUUUGACAUACAAUUUGAGAAUGGAAUCCUCAAAAUUCCACACCUGCGAAUACAGGGUUAAACAGAAAUUUUCUUCCGCAAUUUUAUUGCCUAUGAGCAGUGUGAGCUCCAUGAUCAUUACAUCAACAACUAUGUCUUCGUCAUGGACCGCCUGGUCGACAGUGCCAGGGAUGUGGAAUUGCUUGUGAAGAGUGGAAUUCUUGAAUCCAUGCUACCGGACAGCGAGGCAGCAGGGGAAUUUAUUAAUUCUCUUGACUUGGGGCCUAUUUUAGGCAAGCUUGAAACAAGACUAUUUCAGUUCACCAUGGGCUGGCCUGUCUAUUAUUGUAGCCGCUAUACUAGUUGUGCUCACAUUUAUUCAAACAGUGUGCUCCGUAAUGGCGCUGUAGGUUCUUCAUUUCCUCAAUUUCAUGUUUAGUGGUUGCAGAUUUGUUGCUCAUGUACGUGUUUAUCUAAAGUUAAAUAAGAGUGAUUGACUGAUAGUCUGUUAGUUUGUUUUUCUGGGGUUUUUCCCCUGUUCGUCAAAAAAGAAAAAGAGAAAGAGUGAUUGCUUGUGCCUGUUUGGGCCUAAUUUGACACACCCAAUCCAAAAUCAAAAAGUCCAUGUCAAUUUUGGACAGCCACCAGCAUUCCCUUUGUAAUUAGGCCAAAAACUGCACACCCAACCUAGCACUGGAGCCUAGAACAAACAAGGUAAACUCAGGACCCAAGCAGUUUGAUUUUUUCAUUUAAAUUGGAAUCAAGGGCCCCAAGUCAAAAAAGCCCAAGCCCAAGGCAGAUUUUUUACCAAAAAGACCCAAGGAAGCCCAGUGCAUGCGAAUUGCUUAGCCCACAAUCCCAAAACUCAAAACUAAGUUUGGCAUGAUUAAAUAAAGAUAGAGAGAAGCCCAAAAUUGAAGAAACCCAAAACAGUUUUAUCAAAAUUGUCAGCUCUCUACCCAAGACCUAAAAAGGGUCAAAAAUACCACUAUUGGCAAAAUUGACGCACUCAGCCUUGGAUCACAAAGAAAUCCACGUGACUAUUUGACUUUGAGAAGUCAACAAUUUCAACUAGUCACAAGAGAAGUUGAUUGGAAUUAAUGUAGGCAGGUCAUUACAGAAAAGACUUCUUUGAAACUCUGUAGCCAAAAGAUCAAAAUCCCUUUCUAUAUAAUUCUGCAUCAGAGUAGGUGGUCUUUCCAAGAGAUAAGCAGACUACGUUUUCAAGAGAUAAGUAGAGAAUGAGGGAGUUGUUCAACAAGAAAAGCAAACUAACCAUCAUGAUAGGUUGUGUUCUUUCUCUCUACAAAAAACAAUAGGGAACAAAGAAGAGUUGGUUUUUCUUUCAGAAAAAGGAAGGAAAAGACCUACAUGAAAACUAAUUAUUGAUGGUUCUUCUCUGCCAGAACAGAUAACUUCUCAUUUUCUUUGACAUUUAAAAAUGAAAGGUCUCGCUUUUACAAAAUCUGCCGCCCAUUAUUUAAAGAUUAGAAAACCCACUCCAGCAUUUCCUAUAAAUAUGAGAGGAGGUGAUGUCACAUCACGGGAUUGGCUCUGCCGUAGCACGAUAUUGUCCACUUUGCGCCCCCCUCUCUACCCUCACGGUUUUAUUUUUGGGAACUCACGAGCAACUUCCCAGUGGGUCACUCAUCUUGGGAUUGCUCUAGCCCCCAGCUCGCUUAACUUCGGAGUUCCCAUGACUCCGAAGCCAAUGAGCUCCCAAAAGGCCUCGUGUUAGAUGGAGGCGGGCAUGUACAUAUAAGGCACAUCACCUCCUCUCCGUUGGUCGAUGUGGGAUGUUACAGGUGAACAUAUCAAAGGACAGCCAAAAAAUCAAUCAAAGACAAAAACUCAAAAUGAUCACUUGAUCUCAAAAGCCUUCAAAACACUGAAGCAAGCAAAGCUCAUUGAGCCACAACGAACAAGUCAGCUAGAAUUCAGAAUCUUUAGAGUCAGUUCAGUUUCAGAGAAAUAAUCAAAGAAAGCGAGAUCUCUCUCGUUACAAAUUUGGUUCAGCUUAAAGCCAAAACAAGCAGAGUUCAGGUUCUUACAAAUAUGAAAACCUCAAUAAAUUUAUGGAGAGCCCUGAUCAAGCAAAACAGGUACUACAGUGCAGUUCUAGCUUAGUAAUAAUCAAAUCCACCCACUUCUGCCCCUUCCAGAUUGAGAAGGUCCCAAUUCUGCCCAUUCAAAAAGCCUUCCAAGACUUGAAAUAGAUUAAAGCUCUGCCAAACUCAAAUGUUGGAAUCAAUUCGCAGCUGAAACAUGACAGUUGAAGGUGUUGAUAGUCCAGUCCAGCACAGACAUACCCAGUCUAGCCCAGAUCAGAAGCAUUCACCGAGGCAGAAAUUGAAGUCCAAAGCUCUUUUUGUCUUUUUAGAGUUGGUCUUCCUUUUCUGAGCUUUGUAAAAGGCAAUUCUGCCUAAAACAGUUCACUUUCUUAUCAUUUAUUCUGGCCAGAACUACCAGUUUUGUACUGUGAAAAAUUAUGAAGUCCUCACCAGUCUAAGGCAAGAAAAGAACUUACUUGGGAGAUAUUCCUCACCAAAUUCACAACCGUUUGUUUAGAAAUCAGUAACUUGGUGUAACGACCCGGUCCUAAAUAAAUUGGUAAUUAUUAAUUUAUUCAGAUAAAAGACCAUUUUGCCCAUAGAAUAUUUUAAUAGGUUUACAUGUUGACCCGGGAGGCUUCGGUGAAAUUGUUACAUCUCGGUCCGAAAAAGUGUUAAAAUAAUUAAAGUAGAGUGCUGCUAAAAGAACCCUAAAAUUAACUGAGUACACCCUAUGAUCUAAGUACACCCUAAUAUUUUAAUUAAAAUAUAAAAUUAACUAAGUACACCCUAUAAAACUAUCAAAAAUAACACUGAUACACCCUAAUACUUGUAGCAUUAUUUUAUAGUUGAUUAUUUUAAUAGUGUUUAUAAAUCUUUGACUUUUCAUAUGGAUUUAUGCUUCUACUAAAAUUGUUGCCACUUUUUUUCCAAUUCCAAGUUCUUGCAAUCACCACAUCUUUCGUUAAAAACACAAUAGGACAAGCAAUCUCUUGAUUAGGGUUGAAUAUGGUUAGUAGGGUGUACUUAUUAAUAUUAUAUUUGUUUCACAAUUCCAUAUAUCCUUUUUGGUCAUUUUAUAUUAGGGUAAACCAGUAAUUCAAUAUAUACUUUUAUAGUAGGGUGUACUCAGUUAAUUUUAGGGUUCGUUUAGCAGCACUCUUAAAGUAAGAGAGAAUAAAAUGAAAUAAACAUUAAAAUAAAAUGAUUUGAAUUAAUUAAGGUUUUUGAGAAAUUAAAAUAUUAUUUAAUAUUAUAAGGGGAAAAAGAUCAUUUUAAGUUUGGGAAGGAAUUUGGAAAUUCCAAUUGUACCGUUGUGUAGAGCAUGUCGAAACGAGUCCGUAGACACGUAGUGGACUCGAAUCGUAGUUAUAACGGAGAAAUGGCGAUCAAAAGAAGUUCAGUGGCAUAGCCAUAAAUAUUUCGAAGUUCAGUUUUUUUAAAACCCAAAUUUCUUCUCUCUGGGGAGUGGGAGAGCCAACUUCAAAUGGUGAUUUCUCCCAACUCCGACCACCACACUUCCCUCUUCCUUCAGUUUUGGCAUCAUGAUGGGUUCCAUCCCGGAAUGACACAUUUUCGACGCUAAGGACGUCACAAAUGGUAUUUGAGAUGCUUUGUAAAUUUGUAACCAUGGAAAACACAAUGAACUUUAUGUUCGGAGUUGCAAGAGAACAUUAAGGGGAAUAUGGAGAGUGGGAAAAUAGUAAUAAGUGGAGAUCUGUAUGCUUACUUACUACUGAACUUCCGUCGUGGUGGUUAGUAUGAAAAAGUGUUAGAGAUUAUAGAUUUUAUGGAGGAACAUGGUUGUACACUGAUAAGUAGUCGGUAGGAGUUGAUUUAAGUUCCAAGAGAAAUUCAUUAUGAACUGGGAUGAAUUACUGCAAGAUUCUUGCUGUUUUGAAGUUAUUGAUUUUAGGGGCAUCACCUCUGAAUGAUCAUAAUAACCAUGCGUGGGCUCUGCAUGAGGUUUCUUUGACAUUGUUUGAUUUUGUGUAUUGAUAAUUACACUUAGGGGUGUCACGUUUCUAGAAACGUGUCUAUCCAAAUUGUUGUAUCUCAAUAUCCUAUGGAAGGAAAGCUGAGAAGCUGAAAAUACUGGAUUUAUGGUGGUGAGAUAAAAAUUGUCAGGAACUUUCAAAAGUCAAAUUAUUUCACAAAGGGAAAUACUGGAGAGAAGUAUUAGAGAAUUUUCUUUGGAUAAGUUAUAUAGGAGUGGAGGAGUUGCGAGUUUAACCAAGGAGGGUUGUGACAAUUUAAAUUGAGAAGUAGUGGUGUUGGGUGAAGUAUUAUUUCAUUCGCGUGGGCUUGAAUGCCGCGAUUGACAGGAAUGGAACAUUAGGGUUCUUCUUCCUUGCUCUCUCACGCGAGCUCGCCAUAGAGAGUAUUUCUUGGCGUGGUACUGGCUUCGUCCGACCUCCGAUUACUGUGAUUUUUGAAAGGACCCGGCCCAAAUUUCUCAAAAUCCGAGGCGAAUCCUGUGAAAUUCCCGACAUCACUCCGAUGCCAGGCCCACUUACUAAAGACCGAGACUUUCUGCCGAACUUUCGGCAGAGUCUCCCCUAUAAAUUGGACAUUUUCCAAAACUACCACCUGCAUAAAACACAAUUUAUAUCCCCAACUGGCAGCAUGCACAAGAUAAUUUCAUGCAAAUCACAUAAUCGGCCUGCGGCCUUCAAAUAAUUCAAAACGAAACCACCAAGCACACUAUCAAAUUAAUUCCUACCUUAAACAAGGCAAACAAUAAAUUUAAAUAUGAAUUAUGACUACUAAAUUUCAACAUACGAGGUUUUAACCUCCUAACACAAUCACAUCUAUGUCCGCGGCUGCACCUAAUAACCUUAGGCUGCCUACGUACCUUCACUGAGGGAUCAAGCCACACGUAGUUCUUCCGUAAAACCCAAUUCCACACAUAGGCAAUACCUUUAUUCAUUUCUCUGUAUUUCACAUAAUCUCCCCAUACGCCAGUACUACCAUUGCCACGUAUGGGACUUGUCAACAAGCCGGAUAACCUACACCACGUGCGAUCUCAACAUAAUAUCACAUAAUCUCCUCAUACGCCGGUACAACCAGCGCCACGUAUGGGGCCUGUCAACACGCCGGAUAACCUACGCCACGUGCGACCUCAUCAUACUAUCACAUGAUCUCCCCAUACGCAGGUACAACCAACACCACGUAUGGGGCCUGUCUCAACGCCGGAUAACCUACGCCACGUGAGACCUGAACAUAAUAUCACAUAUCUCCUCAUACGCCGGUACAACCAAUGCCACGUAUGGGGCCUGUCAACACGCCGGAUAACCUACGCCACAUGCGACCUCAAUAUACUAUCACAAUAUCUCCCCAUACGCCGGUGCAACCAACGCCACAUAUAGGGUCUGUCUCAAAUUGGAUAACCUACGCCACGCUAGACCUCAACAUCAUAUCACAAUAUCUCCUCAUACGCCGGUACAACCAACGUCACGUAUGGGGUCUGUCCGCAUGCCGGAUAACCUACGCCAUGUGGGACCUAACUUUCACAGAGUGGUACUUGUAGUGUAACCAAAAUCUGGGGAGGUGCCUAAGGUAGUGCAUAUAGCACUUCAAACUGACAUUCUCUCACUUAUCUAAACUAAUACUAGAGGUCUUCCCAUUUUAAUGGUACCAGUCUAUAGUAGAUUGUAACGUAAUUUAAUCAUAAAAAUAAUAUUAUUUCUAGACCAACGAUUAUUCACAUAAACAUGAAUUUCAUAAUUUCACUAUUUAAAAUAAUAUCUAAAAGUUUCCUAUAAUACAAAUAAACACUCUAAAGAUCCCAACUUAGUCAACACAGCUCAACAAUGCUCAAGACCUGUCAUUAGGGUCAUUAUGAUCCUUCUAGGAAGGUAAAACUACCUCGAAAGACUCAAGGUCAACCAAGGGUCAAACCACCCACAAUUGGUCAAACGGGCCCACGGGGCCCACGACCUCCAAAUUCCAAUCCGAAGGUUCCUAUGGGAUCUACAAGGUAUAGGACACUCGUCUUGCAAGUUAAGCCUAGAUCGGAUGGUCAGAUCGCUCACGAUCGCACAAUCUGAUGGUUAAUAUAAAACAUAAACUUUAAAUUAUUUAAUCGGAACAUCCGGGGCUCCCGAUUCACGAUCUGUUCCUACACGAUCCUAGAAAUACAUAGAUUAACAUAUAUUAAAUUUGAGACCAUCCAACGGUCCUAACCUAUCGAACCCGGAUAACGCGCAAUAGGCGAUAUUCGUUCGAUAGUCAAACGACGUCCGAAUUGAGAUUUACGAAAUCCUACGCACUCGUGACAACCUAAGGAUCUCAUUGAGACAUAUUGCUAUCCCAAAACCGACCGAAAUCCAAUUCGAAAAUCGAGUUACUUACGUUAAGAAUCGACCGAAUCCUACCCAACAGGCAGCUAGAGCAUGAAAAGUAUGUGAGAAACCAUACCUCACUCGUCGAAAUCAGUGGCCAAAGGAGGGAGAUCGACGAUAGAGAAGUUCGGACGAACUGACCGCUUCUUCUCCAUUUUUCAGCGAAACCACGGUAGCUGGUGGCGGGACCUAGCUGGGGUUGGAAGAGGAUGACGCCCCGGUCAUUUUGGUAUCGGCCUCGUGGUCAUCGGUGGCCGGAUGAGAAAACAGCCGGCGAAAAUGUGACCGGCUGCCGUUGCGCACGCGAGAGAGACCACGAGAGAGAGAGAGAGAGAGAGAGAGAGAGAAAUCUGAUUGUGCCACUGAGAUUCUUUUGACCAUAUCUCUCUCGUUACAACUCCGAUUCAAGCCCACCACGUGUCUACGGACUCAUCUCGGUACGACCUAUCCAAAAAUACCAAUCACUACCCCAAAUACUUUUUGGAUCAGAAAGUGACCAAAUUACCCCUACCUCAAUGGUAACUUUGUAAUUUCACUUAAAUAAUUUAAAUAAGGGAUUAAAUUUGGAGUCGGGGUGUUACAAUUUUUGUUGCUAAAUGUUGUCAUCAUUUCUCCUCUACAUCACUCAGUGAUCAUUCACUCCCAUUUCUCUAGUUUACACGGUGAAUUUUAUUUCUAAAAUUUCUUAAAAUUCCGGCCACUGUGAGUUUGACCAGCGACUUGGGUUACUUUUGCCCAUCUUUUUGGAAAUGGAACCGAUUUGAGGAAGAUUAGGAGGAAAGAUACAUAGGCCGCUGAGGCAGAAGUAAAGCCGGAGCUUUACCAUAGACAGAAGUUGUUUUAGAAGUCCUGGAAGAUUGUGAACAGGAAUUGGAAGUUUGCAUGGGGUGAUAGGAUUUUUAGUACUUGUGCAAACAGUGUUAAAAAUCACAUAAAAUACUUGCAAGAAUACAAGGCUAUUGUAGUCUAGAUGCUCAUGCAAGGUCGUUUUCCUCAAGGACUAAUUAGCAAUUUAUGUAAAAAUAAAUUCCAAUUACUACUUAAAAUAAAAAGUCAAGAAAGAUGAUUAUAAAUUUGGUUGAUUCUAAAAAACAAAUAUUAAACAAAAACAAAUACGAUUGAAAGAAAGAGUUUUGAAUAUCAAUUUAUAAAAACACUAGGGUUUCACCAUCACCUAGCAAUCCUAUGAACUUUUACCAAUUACUUAUGAUUUGCACAUGCCACUUUGAAGGUUAGGUUUUCCUAAUGUAUAUUCUACUUAGAACCUCCAACACAGAAUGUAUAUCCAACAUGCAACCCGUCCGGACGUUCGGAUCAAAUCUGAACAUGAAAGACUCAUUAAGUUUUGUGAAAACCCUUUGAAAAACCAUGCAACCCUUAAGACGUGGUGUUCAUCUUAAGUGAAAUUACAAUUAUUAAUCAGAAGAAGCUAGCAUCAAUUUCAGGGAACCUUCCGACCAAAAUUGCAUCCAAUUACUUUUCUAAAGAUCCUAAUGGUGAUCAGGCAUUAAGACAAUUAGAUAGUUUAAAACAGUGAUUAACAAUUCAAAAUACGCAUGCACUCAUCAUAAGCAAUUAAAUAAAAAUCACAUAUUCAUGCUAAGGUUCAAGGCUUCACCCUAGCAAAAGAAAUUUAGUUACGCAUACUCAUAAUUGAAAUCCAAGAAAAUAUCAUUAAGAAGAAAAGAACGAAAACACCUGAAAGUUGUGAAAACCCAAAACCCUAGCAAUUGCUCUCCACAAUGCAAAGUUCAAAAGUGAAAAGGGAGUCCUCCAUUCCUUGUGAGAAAGAGCUUAAAUACCCCUUAAAACCUAGCUGCCAAUGUACAGCUUUUCUAUCCCCACAAGGAAACUAAUUAAAAUAAAAUAAUACUAGGAAAUAAAGUCCAAAUUGGAAUAGGAGAAUCUGCUCAAAAUCUGCCCAGCCACGUUUUGGCCCCAAAUCUCCUCCAAAUCUGGCCCAAGAUAGCUUGUUUUAAAGAUAAAAAAUGUUCUGAACACUUCUUUAGAAGGCCACGAACCCAUCCGAGGUCAUCUUGGGCUCCAAAAACGCAAUAAAAGCCCAACACGUCACUAUUCCAGCACCGCGCACUGCUCCUUUAUUUUGUUGCCAGAAAAUAACCGCUUGGAAGAAAAAUCUGAAAUUUUGAUACGAUCAAGCUAAGUGACUCAAGAACGUCCUCCAACUGGAAUUACUCCAAAAUUCCUCAAUUUGAUUAUGUUUUGCUCCAGAGAGAUUCGAAAGUCCUAUAUUGGAAAUAUAAUUCAAAGUAUCAAAAGUCUUCCAAAAUAAUAACCAAAAUAUACUAAGAAUGAGGUUAAAUAUAUAAUAUAAAAUAUGUCCAUCAAAAUACCCCCAAACUUAGCUUUUGCUUGUCCUCAAGUGAAACAAGACUCAAACAAAAAUAAAAACUUAACAGAUUAGACAUCUGGCUAACACUUAACUAGGACAAAAUUUCCACCUUCAAGUUGCAAUCCAUAGAAAAUUUUAAAAACUAGAACAUCCUUUCAAUAGAUCUAAGUAAUCCCACCACAAAGUCUAAGCUAUUUAGACUCAAUUAGAAAAGAAUUCACAAACUUCUUUCGGUGCAAAGUGAACCAUUAUGGUUAUGGAGACUUGACUAAAACCCUUAACUCUCAUCCCUUUUAUUCAUACUUCACACACUCCACACUUUUUGUUUUUUUUGUUUUUUGUUUUUUGUUUUUUUGUUUUUUUUUCUUUUUGUUUUUAUAGUAACAGUAGUGGUUGUGCAAUGUUGGUUCCCUUAAGCUUUCAAUCCAACCGUGUAGCCAGCUUUAGGUCAAUGUCUCCCAAACCACUCGGGUUUUAGGGCACUAGGUGUAGAACACCCCUAAGGACUUAUUAACUCAAGCUGAAAAGGCUACGAAACCAACUAACCACCCUGCCUCAUGCCAAAACUCUACCUUUUGUCUCGAGAAUCACUGCUGAUUAGGCAGGAUUGACCCGGUUACUAGCAAAGCUUCGGGUGAGGUAAUUAUUACUUUAUAACACAAACUAACUUUAUUUAUAUUGAACAUAAAUUAAAACACAUUUGGACAAAAAGUAAGUAUUCCAAUCUCACUCCCCAAAAACCAUGUUGGUGUGAUGUGCAAAUUUCAAAGUAUAAUUCAUGAAUUAAUGUCUAAGCAACAAUAAAUAGAAAAUACUCUACCGUGGGAUUGAUUUUCACCAUGUCCAUUUGUUCUAACGUUUAAAAUAAUCUAUGGAUAUUGACUGAAAAACGAAAAUUUGUAAACAAGACUCAAAAAAUGAAAAAUAAAAAAAAUUACGUUCCCACCCCCUAACUUAAAUCACACAUUGUCCUCAAGGUGGGGUAAAUAAUCAAAAGAAACAAGAGCAGAAACAAAACGACUAAAACUUAGAAAAUGGAAAUCAAAAAUAAAGAAAAUACUCUAAGAAAAGAAAUUAGGAAGGCAAAGGAUGAGAUCCAGAUGGAUCUGGUAAUCCUAUCCGUAGAGAUGGAAAGAUUCUAUACACGCCAUUGAGACUGGAUUUGGAGAUGAGGAUUUGACCCUACCUUGUUCGACGAAUUCCCUCAAGGGGAAUUAUAGCAAUAAAAUACAUAUGCUUCUACAAACAUUUAAUUGCACUGCUACGACGUGGAAAGAGUGCUUUGGGGUCUCAUCUCAUGUGAACCCGUUCGAGUAGAAAUCUUUCAUUAGAAUCAGAAAUGGGUCAUGGUAAAGAGAGGUAGAUGAUGAUUACAGUUCGGUAAAAAUGAUCAUUUCUGACAUUCCUCUCAAAGAACCGUGUUGGCAAUGUCGUUUAUCGAUUCUAAAGAAAGAAGAAAAAUAUCAACAAGUCAAAGAACGUGGAUUUCUUUUAAGGGGAGAGCUAGAACAAAAUCAAAUCACGAAUGGAAGAGUUUAGCUUUCAGAGGAAGAUUGAGCAUUACAGCAGCUAUUAAAGGAUAUUUUUAGUUGAAGAAUGAGAUUUUUCUUCCUCUGAUUGUUUAGCUAGAGCUUUUGGCUUGACUGCCAACGUGGUUGUGGAGGAAGAAACUUGGGAACCCGAGUAGUAGAUGCGAGCCCACUACCCAUACCCCUUUUGAGUGACAGGUAUGAAAUUUCAAGGAUGAAAUUUUUAUAAGAGGGGUAGAUUGUAACGACCCGGUCCUAAAUAAAUUGGUAAUUAUUAAUUUAUUCAUAUAAAAGACCAUUUUGCCCCCAUAAUAUUUUAAUAGGUUUACAUGUUGACUUGUUGACCGGGGAGGCUUUGGUGAAAUUGUUACAUCCCGGUCUGAAAAAGUGUUAAAAUAAUUAAAGUAAGAGAGAAUAAAUUGAAAUAAACAUUAAAAUAAAAUGAUUUGAAUUAAUUAAGGUGUUUGAGAAAUUAAAAUAUUAUUUAAAAUUAUAAGGGGCAAAAAGAUCAUUUUAAGUUUGGGAAGGAAUUUGAAAAUUUUGAUUGUACCGUUGUGUGGAGCACGUCGAAACGAGUCCGUAGACACAUAGUGGACUCGAAUCGGAGUUGUAACGAAAAAAUGGCGAUCAAAAGAAUUUCAGUGGCAUAACCGUAAAUAUUUUGAAGUUCAGUUUUUUUAAAACCCACAUUUAUUCUCUCUGGGGAGUGGGACGUGCCAACUUCAAAUGGUGAUUUCUCCCAACUCCGGCCACCAAUUCAAGUAAGACCGGCCCCGUUAGAACCACCACACUUCCCUCUUCCAGUCCCAGCCCAUCUCAGUCUCGAUCCGCCGUCGUAGUCGCCGAAAAUCGCCACGAAACAAGGUGGUUUGGAUAGUUUUUGUCGAAAUUUCGUGGAGCUCGUUCUCCCUCCUCCGGCCACCGUUUCAGGCGAGUGAGGUAUCAUUUCUCACCUAUUUUCUAUGAUAUAGCUGAUGGUUGGAUAUGAUUUGAUAAAUUUUGAGCGUUGAUAGUUCGAUUUUCGAAUCAAAGUUUGGCCGAAUUUCGGGAUGAAAUUCCGGCCACUUUCGAUCACUUUUUGGGGUAGGCCCAAGAACAAAAGUGUCUUCAAUUGAUGUCCUGAUCCCAGGGUAAGAGCAUUGGUCGAAAAUUUUGAGAUUUUCCUGCUGGUGGUAUCGCUUUGGGCACCCAUGCGCUGAUGGCGCGUGUGGCAGCGUGUGGGCACUGUAGCAGAGGGCCAUUGUGUCCCAAUGCGACCCCCUUGUUGUCACGAGUGCGUAAGGGUGCUCGGAUUCCAAUUUGGUUGAGGUUUGAACCCCGAAUGGAUUUCGUAUAUUGUACAUUAUCCGGGUUUGAUAGGUUUGAACCGUUGGAUAGUCUUGAAUUUAAUAUAUGUUAGUCUAGACAUCCCUAGGAUCAUAUAGGAUUUCGCGGAUCAUGGAUCGGAGCCCCGGAUGUUCUGAUUUAAUAAAUUAAAGUUUGUGUUUUACAAUAACCGUCCGAUCGUGCGAUCGCGAGCAAUCCGACAGUCCGAUCCGAACCAAACUUGCAGGACGGGUAUCCUAAAUCUUGUAGAACCCAUAGGAGCUUUCGGAUAAGAAUUUGGAGGUCGUGGGCCCGGUUGACCAAGAUUAGGUAGUUUGACCCCUCGGUUGACCAUGAGUCUUCCGAGGUAGUUUCACCCUUCGAGGAGUACUAGAAUGACCUUAUUACAUAGUCUCGACCUUUAAUUGAGCUAUGUUGACUAUGUUGAGAUUUUUAGAGUGUUUAUUAUUAUCGUAUGAAAACUCUUGGAUAUUACUUUUAAUAAUUGAAAUUAUGGAUUUGAUGAGCGUGGGUAAAUUGAUUUGAUGAGUGGUGAAAAGAAGUCGUGGGCUUGGCUAUGACUAUUAGGAAGUGAGGGGACAUUUAUGUUGAAUAUGCAUUAAUUUCAACAAUUGAAAGAACAUGCAUGGAAUGGGUAUAUAUAUAUAUAUAGAUAAAUUGGAUUAAAGAUUGAGAAAUUAAUAAGUUGAGAUAUUAGUAAUAUUUAAUUGAGAAAUGGAUUUUGAGGUGGAAAUUGGAAGGUUGAAUUUGGGGAAUUUUGGAAUUGAGAAUUAUGGGUUAAUACUGAAAGAUGUAGGAUUAUACUAUGUAAGUACCAUCCCCUAGUUACUAGGCUUCCCAUACGUGGAGUUGGAAUUUCUGGCGUGUGGGAAGGAUAUAUGAUUAUUAGAUCUCACAUGCCGUUGGAUUUUCCAGCGUGAGACAGACCCCAUACGUGGGGUUGGAUUUUUCGGCGUAUGGGGAGAUUAUGUGAUGGUUAGGUCACACGUAGGGUGGGAUUUUCCAACGUGUUGACAGACCCCAUAAGUGGCGUUGGAUUUUCCGGUGUAUAGGGAGAUUAUGUGAUGGUUAGGUCACACGUGGCAUAGGAUUUUCCAGCGUGUUGACAGACCCCGUACGUGGCGUUGGAUUUUCAGCGUAUGAGGAGAUUAUGUGAUGGUUAGGUCCCAUGUGGCGUAGGAUUUUCCGGCGUGUUGACAGACUCCAUACGUGACGUUGGAUUUUCCGACGUAUGGGGAGAUUAUCUGAUGGUUAGGUCACACGUGGAGUAGGAUUUUUCAGCGUGUUGACAGACCCCAUACGUGACGUUGGAUUUUCCGGCGUAUGGAGAGAUUAUGUGAUGGUUAGGUCACACGUGGCGUAGAAUUUUCUGGCGUGUUGACAGACCCCAUAUGUGGCGUUGGAUUUUCCGGCAUAUGGGGAGAUAAUGAGAUGGUUAGGUCACACGUGGCAUAGGAUUUUCUGGCUUGUUGACAGACCCCAUAUGUGGCGUUGGAUUUUCGCGCGUAUGGGAAGGAUAUGUGAUUAUUAGGUCUCACAGGUGGCGUUGGAAUUUCCGGCGUAUGAGACACUAACAGUGAGAAGAGAAUGAGAUUAUUUUUCUAUAUCAGAGAAAGGUUAGAGUAUAAAAAGAAAUAUGUUUGGUGUGUGGUAAUUUAAAUUAAAACAGGGAAAGAUAACUUACCUGUACUACUGAAACAGUUGUGUAACAUUUGGAGCAUGAUUAUGGAGUGAAAGAACUACGUGUGGCUUGAUCUCUCAGUAAGGGUACGUAGGCAACCUAGGUGCAGUCGUAGACUAAACGUUAUUUAUGUUGUUUUAUUGAGAUUGGUUCUGACCCUGUCGUUGGUCCUGAAAUUCGGUUGAAAACUAGAUGCGAGUAAAUAAUUGUUCAUACUCCCGUUUCGUUGAGGGAGGAUUGUGUAAAUGUGUUCUGGUCAAGACAGGUAUAAGAACUCGUUUAGGAUUGAUGUACGAUUUGGGCUAAGGCCUUAAACUACUUGUUGUUGUAUUAGGAGAUUAAAACCUCGCAUGUGGGAUAAUUGGGAAAGUUAGAUGAUGUAAAGUGCACUUAGGCAUUCAUAUAUAUGUUUAAAUUUAUUAUUUGUCUUGCUUAACGUAAUUGUUUGACUUAUGGGCUUUAUUGGUGAUUUGCUUCAGAUUAUUUAAAGGCCGAAGGCCGUUUAUGUGAAUUGCAUUUUGAUACAUUGUGCAUGCUACUAGUUGUGGAUAUUAAAUGUGUUUUAUGCAGGUUGAAAUUUUUGGGAUUGUUCAAAUUACAGGGGAGACUGCCAAAAUUUUGAUAGAAAGUCUCGGUCAUUAGUAAGUGGGCCCGGCAUCGAGGUGAUGUCGGAAUUUACACAAGAUUCCUCUCGGGUUUUCAGGAAUUCGGGGCGGAUCCUGUUACUUGGGGUGCAAAUUAUCCAUUUGUUCACCCGUUUUCGUGUUUUACUUCUGAGGUGGAAGGGCGAAGUUUCCCACUGGCUUGGAGACCACUUGUUGGUCGACAAGUCAGCUUUCUUUGGUGUGUGUGAGCGUGCCACUGCUAGCAAUGUAAAUUCUAGCAGACUUAUUUUUUAGAGUGGAUAACUUGCGCCUCAAGUUACUGACUUCUAAAACAAAUGAUUGUGAAUUUGGGUGAGGAAUAUCUCCCAAGUAAGUUCUUUUCUUGCCUCAAACUGGUGAGGACUUUCACAAUUUAUCUCAGUAUCAAAUGGUUGUUCUGGCCAGAAUAGAUAAUAAUAAAGUAGACUGUUUCAGGCAGAACUGCCUUUUACAAAAUUAAGAAGGGAGAAAUCAACUCUAGAAAGGAAAAAAGAUGGCUGGAAUCCCAUUUCUGCCUGGGUAGAAACUUCUGAUCCGGGCUGGACUGGGUAUGUCUAUGCUGGACGGUGCUGUCAACAACUUUAGCUUGCUCGGCUUUAGUUGUAAAUCGAUACCAAAGUUCAAUUUUGGCAGAGCUUCAAUCUACUUCAAGCCUUGGGAGACUUUUGAGUGGGCAGAACUGCAGCUUCUUCAGUUUGAAGGGACAGAAGUGGCUAUUCUCGAGGAUUUAGCAAGCUGGAACUAUGCUAUAAAAUUUGUUGAGGUUUUCAUAUUUGUGAAAACUCAAACUAUGUUUGUCUUGGCUUUUGCUGAACCAAAUUUGUAACGAGAGGGAUCUUGUUUUCAGAAGACUUAUUUUCUAAGUCUGAACUUUGGAAUUCUGAUCUAAAGCUGUUUUCUUGUUUGUUUUUUUUUGAUUGACUGAUGAAUUGAGUGUCCUUUGUUUCUUUGCCUUCUUUCGCUUUUAUAAGAGAUCCUCCUAAGGAGGUCAUUUUUAAUCCUAAACAAUGGGCGGCAAAAAGAUCUCUUAUAAUGUAAAGUAAGAAGGGUUUCUUAUCAAUCAAGGCAGAUAGGUUCUGAGCAGUCACCUCCUAAAAACAGUCCAUUCCCUGGUUUCCUGGGUGGCAGCUUUCUAAUUCAACCAACGCCACCGUCUGUGUGGGCUUUUUAUGGCAGUUUUGGCUCUUUUCUUUUGUAUUUUCUGAGUGGUUCCCUGUUUCCCGUUCUAAUUUAGAAAGCGUGAUUCGUGAAUUCCUUGGGAGAUGGUGUAUUGAUUUGGAGCAAAAUCUUGAACACAGAUGGGUUUUUGAUCUUCAAUUGGCAGUGUUUCAGAGACGUCCCUCUCACAUUUUUAAACUUUAGUUGGAAUUGCUGACUUUUCCAAAGUUGAGGCAAUCACGUGGGUGUGUCUUUGAUCCCUUGGUUUUGAAUCUAUCGAAAAUUACGGGCUGAUCUUUGAAGCCCAUUUCGAAAGUUUCCACAUCUGGGCUUUCUUUGGGCUGAGGCUUUAUUUCCAACAUUCUUGGUGUGAAGCCCAAACUGUCUGGGUCUUAUUUUCGUUUUUCUCAAGUCUCUGGGCUGGGCAGGCAAUUUUAUCAUGGGCCUGUCUUCUGGUCUUGGGCGUGCCGAAUUUGGGCCCAAACAAUGCCCCCUAAGUCUGAAUCGUUUUGGAAUGGUUUCAGACUUAAUGUUUUGCCAUUUAAUUCACGUGCCAGUUUCUUCCGUGUUUUCGCCCACGUCUGCCACGUUUGCCUGCUACGAACUAGAGUUCGUGGGAAAACGGCUAGUUAUUAUCUAGUUACUAGCUAAUAAUCAUCAGGUGCCGUCCCAUCUUCUUCUUCCCACGUUUUCGAGCCCCUCUUUAAAAGAAAUUCAAAUUCAUAGCUUCUGAAAAAAGAAACCCUAAACCUUCCAGCUCUUGUUCCUGCGAGUUCUUUCUUCGAGAUUUCCAAAGCCUUCUUUAGACCUUCCUUUCUUCUGCUUCUUCCCUUGAAUCAGAAAUGUCUUCCCCAAGGUCCCGCGCUCAGUCUUCUUCCGCUUCAGUUCCUCCCGAUUAUAUCACUGGGAGCGGGAUUGAUGCUCACGCGAUAGAAAUCAGGAGCAAGCUUCAUCCCUUUGCCCAGAAGAAUCUGGACGAGAAUGUCCUCCAUUUGUUUGAGAACACCCUGGUGUUAGGGCCUCACUGGUUUGGUCCUGUUCCAGCUGAGAUGGCAGAAUUGCUAAAAAAGGAUGCCGAGGCUCCUUUGUGUUUUGAGAGCUCUUCUGCCCUGGCUUCUUAUUCUUGGGUUAGCAAGAAUUUGAGCCGGUCCUUCCCGUCCAGCGAGGUGAGGAAUAGUCUGGUCAAAUGGGCAGACUGGAUUGAUAGACUUCUCCCGAGAUAUGGGGGUCACUGGAGGAGAGCUGGGAUUUAUGACGCCAUUUUUCUGUCCAAACAAUCGAUUAACAGAGAUGAGAAUCUGCUUGCUGCUGCUUUAUGCUUCUGGAAUUCUGCCAGCAAUACAUUUGACUUCCGCGUGGGUCCUAUGGCGCCAACCUUGCUGGAUAUGGCUCAGAUUUUUGGGUUCAGGCCCCAUGGUAGGCCUGUUGAUGCCAUUGGAGAUUAUCACAGGCGAAGGAAUCAAGAGAAAGUGGCCACCCCUUUUACUAUCCCUCCAGCCGUGAUCAACCAGAACUGCUCUUUCUCCAACUAUCUGAAGAAGUUCAGUGCUGAUAAGGACAAGGAUCAGCAACAUAUGUUGUUCCUUCUGUAUUGGCUGAAUUGGUUCGUUCUCCCCAAUCGGUCUUCUGCAGUUCUGCUAGAGUACAGACACUUGGCAGAAGCACUCCACAAUCACACUGAUGUGGGGCUCGGGCCUACAGUUCUGGCUCACCUUUUCAAGAAUCUGCAUACUUCCACCCUGGAGAACCCAUUGAACCUGUCAGCCCCUGGCGCAUUCUGGAUGAUCCAGAUCUGGCUGCAGGUUUAUUUUCCAGAACUAAGGUUCCCAGACAUAGUUCUGCCUGAAGAUCAAGUCCUGGCUCUUCCUCUGAUGUCGGCAGAAGUGCCCAAGCAUUCUAUUGAGGAGUAUUUGAUGCUCUUCAGGCAUUGUACAAAGAGGUCGGCAGCUCAGUGGCAAGUGGUGAUCAGGAGGACCUAUCCUUGGUUCCAGACCGGAUUUCGGUUGUUUGAGAAGGAGCCAGAAGAUGAAGCUGCCAGAACAGAUUUCAGGAGGAAAUUUCUGAGCAUUACUCUGCCCAGAGAUCUACCCCAUGGUGGGGGCAAACCUCCAAACUAUCAUCUGGGGGCAGAAGUCUACCAUCCCAACUUCUGCGCGAGGCAGCUUGGUUGUCCCCAACUCAUUCCGCUGAAAUCAUAUCGGAGUUGUAACCGGGCCUCUUCUUGGAGGGAUGCAGAUGAUCUGGAGGUGCACAAGGAUGCCCGGUGUGCAGUGAACAAAAUCAACAACAGCACGGAUGCCCUCUAUCCCUCGUGGGAGCUGAAUUCCUGCAGUUCUGCCGACUUUGACGCAUGGUGGAAAGCCAGAUUCCAAAGUCUGCCUGCUUCUGUCACUGCCCUCAAGGUGCUGUUUGAUGGUUGGGAAAACUGGGUCGUUUUUGCGAAUGGGGAUGCCAAGACGCAUAUGAUCCAGACCAUCAAGGAUAUUAACGCGCAAAUUAUAGAAGGUAGAUUUCUGAUUCUGUAUGGGGUUCGUUCUGUCCUGAUGAUUGAUUUCUAAUGUCUAUUCUGCCUGUAUCAGAUCCUUCUUUGACCAGCGUAGGUGGGCAGUCUGUUCAUGCUGGGGAAGUGAUUGGUAAGUCUUUUCUUUUAAUUCUAUUCUGUCUUUUCCUGCUGGAUUGGUCUCUAAUGUCUAAUGCCUUGGUGCAGUCUCUUCCGUUAUUGCUGCCGGGGACUUGGAGCUCCCUUCUGCGGAUGAAGGAGAUGAGGUCCAGACAGAACAAACACCUACCGAGGCCGCUCUUUCUGGCAGAAGAAAAAGGAAAGGACCUGCCCCUCCUUCGGAUAAUCCCACGCGGCCUGGUAUUUCAGGUAAGCUCGUGAUGUUCCAACCAUUCUCUUUAAAUUUAUUAUGUCUUGCCUUCUUUUCCCUAAUACUGCUUUUUGUUCUGUGCAGCUGGAAGUCCUUCCCCUCCUCCUACCAAGUUGAAAAAACUUAAAAAGAGGAGUGAGGAGGAGUAUGUCGCCGCGGAAGAGACGGCAGCAAUUCCCACCACUACCUCCGGGACGGAUGAAGAGCUGCGAGAGGCUUUUGAGGAGGUGGAGCAGGAAAAAGAAUUGGAAGAGCUGGAAGAAACGCCUCAGGAAAAAACGGCAGUGGCGGAAGGAGAGGUAAGUUUUAUUUCUGUGAUUCGCAUCAGUUCCCUUCUCGCCCUGUUUCUUCCGUUCUGACCCUUAUUUUGUAGGAGAAGAUCCCUGCUGAGGUGAUUGCAGAGAGCAUUGCCUUGGCGCAGAAGCAACAAGGGGGUCCAAGGGCUGAGCGGACUAGCUCAGAACUAGCCCUAUUUGAGGAUGCUGAGGCAGAGCAUUCUACUGCCGUUCCAGCGGCUGAGGAUCAGGCGGAACGGUCUGCAUCAGAGCCUGUGGAUCAGGCAGAGCUGUCUGUUGUGGUUCCGGAGGCUGAAGUGGAAACAACCGCCGCUGCCCCUGUGGUUGUGGUAACUUUCUUUCUUUAUCUGUCCACACUCUCCUGCAUUUCUGCCUUGUUCUUUAUUUUUAACUGUUGUAGCCUUUUCAGGUAGAAGUGCCUAAAGCUGUUGGCGUCCUGGCAGCGGUUACCAGUCCCCAGAAGCCUCCCAUUGUUGCUGUAAGUUUUCAUAACUUUUGGGCCUUUAUUUUCCACUUUCUGCCUGGUCUUACCUUAUGCUUUCUUCUUGCAGAUGCCAAUUCAUUCCCUUCCAGGAUCAUCUGCCACGGCUUCUUUUGCUGAUCCAGAACUCGAAGAGUUUGAAGCCAUGGAUCUGGAUGCCCAAUUGGACAGAUUGGAGAAACUCAGCUCUCCUCCAGGCAAGGCAAAAUCUAGGGCAGUGGAGGAGGCCAUGGAGAGGUUGAAAAUCUGGCAGUCUAAUGAGCUGGAGUUUGAUCAAGACAAUGAAGCCUUAAAUCAGCUGAUGAAGGACCUGGACCUGCUUCACAGACAGAACAUGGCUCCAAAACCUAUCCUUGAGAUGGGCCUAAGCUUGGCCAGAGAUGUGCUCAAUCUGCAUGAUCGCUAUGAGGAUCUCAGGCCUACUUUCAAGACUUCUGAAUUCUGCAAGGCCACUCAUGAAGCCAACCUGGCUGAUUUUGCAAAGCAGAAAGCAGAACUGGAUCAGAUGGUGGCCGGAUAUAAGGAAGCCAGGGCCACUGCGGACAAGCUGGAGAAGCCGAUGGAAGAGCUCCAAAAACAACUGGCAGAAUGCAGGGAGGUGCAGAGCAGGCUUGGGGCUGGACUGAGUUCUAAAACUAAGGCCACUUUCCUUGUGCAAAGUAUGGUUGCAGCUUCCAGGACAGCCUUGGAGAUUGCAGAGGCUUCAAUUCACCAGGGGGUGCUGCUCCAGAAAGAGCUUUCUGUCAAGAAAGCGAACCUGCAGGAGACUCUUAGAAAACUAGGAUUUUAGCUUCUUCUUUCCUUUUAUUGUUCGAAUAAUUUGCCGCAAAGGUGGCUAUUUUUAUAUAAGCUUUCAAAGCAUUUUACUGCUUUUCAUUUAUUCUUGAUGCAAUAACUGGAUACGGCUUUGAAAGUAAAAAACAGAACAACUUUAAAGCAAAAAUAAAUCUAAACAAAAUUCUUUUCAAGAAACAAAAAGGUCAAACUUGUUCCUCUUCUAUCCCGGGAUCUGUUUAUACAGCCUGCGAAUCCCACGUGGUUGGAUAGAACUUCUUUAACCAUUUACCAUUGAUUGGGGCAAAAUGAACAACUCCAUCUCGGUCCUGCAACCUGUAUGCCCCCAUUCCGAGGAUUUGGUUAAUUAUAAAAGGGCCUUCCCAUGUAGGUGACCAUUUCCCAUAUCCAGCUAUGUGUGCUCCAAGGGGCAGAAUUGCCUUCCAGACUAUCUCUCCCUCUUCAAAACUCUUGUUUUUGACUCUUUUGUUGUAGGCCCUUGAUACAGCCUGUUUUCCUGCUAAGAGUUUGUUGAGGGUGUCAAUUCUGCUUGCAUCCAAUUCUUCCAAUUCCAGCAACAUGGCUUGAGAGUAAUCCUCCCCAGUGAGACCAUGCUGGUGAGCAAUUCUAAGAGACUGGACCGCUAUCUCCAUGGGAAGAAUUGCAUCGUGGCCGUAGGUUAGAGCAUAGGGGGUCAUGCCAGUUGCUUCUCUCUUUGAAGUUCUGUAUGCCCACAAAGUUUCUGAUAACUUCUCAUGCCAUUACUUUGGAUUCUUCUCUAGCAUCUUUUUGAUGAUAUUGAUAAUCACCUUGUUACUUGAUUCCACCUGUCCAUUAGCUUGAGCAUAGUAAGGAGUAGAUUGAAGCAGUUUGAACUUGAACGUUUCUGCCAUAUCUAGCAUGUCCCUAGAUAUGAAAGAAGAACCCCUAUCGGUUGUGAUUGAUUCUGGAAUGCCAAACCUUUGUAUGAUCUGUUCUUCUAUAAAGGUGAUGAUCUCUUGAGAUGUUGUGGUUUUUACUGGCUUGGCCUCUACCCACUUGGUGAAGUAAUCUGUGGCAACGAUAAUGAAACAGUGCUGCUGGUUGCUGGCUGGAUAGAUUUUGCCAAUGAGAUCCAUUGCCCAUCCCCUGAAAGGCCAUGGUUUUACUACUGGAUUCAUGGGAACCGAAGGAGCCUGCUGGAUUGGGCCGUGCCUUUGACAGGCUUCACAUCCUUUGGAGUAGUUGAUGCAAUCCUUCAUCAUGGUUGGCCAGAAGUAGCCAUACCUUCUGAUUAACCAGCACAUCUUUCUUCCCCCUUGGUGAGCUCCACAGAUCCCCUCAUGGGUUUCUCCCAUGGCUUUCAUAUAUUCUGUCUUCCCGAGGCACCUUAAUAGUACCUCAUCCUUACUUUUUCGGACCAAAUCUUCAUUCCACAUGAGGUAGUUUGUAGCCAUGAUUCUGACUCUUUUCUUAGAGGGCAGAGUGGGAUAUCGUAAGUAAGUCAUGAUAGGCUCCCUCCAAUCAUCUUCAGUGAUCAAGGCAGAAUUGACUUCUAUCUCCAUUCCUCUCGUCAAAACAGAUGGUAGACUUUUCCUUCCUAUCUUGAUGAUCCUUUGGACGCAGUCUUCGGGCAUUUGUAUGCCUGAUGCCACCUGAGCCAGUUCAUUGGCUGCAAAGUUUUCCUCCCUUGGGAUGUUCUCCCAAGUAGCUUCUCUAAAUUCUGUUAGCAGAUUUCUAGCUGCUACUAGAUAUACAGCCAGAGAAGGAUUCAGACACUUAUAUUCUCCAGCAAUCUGUUUUAGGACAAGCAUGGAAUCUCCCAAGAUCUCCACGGACUGGACUCAUAAUUCUACCAACAUCUCGAGCCCUAUAAUCAAAGCCUCAUACUCGGCCAUGUUGUUGGUGCAUUGGAAAUCUAGCUGGAAGGAAUAGCAAUGUCUGACCCCUAAUGGUUCUUCCAGAACAAUCCCUGCUCCUGAAGCCUUGUCUGUCUUUGAUCCAUCAAAAUAUAACUUCCAAGGUGUGAGAUGAAUCGAGUAGAUUGGAUUGUUAAGGCAAACAUGAGCUCUAGUUAGCAGAUCUGCAUUUGCUAUGUCCAAAGAAUCCAUGUUUUCAAUUUCCUCUCCCGAGUGAUCUACCAAGAAGUCUGCCACAGCUUGCCCUUUGACAGCUUUCUGGGGGACAUACCUGAAGGUGAAUUCUGUCAAAGCCAAAGUCCAUUUCCCAAUUCUGCCCCUCAGCAUUGGUCUUGUUAGCAUGUAUUUGAUUAAGUCUGUUUUGGCAAUGAUGUAGAUAGUAUGUGGCAGCAUGUAGUGCCUGAGCUUUACAGCAGUGAAAUAUAAGGCCAGGCAAAGCCUUUCUAUUGCGGAAUACCUUCUUUCCACUUCUGUCAAUGUUCUGCUUAGAUAGUAGGCUGCCUGUUCUUUUCCUUCUUUGUUAUCUUGAACUAUUAGACUUCCAAUGGAUACUUCUGAUGCAGAUACAUAAAGCUUGAGGGGUCUGCCCCUUUUUGGUGGGGACAGAACUGGUGGAUUUGAGAGGUAAUGCUUUAUUUCCUGGAAAGCCUGUUGGUGCUGUUCUUCCCAUUUGAAUGUCUGUUCCUGCUUCAGUCUUAACAGGGAAGAAAAAGGUUGGAUUUUUCCUGCAGAAUUGGAUAUGAAUCUCCUUAGAAAAUUGAUUUUUCCUAAGAGACUUUGAAGUUCCUUCUUGUUCUGAGGUGGUAGAGCUUCUAUGAUGGAUGUUGCUUUAUUUCUGUCAACCUCUAUACCUCUCUGGUGGACCAAGAAUCCUAAGAAAUUCCCUGCUUGGACUCCAAAAACACAUUUUUUGGGGUUCAUUUUCAGUUUGUGCUGCCUCAUUCUUAGGAAUGCCCUUCUCAGGCUUGCUACGUGAUUUCCUUCCUCAGGGGAUUUAAUCACCACGUCAUCUAUGUAUACUUCCAAGGAAUGUCCUAUCAUAUCAUGAAAAAUAGAAUUCAUUGCCUUUGGUAGGUGGCUCCCGCAUUUCUCAAACCGAAAGGCAUUACAGUAUACUCGAAAGCACCUAUAUGUCCUGGACACAUAAAGGCUGUCUUGUGGAUGUCCUGUUCUGCCAUCAUGAUCUGGUUAUAACCUGCAUUGCCGUCCAUGAAAGAUAGCAUCUGGUUAUGAGUGGCUCCAUCCACUAGCAUGUCUGCCAUUGGCAUAGGAUAUUCGUCUUUAGGAGAUGCCUCAUUCAGAUUUCUGUACAAUAUUUGCUAACCAAUCGGAAUAGACGGCUGGCCUGAUGAAUCCUGCCUUGAGCAGCCUUUCUAUCUCUUCUUUGACCUUUAGUUCUGUGUCCAUAGACAUUCUUCUUCUGGCCUGUUUGACUGGAAGGUAGCCAUCUUUAAUUGGCAGCUUGUGCUCCACUCACUGCCUGUCCAAUCCUGGCAUUUCGUGGUAAUGCCAGGCAAAACAAUCUCUGAACUCCUGUAAAAGUGCCAUGAGUUCAGUCUUGAGUGGUUCCUUCAAAAGUGUGCUGAUGAAAGUAGGCCUUGGAUCUUCUUCUGUUCCUAAGUUUAUCUCCUGUAGAGGAUCCUCUACUUCUGGCAGGGAGUCAUCCAGUGCUGCUGGUGCAAAAUCUAAUACUUCCUCCUGUAAAAUUUCCUCCUCUUGCUCUUUUGUGCUUUCAUGGGUGAAUUCUGCCAUAUUGAUGGCUGGAUUCUGUAUGAAAAGCCUCCUUUCUCCCCAGUAUAUCAACAAUCUUUUUGUGAUGGAUCGGAUUGUUGCAGCUCGAUCCUUGUCUAGUUGAUUCGGACUAAACAUCAGAGUUCUGGAAGUUCAGCACAAAAAGGUCUAUUCCAGUCCUCUAGAGAACUGGCUAAACCUUCUUCAAUGAGUCUUUGGGCCGUGACACCAUGUGGACGGCCGUUCUGAUUGACUCCAAGGAAAGUGAAAGGACCGAGGUCAUCAUGAUAAUACCUUGUUUCAAAGCACAUGGCAGAGGGCAGGAAUGGCCGUGGAUCAGCCUCUAUAAUCUCCAUGCAGCCUUCUUCAUUCCAUAGUGCUAACUGCGGGUGGAGGGUGGAAGGAAUACAAAGGCUCUGGUGAAUCCAAUCCCUGCCAAGUAGUGCAUUGUAGGUGGUGGAAGUAGUGUCUAUAACAAAGAAUGCUAUUUUCAACUCUUUGCUUCCGAUUAUGACAUCCACAUCUAAGAUGCCAUGUAUUUUGGUGAUGCAACCAGAAGUUGGUGACGGUCAAUCGUGUUGGAAUCAGAUCUUUCUCUGUCCUGCCCAGCUUGGUCAGCAUUCUGUGGGGUAAUAGAUUAAUGGCUGCACCUCCAUUUACCAUGAUCUUGGAAAUAGGAAUACCCCCAAGAUUUGCCGUUAUAAACAAAGGUCUGAGGUGAAACAAGGUUGCUCUGUAGCUGGUUUAUUGGCUGUUCUGCCUGUCUUGGGGUUUUCUGCUUGUGGUUCUGGUGGCUCCUCUGCUUCUGCCAAUCUACAUUCAAAGCUUUCCUGAGAGAAAACAUCCCCUUCCAGAGUGCUUUCUUGUCCUUCGGCUGCCCUGAAUUUACUUGGUAGGAUGAAUACCAUGUUAAUUCCCAGAUCACCCUGUAGGAGGUCUUCUAAUUCUGCGCCAAAAGCUUCUGUUUCUGGGUCCAAUUCUACACCAAAUUCCAUUAAUUCUUCCCCGUAUUCUUCCGUCCAGUCAUCCUGUUCUGCUACUUCGAGGGGCUCUUUCUGAUCAUCUGCGGAAGGUUCAUAGUCCAAUUGCUCUUCUUCAUAUUCCUCAGUGUAGUCGUCUUCUCCUUGUAACGGGGUAGACCCAGAUUUCUCUGGUGUCUGCGUGGUGUCAGGACGGCUGCUGGACGACGAGGCCACAUGGAUAGGAGACCUGGCUGGGGGUUCUGUUUUCAGCAAUUCCCUUGACUGGCAAGCUUUCUGUUCUGUCUGGGGAAGUGUUUCAGGAUUUUUUCCUUUCCUAGCAGAACUGGGUUGUGAACGUACCUGCGUAUUAUCUUGGCUCUUAAGAUAUGUGCAGUAUUGCCUCUGGAUUCUCCUUUUCUGGGUUCUGGUUAGCUCCAGAGUCGGUCUACCGCUUCUUCCUACGGAAUACCAUCUCCCUUCUAUGAUCGUUGCCAAGGAUCUUUCGUUUCUGGGCAUCUUGACUGGUAUUUCCUUUCUGGGUUGCUCCAUCCUCCUCUCGCUGUAUUGUGUAGGCCUAAGACAGCUCUUCUGCCUUGUUUUGUCUCGGGAUGAGGUUCCAAUUCUGUCAAAGACACUAGGUGUGGGCUGAUUUUGUCUGUCUAGAACCACCUCUAGCUCUGUUUCACAUUUGCACCUACUGCAGAGCACUACCCCAGCCGAGAUGGUCGCUCUUGGUAUUUGACUGGUCUCCCUUAUGAUUCUUCUGCCUCUGCUGCAACCAGCAUCUGUGAUUGGCUCGGUUUUCCUCUGUUCUGGCCAAUUUAAGUUGACCAUAUUGACUUGUGGUUGAGGAAAAGGAUCCGUUGUGACGGAUGGUGGUUUUUCUGCCAGUUUCAACCUUCCUGCCGUUAUCCCUUCUUGUAUUACGUCCCUGAAAACAACACAACUAUUGGUAGAAUGGUUCCAAGAGUUGUGCCACCUGCAGUACUGUCUGCCCUUGAGUUCUUCCGGCUUCGGUAUUCUGUGAGGCGUCUCUAUUGCCUUCUACAGUAGCAUUUCGUGGAACAAGGCAUCAACCUUGGUUAAGUCAAAAGAGUAAACCUUGUUUUACGUUGGUUUGUUUGGAACGAAUCCUCCUGUGAAUGGUGGUGGCUUUUGGUCUUUAGGUGGCUUUGUGAGGGCUUUGCAACUAAUGGGAUGUUUUAGUUUUGCCAUUUCUGCCACUGAAACCUCUUUCUCUUCUGAUUCUUCUGCAUCUUCUUGUGAUUCCACCUCGAUCAGGUGGACUGAAGAAGAAGGGGUUUUAUAGUAUGUACCUUUGGAGGAGUUCCUCCUUUGCUGUUCCUCCCUGAGUAACUCCUCAUAUUUGGAUGCCUUAUCAGCCAGUUCUGCCAGAUCUCCGAACAAUAUCCCGUCGAACCUUUUCCUGAGAGAGAUUUUAAGGGCAACUUGGGCCAUCUGGAUGAAGUGUCUUUCUUCCAUCGGGAUUCGGCACUUCAUUUUGAGCUUUCUGAACCUGGUUAUGAAAUCUUGGGCCGGUUCAUCUUCACUUUGCUUGAGGGCAGCUAGAUCACUGAUGGUGACUUCUGGCUGAAUCCUGUAAUAGUAGUCAUGGAAGACAUUUUCCAUCUGUUCCCAGGUUUGAACAGAGUUAGCUGGCAGGCUGGUGUACCAGGUAAAAGCUUGCCCAAAAAGAGAGUUGCCGAAAAGCCUUAAUUUCAGCAGAGGGUUGCUUUCUAUAGCUAUGCAUUGGACGGAGAACCUGCCUAUAUGUUCAACUGAGGAAGAAUGGGGGUCUUCCCCAUUGAACAAAGUGAAGUUUGGCACUUUGAAACCUGGAGACAACAGUAUUUGAUCGAUAUAGGCUGGGUAUGGCUUUCUGUAAGUAGGCCUUUCCCCUAUUCUAGCCUCGGGUUCCAUGAUUUCUCUGAUCAUUCUUUGCAACGCUCCUAUGUCAUUCAAAGCAUUGACUGGGGGAAGAUUUUGUCCCUGUUCUGGCUGAACGUAAUCAAACCUGGGCUCUGCUCUGUGUGGUCUGGGUGGAACUUCCUCCCUGUGUUCUUCCUGCUCUUCGACUUCUGGAUGAUUCCUCCAGUUUGCCCCCGGUCUAUUCCUGUCAUGAUUAGCAAAAAGGUUGUUCCCUCCUCGGCCUCUCCUCCUUCUUGCAAGUGGAGGGAAUGGAUUAGGGUCCAUCCUUCUGGGUCUAUAUGGCAAUACUGCCGGUGGUUCAGGCAGAAGCGCCAAAGGUUGAUCAUGUGGGAGCACAUGAAGUGGAAUGGGCUGAGGUUCUGGCUGGUUCUGAGCCAGUGCCAGGUUAUCUGGUUGAGCUGGGGCUUCAUGUUUUUGAUUAGGAAGGGCUCCUUCCCUCGGACCAGCCUGAAUUUCUCCGUGGUCUGGCACUCCAGCCAUCUGUGCAACUAGGAAAUUUUCCUGGUAUGGCCAUAUUAGUCCUGGCGGAGGGCCAUAAGGGAGAUCCAACUGCUGGAUUACAGGAUCUGGGUUUGGGUUUCUGGCCAUGGCGGAUUCUCGGUCCUUCCGGAACUGUCUGUUUACCUGCCAUUACAUCAUGGCUGUCAUGUUAUUGAGAGUGUCCUGGCUCCUUCGUACUGUGAUCUCUUGUCGGAGUACUGACUCCUGUAUUUGAUUCAUCCUUUUGGAGCCAGUCCUGGAACGUCUACUUCCUGUACUGCCGUGGGCAGAUUGCCUAGCAUCGCUUUUUUCUGAUUCGAGGCCUUCCCUGAGAACCAUCUUGUUUUUCUCCAUAUCUGGUGUGGGUUCUGACUAGAUCUUCCGGUAUUUGUGAAUCUGUGAAUGAUUCUGUCAGAGUAUAUAUACUGAGAAGUCCCACUGGGUGUGCCAAAUUAUUCACCCGUUUUCGUGUUUUACUCCUGAGGUGGAAGGGCGAAGUUCCCCACUAGCUUGGAGACCACUUGUUGGUCGACAAGUCAGCUUUCUUUGGUGUGUGUGAGCGUGCCACUGCUAGCAAUGUAAAUUCUAGCAGACUUAUUUUUUAGAGUGGAUAACUUGCGCCUCAAGUUACUGACUUCUAAAACAAAUGAUUGUGAAUUUGGGUGAGGAAUAUCUCCCAAGUAAGUUCUUUUCUUGCCUCAGACUGGUGAGGACUUUCACAAUUUAUCUCAGUAUCAAAUGGUUGUUCUGGCCAGAAUAGAUAAUAAUAAAGUAGACUGUUUCAGGCAGAACUGCCUUUUACAAAAUUAAGAAGGGAGAAAUCAACUCUAGAAAGGCAAAAAGAUGGCUGGAAUCCCAUUUCUGCCUGGGUAGAAACUUCUGAUCCGGGCUGGACUGGGUAUGUCUAUGCUGGACGGUGCUGUCAACAACUUUAGCUUGCUCGGCUUUAGUUGUAAAUCGAUACCAAAGUUCAAUUUUGGCAGAGCUUCAAUCUACUUCAAGCCUUGGGAGACUUUUGAGUGGGCAGAACUGCAGCUUCUUCAGUUUGAAGGGACAGAAGUGGCUAUUCUCGAGGAUUUAGCAAGCUGGAACUAUGCUAUAAAAUUUGUUGAGGUUUUCAUAUUUGUGAAAACUCAAACUAUGUUUGUCUUGGCUUUUGCUGAACCAAAUUUGUAACGAGAGGGAUCUUGUUUUCAGAAGACUUAUUUUCUAAGUCUGAACUUUGGAAUUCUGAUCUAAAGCUGUUUUCUUGUUUGUUUUUUUUUUAUUGACUGAUGAAUUGAGUGUCCUUUGUUUCUUUGCCUUCUUUCGCUUUUAUAAGAGAUCCUCCUAAGGAGGUCAUUUUUAAUCCUAAACAAUGGGCGGCAAAAAGAUCUCUUAUAAUGUAAAGUAAGAAGGGUUUCUUAUCAAUCAAGGCAGAUAGGUUCUGAGCAGUCACCUCCUAAAAACAGUCCCUUCCCUGGUUUCCUGGGUGGCAGCUUUCUAAUUCAACCAACGCCACCGUCUGUGUGGGCUUUUUAUGGCGGUUUUGGCUCUUUUCUUUUGUAUUUUCUGAGUGGUUCCCUGUUUCCCGUUCUAAUUUAGAAAGCGUGAUCCGUGAAUUCCUUGGGAGAUGGUGUAUUGAUUUGGAGCAAAAUCUUGAACACAGAUGGGUUUUUGAUCUUCAAUUGGCAGUGUUUCAGAGACGUCCCUCUCACAUUUUUAAACUUUAGUUGGAAUUGCUGACUUUUCCAAAGUUGAGGCAAUCACGUGGGUGUGUCUUUGAUCCCUUGGUUUUGAAUCUUUCAAAAAUUACGGGCUGAUCUUUGAAGCCCAUUUCGAAAGUUUCCACAUCUGGGCUUUCUUUGGGCUGAGGCUUUAUUUCCAACAUUCUUGGUGUGAACUGGACUAAACAGUUAGUCGGACCAGACCGUCUACACAUAUGAACUGGACUCACAAGCCUAUGUUUUUUGAGCUCCCAUAUUGGUCGAAACUCAAAUUGAGGCACAAUCUAGAUGUGAUGCAUGUUGAGAAAAAUGUAUUUAACACAUUGGUGGGCACGAUUCUAGAUAUCGAGGGCAAGACAAAGGACACAAUCAAAGCCCGUCUUGAUUUGGAAAGAAUGGGCAUACAAAGGGGUUUAUGGAUGAACAGGGACAGUGAUAAAGCUAGAAGGGAUCUUGCAUUCUUUUCUAUGAAACCGAAUGAUAAAAAAGAGUUUCUAAAGUUUGUAUCGUCUGUAAAGUUUCCUGAUGGGUAUGCUUCUAAUAUCGCACAUUGCGUGAAUGUUGACGAGGGUAAAUUUACUGGACUGAAGAGCCAUGACUGCCAUGUGUUUAUGCAACGCCUACUUCCUGUGGGUAUUCGACAUCUAUUGCCGGAAGAUGUUGUGAAGCCAAUCAUGUUGUUGUCCAGAUUUUUUUCCCAACUGACGGCAAAAACAUUGCGAAAGACAGACAUAUUUCAGUUGCGCCAUGACAUUGUCCAAGUCCUAUGCAAGUUUGAGAUGAUAUUUCCUCCAGCUUUCUUCACAAGUAUGAUGCACGUGAUGGUUCACUUGCCAGAAGAGGCAUUGCUUGCUAGUCCUGUCAACUAUCGCUGGAUGUAUCCAAUAGAAAGGUAUAUAAUCUUUAUCGUUUGUGUAUGCAUCAUUAUCACAGACUUGCUAAUUUGUAUCAUAUCGUUUUAUUUUGACAGGCUUCUCGGAGAGCUGAAAAAAAGUGUACGCAACAGGGCGAAGCCCGAAGGAUCAAUUAUAGAGGCUUGGGUUCAAUAUGAGUCGCUUACUUUCUGUGGAAUGUAUUUAAAAGAUGUGGAGACGGCUUUCAAUCGUCCUCAACGCAAUAACGACGAAGGUAUGAGAAAGGAAAAACUUUCUGUUUUUGCCCAAAGUGCACGACCCUUUGGAGAUCCUGGACGAGGAGAGUCGUUUUCUAGAAAUGACAUGGAGGUAGCGCAUUGGUUCGUACUGAACAAUUGUGAUGAGAUAAUGGCAUACUUAGAUAAGCAUGAAGAGAUGAUGAAGCGAGAACAUCCAUCACAUUUAGUUGCCCAGAAACACCGUGAAUUGUUUCCACAAUGGUUUUUGGAUUCUGUAAGUUAUAAGUGUUUUGUAUUUGACAAAUAUAAAUUGUAGUAUUUAAUUUUGUCAGACUAACAUGUGAAUGGUUUUGUAUUAUAUUAGGUGAAUAAGUUGAAAUCAUCGAAUUCCCCCACUUACAGUGAUGAGUUAUAUAACUUGGCGUUCGGCCCAAUUCGCGCUGAAUUGUUUCGGGUUGUUAUAUUAAUGGCGUCAAAUUUUUGGGAGCCGCACGAGAUGACAAGUUGUGUAUGCAAAACAGCGGUGUCCAUGUCCCAGGUGGAGGCGAAAGUACGAACAUUGAUUUCUAUGGCAAACUCACAACUGUCAUUCAAUUGCUUUACAAAGAUCGAUACUAAGUGAUCAUGUUUAAGUGUCGAUGGUUUGAUAGCAACCCAAAUAGGCCGGGAAGUGUUAAAAUCAACCAUGGCUUACUAUCUGUGAACAUUAACAGAACUUGGUAUGAUGACGACCCUUACAUUUUGGCAAACAUGGCAACACAAAUUGUGUAUCUAGAUGACCCUAAAGCCGGGAGCAGUUGGAAAGUUGUUCAGAAGAUGGAUCAUAGGAACUUGUAUGCUAUACCAGAACUAGACCCAACUGACAAUGACGUCAACAAUGUGGCUGACCAACGUUUAGAAUCUUCAAUGGAAAAUGAUGCGGAAACACUUCGAGAUACACAUGUUAUACAAGAACCGUUUCAAAUACAAGGAGUGUCUUCAAUCGAAAUACCGAUUCAGUCAAUUACAAUUGACCUCGGGGAUCUUCCAAGAUUCGAUGUUGCAGUGAGCCCGAGCAACGAAGAUGAUGUAGUUAUAGAGGAGGAGGAGGAGGAUUGGGAGACUGAAAGUGAUGAUAGCGAAGAUAACGAAAGUUAUUAUAGUUCAGAUGAUGAAUAAUUAAAUUUUUUAUAUUUUUAUUAUGCUAGUGUACAGACUUUGUGUAAAACAAAAGUUUGAAUAUAUGUAGUUGUGAUAUCCAAACCUUAUAUAUGUGGACAACUGAAACAUUAUUAAAAUAAAUUUAGUUAUAAAACAUCGGUAAAUCAAUAUAUCCAAACCCUUUUAAUAUUCAUUUAAAAUUUUUUUUUUUGACAAAAACGUUUACAAAAUGAAAAUGAUAAAAUAUUUGUUAUAAAACAUUGAUAAAUAAAUAUAUCCAAACCAUUUUCAUACAAAGUUUGAAAAUUAUUGACAACAAACAUUUUUCAAAAAUGAAAAUCCUUGCGCGACGAAGUACACCUCGUCACGCAAAGUUUGCGCGACCCAGUAAACAGUCGUUGUGUAAAGUUAAAACAUUGCGAGACAAAUUAUCAUCCGUCACGCGAUAGAAUUUUGCGCGACGAAUAUUUACUCUCGUCGCGCAAAUGUAUAUUCUUUUAUAAUAUAUUUUAUAUACACAUAUAUAUUCGAAAUUGACGAUCGAGUUAGUUCAUUGUAUUCAUAUAGGGUCAUGGAGUGUAGCUGUAAAAAAUCAUCAAAAUCGGAGUUAAAAUAACUGUUAAAUCAUGACUUUUCAUUUAUAACCGUUCAAAAAUUUUGUCCCGAUACUUGAUCUCUGAAUGUUUUUUUUUUCCGAUUUUUGGGGCCUAAGAUCUCGAAGUAUAAACAAACACGUUUGACGGCUGGAUUAUUGAAACUACUUUCGUAGAAUGCGUAUGCCAUCAAAACUAUAUAUUCACCAACAAUGAAUAGUUUACUUAUACUUUCAUUAAAUAUAACAUAAGAUUAUGUGGUAUCACCCUAGUGUAAACAUCUUAAAUUGAAGAUCAAAUUCAGUAAUUGUAUUCAUAUAGGGUCAAGAAAAGUAGCUAUAAAAAAUCAUCAAAAUCGGAGUUAAAAUAACCGUUAAAUCAUGACUUUUCAUUUAGAUUCGUCGAAAAGUUUUGUACUGUUACUUGAUCUCUUAACGUUUUUUUUGUCAGAUUUUCGGCGUAUACGAUCUCGAAAUAUAAAAAAACAAGUUUGCCGGUUAGAUCAUUAAAACUAGUUUCGGGUUUAGGAUUUCUGCAGUUUAGGGUUUAGGGUUUGCGCGACGAAGCCAUUUCGUUGGUCGCACAAAGCCUGCAAAGAACAGUCUUGCGCUACGAAACUAGGAUUCUUUGUCACGCAAUCUCAACCAGCCCUUUCACCCUCUUCCUCCUUGGACACUUAGCCAAAAAAAGUUGCGAGUUUACAGAAAGCGGCUUUGCGCGACGCUGCCGGUAUUCGUCGCGCAAUAUGUAUGCCAAUAAAACCUAAAUCCCAAAUUUUGGCGAAUUACAACUUUGCGCGACGAAUAUGGGAAGCUUCGCGCAAAGUUUUCAAUCUUUCCCGCUAAACCCUAAGUCCCAAAAUUUUGGCGGAUUGACAACAUUGCGCCACGAAAGAAGGUACUGUGCGUCGCACAAAGUUUUCAAUCUCUCCCGCUAAACCCUAAGUCCCAAAAUUUUGGCGGAUUGACAAUAUUGCGCGACGAAAGAAGGUACUGUGCAUCGCGCAAAGUUUUCAAUCUCUCCCACUAAACCCUAAGUCCCAAAAUUUUGGCGGAUUGACAACAUUGCUCGACGAAAUAUGGUACUGUGCGUCGCGCAAAGUUUUCAAUCUCUACCCAAUAUUUUGCCGGAUUGACAACAUUGUGCGACGAAAGACGAUACUGUGUGUCGCGCAAAAACUACCCUGAUACCAAAUUUUGGGAUUAACAAUAUUGCACGACAGAAGUUAUACUUAUGUCGUCGCGCAAGUGUCAAUUAAAAUAUUUUGCGUGACGCUUUUGUUUGUUCGUUGCGCAAAAUCGAAUAAAAUUGCAGAAACGACGCGAUAGCCUCCUUCUUCCCCAGAUUUGUUUUUCUACCCUAACUCUCUCUCUCUCUCUCCGCCUUCAGCUCAGCCCCCUACCCCAGUGGAUUUUGGACGACGGCGCCACAACAGUGGUACCCCGGAGGUUUCCCGCCGUCACCGUCGAGCCAGCCGCCCUAAUUCCUCGAUUUUCACCGAAUCUGCGCCGCCGUCGUUCUCUCUCCUUCGGCGACCAAAUCCGACACCUGAGGUAUGGUUUCUGUCCUAUUUUUGAUGCUUUAACUGAUGGUUGGGUAGGAUUUGUGUAAUUGUUGCAAUAGGGCAGUGGAUUUGAAACCCUAAAUUUCGACCGAUUUUUGAAUUCCAAUUCCGGCCACUUCUGGCCAUUUUUCAGGGUAGGUCCGAGAACAAAAGUGGCUCCAAUUGAUGUUUUGAACCUAGGGUAGGAACCUUGGCCCUUAGUUUUAAGAAAUUUUCGACGAUUGGUAUCGCUUUGGACACCCACGCUCUGCCAGCGCUUGUGGUGGCGCGUGGGGUACUGUAGCAGUCUUGCAUUGGGUCCCAGUGCAAUCCCAUAUUUGUCACGAGCGCGUAGGUGUUUUCGGAUUGGAAUUUGGUUACCGUUUGAGUCUCGAACGGAUUUUGCCUAUUGUGCGAUUUCCGGGUUUGUUAUGUUCGGACCGUUGGAUCGAACUCAAACUCACGUAUGGUGUACCUUGUAUUUCUUGGAUCGUCUAGGAUUCGACGGAUCGUGGAUCGGAGUCCCGAAUACUCCGAACUCGCAAACCCUAGGUCAAGAAUCUUAAUAAAAUUGUAUGUGCUUUCAAAUAUUCGUAUGUUUUAUUAAUUUGUAUGUGUAUUAAUGAAAUUGUGUAGAUGUCAGACCUGAUUAGACGUCGUAGGGCGGUGACGACUACGCAGAGUUCUGAGCCCCCGGCUCAACUGACAUCUGCUGCCACUGCGCCAGCACUGAUGGACCACUUGGCAGUUGGUCCCGCGGGGUCCCAGGCUCCUGCUUCAUCAGCUUCAUUAGUGGCACAACCUGUUAGCGCCAGGAAGCGUCAUCGGCCUGCCAGCACCACCGACACCACAUCCACUGAUGCGUCGGGGUCACAGCCAGGUAUAGAUUUCCUUAAACUCCAGUUAUUUAUAUUUUUGUUUUUGUUUUUAUUUUUGUUUUUGUUUUUGUUUUUGUUUUUAUUUGUGUGUGUAUUUUAUAGUUAAAUUUGUUAUUUAUUUAACAUUAAUGUCAUCUUUCUUUGCAGCCAAGAAGAACACCCGAGGGCCGUGUCGGUAGUUGAAGACGGCGAAGGUCACUCGGGUGACCAACAGUCGUAUCAACAUCGGAUACGACAAGCGACAUCGGGCUGCACCGACGGCGGAGUUGCAUAGCUCCUUGGCCCACGACAUUGGUGAUGUCAUUCCGAGCCAUUGCCCGAUGAAAUGGAAGUCUUGGAAGGUGAUGCCUGACGAGACCAAGAUGGAGGUUCGCGGCCAGUUGUCAGUAUGUAGGCCUUUUAAUUCUUUUUCUUUCAAAUUUUAUAUUUCUAUUAUUUAAAUGUAUUUAAUUAAUUUAUUGCAGACGAACUACAACUUGGAGGACCUGGACGACGAGUCGUUGGCGUACAUCAACAGACUCUUCUCUGAGAGGUACAAAUAGUGGAAGAGCGACUUGCACCACUAUUUUGAGGCGUUUGAUGAUCCAGAAGUCUCUCUUCAGGAGGGUUGCCCGAAGGAGCUUGAGGGGCGGGAGGAUAGUUGGGCGUGGCUCUGCUCUCAUUUUCAGGCGCCCGCUUUUGUGGUAAUUUGUAAUAUGAAUUUCAAAUUUAUUAUAUUUUUCUUACUAAUGUUUUUUUAAUGUUUUAUAUUUAAUUUCAAUUUCAACUAAUACGUUUUAUUUUUUGUAUAACAGAAUAAAGCCAAAGUCAAUAAGGGCAAUAGGAAGAAGAAGACUCUUCUCCAUCAUUCGGGUUCCAGGCCCUUCUCCUAUAGGAUGGAUGCAUGGCGGCAGGUAAUCAUAAAAAAAAUUUUAUUUAAUUUUUAAUAUUUAAUUAUUCUUAAUUUAUUUUUUUGUACUAAUAUUUUUCUUCUCUUGUUCAAUUUAGGGGGGUCCAAAUUCCCAGAGAUCGACGUCUUUGGCGACGUUUAUGUUCGACCUGGGAAUGAGUUGGGCGAGUCCCUUCAUGUAAGUAUUAUUUAAUUUUAAUUAUUAUGUUACGCAUUCAAGUUUAAAGGUUAUUAUAUGAAUGUUUUAAUUUAUAUUUUAUGUUAUGCUAAACAGAUGACGAUGGUGGAGAGGAGCCAGUUGGUUCUUCAAGAGUCCGCCUCCCAACUUCCUUCCGAUACUCCGAUCGAGUCUGUGGAUCCUCCACAGGAUGCUGGGUUUCAGAUCUUGACGGAGACAUUGGAUCAGACUCUAGGGAGGAGACCGGGGAUAUAUUGUCGAGGGAUGGAGAAUGCCAGGCGGAGGGAAGCCAGACCCCGUUCAUUAGCGCAGUCAAGCAGUCAGGUCACUGCUUUGACAGCACAGGUGGCCACUCUUCAGAGUCAGAUGUCGGACAUUCUGCAGUCCCUCGCACAGUUCGGCAUUCCAGUCCCGCAUUUUGAUGCGCCGACCUCUGAGCCCGUCCAUCCUGAGCAUCCCCACCAGACGACGGCCCUUGUAGACCCCCAGACCUCUGAACCGCAUGUGCCAGACGACAAUGUAGAUUUUGGAACAUUAUGAUUAGUUUUUUUAUUUUCAUAAUUAUUUUUUAAAUAUUUCUCUUGCAGCAUACAUUUAUUUUAUAUAAUAAAUAUGUUCUUUACAAUUCUUUUUUUUAUUGGAAUUUCAUUUUAUUACCCAAAAAAAAAAAACCAAAUUUAUUUUUUUAUAAAAUAAAAUAAAAAGUAAUAUUAAAAUUAAAUAAUAAUUAUAUAUAUUAAUUUUGCGCGACGAAAUCUUUCUCGUCGCGCAAAUUUAUAUAUUACGAAAUAAAAAUGUUUCAUUUUUUUAAAUACAUAUAAUUUAUUCUUGCGCGACGAAUAUUUUCGUCUCUCAAAAAGGAUUUGCGCGACAACAGUUUUUCGUCGCGCAAAAUGUGUUGACACGAAUUGCACGACGAAGAUAUCUUUGUGCCGCAAAUAUCUACGACACGUAUUGCGCGAUGAAAAUGUUCGUCGCGCAAAAAACGUAUGCGCGACAACAAUGUUUCGUCGCGCAAUACGUGUAGACAUGAAUUGCGCGACGAAGAACUCUUGGUGCCGCAAAUGUGUACGAGACGUAUUGUGCGACGAAUAUUAUUCGCCGCGCAUCGUUGUGGCGACGAACCCGCUUUCGUCGCGCAUAAGUUUGUGCGACGAACUAUUGCAUCGUCUCUGAACCUUUUGUGCAACGAAGGGUAACCGUCGCACAAAUUUGCGCGACGAGUGAUACAAUCAGUCGCGCAAAGUCUUUCUUCACCAUCUUUGCACCACAGAUUACGCGCGACGAAUUUUCUGUCGUGCUUGAGUUUGUGCGACCAAAUUUAACUCUGCGCGACGAAAUUGGCUUCGUCGCGCAAAUCGUAAAAUGUAGUAGUGGAAGUUAUCAACAUCUAUAGGAACCCCAAUGAAAAGGCUGUUAACUAAUAAUGAAGUAAACCCCUCAAUGUUUCCGCGUAUCAGAUAUCUCUCAGAAUAUGCGAUUCCAUACUCAAUAAGCAACUCCACAUCCCCUGAGGUUUUCACCAAACCACCCAUUAAGGAAACAUACUGACUCAUGUGUAAUUAUCAUUACUCAUCGGGUAAUGCAAUUGUUCAAAGGCAAGGACAUUUCUCAUUAUUUCUGUAGUGAACCCCAAUGGAAAUGGUGGGAUCUUCAGAACCCCAUUGGUGCUACUGAAUUGUAUGUCAAAUAUGUUUUCACCUUGUCGCGCCUCAAACUUGACUCCAGCGUGCUGUAAUUCUGUCAAGCUGGGUAUGGAUGAUGGGAGUUCCCCUCCAGCUUUUGAUUCCAACGGUUGAUAGAGUUUAAAUAUUUUCCUGUAAAGAUCAACAAUAUGUGCCACUGAUCUAAAAGUCUCCAAAUUGUCUUCCAUUUUGUCAACAGGCAAUAGAUGUUCGAAGAAACUGAAAGAAAGACUAAUUAUUGAAAGCCCCUCAGUAAUGCAGUUAUUGUCAGCAUCAGCAGGGAGUGUAAUUUUCUGUGGGUCGAAAAGAUCCUCGAGAAUGAAGAAUGGCAACUGAUUUUCAAGCAACCACAUAUCUGUCCAUACAUCUUGCAACAUACCUGGUUUGUCAAAUAUGCGGUCAUUUUCAUCCCAAAAUUUGAAGUAGUCCUUCAAUAAGAGCUCAAUAACGAAGGCGGCAUCCACUAGAAUGAUUGUUACAAAUUCAUCACUGCUAAACUUGAUGGGUUCUCCAUAACAACGUCUCAAUCUUGCUUCGUGGUCCUUUAUUUUCUUAAUAUAAUCCUCCAAACUCACAUUGGUCCGACCUAUAAAAUCUUGCAGGUAUCUCUGUUUGUGCUCUUCCUAUACGACAUUCAAGCCUUCCUUUCCAUGGUGAAGUGGGCCUAUAGAGACCACCUGAGGUGUGCAGAGCUUUUCAUUCACACUUCGUAGUCGUUGAGGAACUCUGUAGAUACAGCACUUGGAGGAUGGGGGAGACAAGCUAUUGAACCCUUUUCUCAUCGAAUUUGCUAAUGAAAUGUAUGGGUUUUCUAUGUCAUUUUGAGCAGAUUGAUGGCUUCCUGCCAUUUUCCAGCUCCUGACUAUAUGUGGUGUUCCGAUUGUAACAGAUUACAAUAAUGAUGAGUAUGGAUAACUGAAUUACUGAUAAAACAAUCAAGAAACAUUUCGUUAUUUUCCAUUCCCAAUAACGAAAUCAAAAUGUUCAAGGAAAUAUAAUCAGGAUAUUGCAAUUAUAUAGCCAUUCAUAAGCUGCCUGGCAUGGAAUAAGAGGUGGAAACCAAAUCUACUUAUUGGCCAAAGUUCGAAUUCACUAUAUAUAGAUAUAUAUUUUGCCAAAAUCUAAAACUGACCAACCUUAGAUACAAAAACACGGUACAGCCCGGUUAAAGUAAUUCCAAGUGCGAAGAAAGAAAGGAAUUGAGCGUUUGUACCUCUACAGCUAGCCAAAUUUUCUAUUGAUUCUUUAAAUUUUAGAGAGCAAUUACUCUUAAUUUGGUAGGUGUAGGACUGUGCAACUUCAAGCUUUAAUGAAAGAAGCCAAGUUUAUUCUAAGGGGACAAGUCAGAGACAACGAAAUUUUGCUCAGCUUCAUUUUCAAAUUUGCUGCUUAAGAAGGAAAUUUAAUAUGUUUGUUUCACAAAUUGUAUUGUCAUCAAUGAAACUCGUGCACACCCAACGAAAUUUGCAUGGCUUAUUUUCAAAGGAGUACUGCUAUUUCCAUCCUCUGUCCUAUUUUUCCACUCACCUUAUCUUCAAAAUUUUAAAGACAAAAAUAAACCCCUUUGUAAAAUGCUUAAAAAGAAAUUUAAUAUGUUUGUUUCAAAAAUUGAUAUUGUCAUCAAUGGUUAAAGAAUUGCUGGUGACAACAUAUACUUCUUUUCUACUGUAUUAAUUUCUUUCUUUAUUUUUUCUUCAGUAUAGUUCUGCCUUUCUUUUACAUGUUUAUGCGCAUAUUUGACACGUUCAAGUAUACUUAUAUAACAAAUGCAAUGAGUUUGUAGUCACAAAAAUCAAGGAUUGAAAACAAAAAGUAAUAUUAUGUGCAAGAGAAACUUACCUGCAGAAACUGAAGAACUCCUCUAGUUUCUUCUCUGUCGCUAUGUACUCCCGCGUUCAAGUUAUUAUUCUUACAAUGUACAUACACUAUUAUAUAAUGGCGAGAAGGCUCUGAUUAACCUCCUUUUUGCUUCAUUGGAUGGGGCAAGAAUGGAAUUGUCACCGUGGGUGUGGAGGUGAUCUACCAUUUGAGCAAGAAAUUCCCACAUAUUCUUUAACUAUUUUUCAAGCAUGCAUAUUCCUCCCUAUCAAUCUUUGGUCUCUUCUUUUACUAUUUUUCAAGCAUGCAUACUUUGAUUUUAAAUCAUCUUUUCCGCACUAAUUUGCUUCAAUCAAGAAACAGUUAAUAUAUUUUGUAUCAUCAUUAGAGAACACUUGAAACUGCAUAAGUUAAUUUUGAAGAUGAUGGCAGAACCAAAAUGUGUAUAGCUUAUAACUAUAAUUUCUUGAUUACAACAAGAGGUUUCAAGUUUUCAACAACACAAAUAUGAAUCUCCCAAGCAAAGAUAAACAAUAAAGCAAGCAUACGGAUUGUCAAAUUGCCUUCAAUCACUCUAAAAUACUUCAUACCGUCCGACACUGGCUUCAAUUACUCUACAAUACUUCAAUUCAUAUAUUGUCCUAUUUUCACAUGUACAUCCUGCUUUUACUUAAGGGUUAAUUGUUGAUUUACCCCUUGAACUUGUACUCUACUUUCAAUUUGCACCCUCAACUUUUUUUUUUGAAAAUUAGGUGCAUGAACUAAUUUUUAUUGCCAAUUCCCCCUACCAACAUGUCAUCUAAUAGUCUGUCAAAUCAUUAAAAAAUAUAAUAUUUUUGGAAAAAAUUAAAGAAAAAAAAAUUCCUAAGGACCCACAGACCCAGAACCCACCCUCCGUUGCCCCCGCUUGCUGUUUUCUUCUCCUCCCAGUCCCCCAUGACCACCACCCUCCACUGCCACACCAAUCCCCUACCCAACAGACCCCUCACCCCUUCUUUUUUUUCACCCCCGAACCCAGCAUGAGUUAUUGGUUAAUACCAUUUUCUUAAUUGCCAAAUAAAAAAAAAAAACAGAGUUAACCCUCUGUUAAGCUAGCUGACUAGUGGGGCGAAAUGGAGGAAAAUCAAUAUGGAGACAGCGGAUCCGGUCCCGUGUAAGUGUAUCUGAUGGAAUAAAAGAAUGAUAUUAUUGGUGGUGGGUACGGUUAUGUGGAAGUAAUAAUGGGUAAGAGAAGAAACUUGUUCUCUUGUGAUAAUCAAAAGACAGAAAGUAGUGGGAAAAGACAGAAAGUAGUGGGACACUAUUUUAGAUAUGAUAAUGUUCCUUCCUUGAUUGAUGCAAAUGAAGAGAAAAGGGUGGCUUUAUAUAAUAGCCACUACCGACCUAACACAUUAAAAACACAACUAACACCAAACAUAGUUAAUUCAACUAACUUCUACCACACCAUUAAUUUAACACACAACUACUAACAAACUGCCAACUAUUUCAAAGUUACCAGCCGACUAUUAAUGAAGUCUAGAUUACUUUAACAUCCUCCCUUAAGCUAGACUUCAUUUACGCCAAUUAAUUUUCUCAUCUUGAUGAGCGGCUCUUUCUUCAACGGUUUGGUGAACAAAUCUGCCAGCUGAUCUUGGGACUUGCAAUACAGAACCUCAACUUCUUUAUCUUUGAUUAGCUCUCUGAUGAAAUGGAACUUGAUCUUGAUGUAACACCCCGACCCCAAAUUUUCCCAAAUUUUACCCUUAUUUAAUUAUUUAAUUAUUUAAGGGUAUUUUAGUCAUAUUUUUAACCGGAGAGAGUUUGGGACCGUGACUAGUAUUUUUGGAUAGGUCGAGCUGAGACGAGUUCAUAGACACGUAGUGGGCUCGAAUCGGAGUUGUAACGAGAGAGAUAUGGUCAAAAGAAGCCCAGUGGCACAAUCGUAAAUAUUUCGAAAUGGGAUUUUUUAUAAAAACUCAAAUUUUUCUCUCUCUCUCUCUCUCUCUCUCUCUCUCUCUCUCUCUCUCUCGCGACUCCUCUCUCUCUCUCCCGUCGGCCUCUCCUCUCUCUCUCUUCGUAACUCCGGCCACCGGCCGCGGCUGCGGACGGGGCCGGUGUCAAAAGAACCGGCUCGACCUCGGCAUCACGACCCAGCCCAUCCCCGCCAUCGGCCGCCGCUCCAGCCGCCGGAAAAUGGCGAUUUUCGCCCAGAUGUCGCCGGAACUUCAACGCCGUCGAUCUCCCUCCUCCGGCCACCAAUUCCGUCGACCCAGGUAUGGAUUUUGAACCUCUCGAGCUGCUCUAGCUGAUGGUUGGGUAGGAUUAGAUCGAUUCUUAGCGUAGAUCACUCGAUUUUCGAAUUGAAAAUCGGCCGAAACUUCGGCCGCCGUGAUCGGCCAUUUCCGGCCACUUUUUGGGGUAGGUCCAAGAACAAAAGUGGCUCCAAAUAGGGUGUUAUACCUAGGGUAGGAGUUUGGAGCCGUGGUUUUGAGAUUUUCCGGCGGAGCGUUAUCGCUUUGGGCACCCACGCGCUGCUGGCGCGUGCGGCGGAGCGUGGGCACUGUAUAAAAAGUAGCGAUGUAUUCCGAUGAGAUCCUUAGGUUGUCACGAGUGCGUAGGAUUUUGCGGAUCUCAAUUCGGACGUCGUUUGACUAUCGAACGAAUAAUCGCAUAGUGUGCGUUAUCCGGGUUCGAUAGGUUGGGACCGUUGGAUGGUCCCAAAUUUAAUAUAUGUUAAUCUAGGUAUUUCUAGGAUCGUGUAGGAAUUCACGGAUCGUGAAUCGGAACUCCGGAUGUUCCGAAUAAUAAUUUUAAGUUUAUAUUUUAUAUUAACCAUCAGAUCGUGCGAUCGUGAGCAAUCCGACCGUCCGAUCUGAACCAAACUUGCAGGACAAGUGUCCUACACCUGGUAGAACCCAUAGGGACUUCCGGAUCGGAAAUUGGAGGUCGUGGGUUCUGCAGGUCCGUUUGACCAGGGUUAGAGUAGUUUGACUCUUGGUUGACCGUGAGUCUCCCGGAGUAAUCUCACCCUUCCAGGGGGAAUUAUCGGGAGCUAGACUAUUGUGGAGGGUUACACAAUAUUAGAAUUAUUUAUAUAAAUUAUGUGGUUGUACAAGGGUACAACAGAGUCUAGAAUGUCAGUUUGGAGUGCUAUACGCACUACUCUAGGUACCUCCUCGGACUUUGGAAUUUCUACAAGUACCACCAAGUGAAAGUUAGGUCCCACGUGGCGUAGGUUAUCCGGCGUGUCGACAGACCCCAUACGUGGCGUUGGUUGUACCGGCGUAUGGGGAGAUUUGUGAUAUGAUAUUGAGGUCCCGCGUGGCGUAGGUUAUCCGGCGUUGGGACAGGCCCCAUACGUGGCGUUGGUUGUACCGGCGUAUGGGGAGAUAUUAUGAUAGUAUGGCAUGGUCGCACGUGGCGUAGGUUAUCCGGCGUGUCGACAGACCCCAUACGUGGCGUUGGUUGUACCGGCGUAUGGGGAGAUUUGUGAUAUGAUAUUGAGGUCCUGCGUGGCGUAGGUUAUCCUGCGUUGGGAUAGGCCCCAUACGUGGCGUUAGUUGUACCGGCGUAUGGGGAGAUAUUAUGAUAGUAUGGCAUGGUCGCACGUGGCGUAGGUUAUCCGGCGUGUUGACAGGCCCCAUACGUGGCGUUGGUUGUACCAGCGUAUGGGGAGAAUAUGUGAAAUACAGAGAAAUGAAAUAAGGUAUUGCCCAAGUGUGGAAUUGGGUUUUAGGGAAGAACUACUUAUGGCUUGAUCCCUCAAGGAGGGUACGUAGGCAGCCUAAGGUUAUUAGGUGCAGCCGCAGACUAAAUAUUAGUCAUAAAUUGUAAUUGAACUGUUUGGUAGUCGUUUGAGGAAGUAUUGAAAGGCCGAAGGCCAUUUGUGUGAAUUGCAUGAAAUUAUAUUGUGCAUGCUGCCAGUUGGGAAUAUUAAAUGCGUUUUUAUGCAGGUAUAAAUUUUGGGAAUGUCCAAUUUACAGGGGAGACUCUGCCAAAAUUUCGGCAGGAAGUCUCGGUUUUUAGUAAGUGGGCCUGGCAUCGGGGUGAUGUCAGGAAUUCCAAAGGGUUCGUCUCGGGUUUUGAGAAAAUUCGGGGCGGGUCCUUUCACUUGAUAUGCUUACUCUUGCUGUGAAACAUUGGAUUUUUGGAAAGACAAAUAGCUGAUUUGUUGUUGCAGAACAGCUUUGUAGGUCCUUCUUGAACUUGACCCAUCUCUUCUAAAAUACUUUUCAGCCACCUAGCUUGACAACCUGCUGAUGCAAGAGCAACAUACUCAGAUUCUGUAGUUGAAAGUGCCACUAUAGAUUGCUUUUUGGAGGACCAUGAAAUCGCACUUGAGCCAAUGCUAAAGACAUAACCAGAUGUGCUUUUGCAAGUAUCAACAUCUCCACCCAAGUCACUGUCACUGUAGCCAGUCAAAUUUAGAUUCUGAAUAGGAUAAUAAUGCAAACCAUAAUUGAUAGUUCCAACCACAUAUCUUAGGAUUCUCUUUCCAAGCUCCCAAUGAACAUCUUUUGGUGACUCCACUAAACGGCUGAGGAAGCUUACUGCAUAUGUAAGAUCUGGCCUUGUUGUAGUUAAAUACAAGAGGCCACCCACUAGACUUCGAAACAAAGUUUGAUUUACCAUUGUGCUUCCAUCAUUCUUACCUAUCUUAACACCAACCUCCAUUGGAGUAGCAAUUGACUUUGCAUUUUCCAACCUGAACCUUUUCAACAAUUCCUUUGCGUAUUUCUUUUGAGAAAUAUAGAUACCAUUCUCAUUUUGUUUGACUUCAAUUCCAAGAAAGAAAUGAAGCAAACCAAGGUCUGUCAUUUCAAAUCUUUGUGACAUAAUCAUCUUGAAAUUAUCACACAUUUGAGCAUUACUUCCAGUAAAUAUUAAGUCAUCCACAUAUAAGCAGACAAUCAAAAUCUCACCUUGAGAGUUCUUCUUGGUGUAAAGAGUAUGCUCAUAUGGGCAUUUGUGAAACCCAUACUCUUGGAAGAAUGCAUCAAUCCGACUGUACCAAGCUCUUGGAGCUUGUUUCAAACCAUAUAAAGCCUUCUUCAAUCUACACACUUUUGUUUCUUCAUUUCCCUGCACAUAACCUGGAGGUUGAGCAACAUACACUUCUUCUUCCAAAAAACCUUGCAAGAAUGCUGGUUUAACUUCCAUUUGAAAGACUUUCCAACAAUUUUGGGCAGCAAGAGCUAACACCAUUCGGAUGGUGUCAAAGCGUGCAACUGGAGCAAAAACUUCAUUGUAAUCAAUUCCAUAAUUUUGCUUGUAGCCUUUAGCUACCAAGCGAGCUUUGUAUUUCUCAACUUCUCCUUGAGCAUUCAGCUUGGUCUUAUACACCCAUUUUACUCCUAUAGGCUUCUUUCCUUGAGGAAGAUCAACCAGCUCCCAUGUGUCAUUUUUCUUAAUGGAAUCAAUUUCUUGAUCCAUAGCCUUCACCCAAUUUUCAUCCUUUGAAGCCUCUUCAAACAUAAUUGGGUCUGCAUCUACAAAUAGAGCAAAAUUUGUGCCACCAUUAGUGAUCAAAACAUAAUCACUAGAUGGGUACCUUGUGGAUGGUUGAUGAGCUCUUGUUGAUCUCCUUUGUCCUCUGCAAAUUUCUUCUUCCUCACUGCUAUCACUAGAAGAAGUUGAUGAUGACCCUUGUGAUGAAGAUUCCUAUGAUGAUAGAGUUGUUGGUGGAGUUAAAUCUGGAUUUUCAAGGCCAAUGUCCAACAGUAUUGGACUUUGAUUUUCAGCUUCACUCCAAUUCCAUGCUUCUUCUUCAUUGAACUUGACAUCACGACUAACAAUAAUCUUGUUAGUCAAUGGAUUAAACAACUUAUAUGCCUUGGCCUUUUCACUAUACCCAACAAGAAUGCACUUUUCUGAUUUGUCAUCCAAUUUUCUCCUUGUUUUAUCAGGAAUAUGAGAAUAAGCAAUGCUGCCAAAUAUCCUUAAGUGACUAAUACAUGGCUUGAGGCCACUCUAAGCUUCUUGAGGAGUCUUGCCUUCCACACUAUUGGACGAUGCACGGUUCAAGAGAUAUACAGCACAUGCCACUGCUUCUGCCCAAAAACGAUUAGGCAUUGCUUUUGCCUUCAACAUGCUUCUUGCCAAUUCCAUAACGGUCCUAUUUUUUCUCUCGGCCACACCAUUUUGCUGUGGGGUGUACCGAGCUGUGAACUGAUGCUUAAUCCCAUUUUCUUUUAGAAAAUUUUCGAACACAUUGGAUGAGAAUUCUCCACCUUGAUCAGACCGCAAGGUUUUCAAUGCAAAUCCACUUUGCUUCUCAGCCAAAGCUUUGAAAACUUUAAAGUAAUCAAACACCUCUGAUUUAUAUUUGAGAAAAUAGACCCAUGUCUUUCUGCUAUAAUCAUCAAUGAAUGUAAGAAAGUAGCGGUUACCUCCUGUUGAUGUUGUGUUCAUGGGCCCGCAUACAUCUGAGUGCACCAGCUCAAGAGGAUGGGAUGCUCUCCAAGAAUUUCCUGUAAGAAACGAAUUUCUCUGAUGUUUUCCCAGCACACAUGCUUCACAAACUUGUGUUUGAUGCUGUAUCGUUGGUAGGCCUCGUACCAUAUGUUGUUUCCCCAUCAAUGAUAGUGUAUUGAAACUCAAAUGCCCAUAGCGUAGAAGCCACAACCAUGAGGAAUCCUUGAUAAGUGCACUUAAGCAAGCAAAAGAUUCAUACUUUAUGUUCAGAGAAAACAUAUUGUCUCCUGACAUCUGCACCUUUGUAAUUAGAGAGUUGUACUUGUCUCUAAUUACACACUGGUCUUCCCUGAACUGAAUAUUAUGGCCUUUAUGAAGAAGUUGCCCCACACUAAGGAGAUUGUAAUUUAAAUCUGGAACAUAUAACACAUCAGAGAUUCUUUUUUGUUCUCCAGACUUGGAUAGAAAAAGAAUAUCUCCACAUCCUUUGGCCACUAGCUUUCCACCAUCACCAAUCCUUACUUCUGAGUUGUUGGUAUGCUUGAAAUUGACAAAGGCACUUUUGUUGCCUGUCAUGUGAUUACUACAUCCGCUAUCAAGAUACCAUUUUUCUGCACACACGUUUCCUUCCCUGGCAGCUGCAUAUGCAAGUAGAACCACAUUAUCAUUUUCCCUUUCAGAAGCUUUUUCAUGCACAAAGCUUGAUUCGGCUCCUCCAUUUGUUUUGUUUUUGCAUGUUGACUUGAUGUGCCCAUAUUGCUUGCAAUUGUAGCACUGAAUAUUAGAAAGAGAGGAACCUUGUUCUCUUCCUCUUCCUCUUGAAUAACCACCAUAAUCUCCUCUUCCUCUUGGAUAACCAUAAUCUCCUCUUCUUCUUGAAUAACCAUAAUCUCGUGCAGAGCCUUCAUCAUUAGUUUUUUUUAGGUCAUUUGCAUAGCCACGUCCUUGAUUAUUUCUUCCUCGUCCACGAGUAAAGCCGCCUCUUCCUCUUCUAGAACUUCCUCUGAAUGAGACUUGAGAUUGAAAAGCUUGCUCAACAGGGCCAGAGUCAAACUGCUUCAGUCGUAACUCAUGGGAUUGAAGAGAACCCAUUAAACUGUCAAGAGACAAAGUAGACAGAUCUUUGGAUUCUUCAAUUGCCACCACAAUAUAUUCAAACUUUCGGGGACAUACUUCGAAGAAUUUUUUCAGCAACUCUCUGAUCUUCAAUUUUUUCUCCAUUAAUUCUCAGUUGGUUGACUAGAGAAAUGACACGAUUGAAAUAGUCUUCAACAGAUUCUGACUCCUUCAUACGUAACAUAUCAAACUCACCUCUUAGAGUUUGCAGUCUUGCCAUCUUCACUUUAUCUUCUCCUUUAUAUGAUGCAAAGAGAGUGUCCCACGCCUGUUUUGAUGUAAUGCAUGAUGAGAUUCUUUCAAAGAUAGCUUCAUCCACUGCUUGAAAGAUAAAGAAUAAAGCUUUUUUGUCCUUCUUACGUGUCUCCUUCAGCUCUGUGAGUUGUUGUUGAGUGAGGACUGCUUGAUCAUUUGGCUCCACAAAGCCAUUUUCAACCACCUCCCACAAAUCUUGAGCAGCAUACAACACCUUCAUUUGGAUGCUCCAUUGACUAUAAUUCUUCCCUGUAAACUUUGGAAGCUGGGGCUGUAACAAGUUGUUGUUUGAAGCCAUAUGAUUCUGAGUUUCCAGCUCUGAUACCACUUUGAUGGAAUAAAAGAAUGAUAUUAUUGGUGGUGGGUACGGUUAUGUGGAAGUAAUAAUGGGUAAGAGAAGAAACUUGUUCUCUUGUGAUAAUCAAAAGACAGAAAGUAGUGGGACACUAUUUUAGAUAUGAUAAUGUUCCUUCCUUGAUUGAUGCAAAUGAAGAGAAAAGGGUGGCUUUAUAUAAUAGCCACUACCGACCUAACACAUUAAAAACACAACUAACACCAAACAUAGUUAAUUCAACUAACUUCUACCACACCAUUAAUUUAACACACAACUACUAACAAACUGCCAACUAUUUCAAAGUUACCAGCUGACUAUUAAUGAAGUCUAGAUUACUUUAACAGUAUCGAAUCUAGCUUUAAUAUGUAUUGGGUCCUCUGGACAAGAAUUCUAUCCUUUUCGUCCUAACUAAUAUGUAGGGGAAAAACAAUACAUCAAUUAUCCUUUUCGUCCUAACUAAUAUGUAGGGGAAAAACAAUACAUCAAUUAUGAAUUUUUUUUAUCUGGGUUCGAAAUUAAAUAUGAAUGGAGUUUUGGAGGCUUAAAAGUUAUAAGCUCAAGAAAGGAAGGAAACUAUAUGUACAUUUGGGUCGGAGGCAAAGGUCCAGUCAUCUACCGUCCAGGAUAUACAGUAUCAAAAAAGGCUUAAGAAUUGUAAUAAGGUGACAUACGCCCACAUACGGCCAACGCUAGCAUAUUUCGUAAGUGUAUUAUAUGUCUUCUAAGUAUAUCAUAGUUAUGUGUCAAUUUUAGAUCCAAUUGCACACCCAAAAUACAGAAACAAAAUCAUUGAGAAUACACUUUUUUUCACUUAUAUUUUGAAUAUGCAUUGCCUGUAUUUCAUGUGUAUGAUAUAGGGGCUUCACUUAUAGUUUUUGCACAAAACCUCCCUUGAUGAAGGAUGUCUUAGAUUAAUGACAUCAAUGAUUUGUUACAUUUGGAGUACCCAACAUAACAGCUCUCUGAUUAACAAUAAAGUUAUAAAAUUUCAACAGUUUCAUACCUAACAAGCAUAGAGAAACAAAUAAAACAACCACAUUGCUUCGAUCACUGUACAUGCACACAGCUCACUUUCACUAACUACAGAGGCUAUAUUUUCUACAUAUACACUAACUUUUUCUUUCUCCAGCUCUCUUACACCACCAGGCUGGUGACAAACCCAGCUCGCGUCAUGUGGAGGACCAAAAGGAAAUGACAAGGAGAAAACGGCUAAGGAGAGACUUACUCUCAACACUUAGAAGGCAGAGCAGAGAUAACAGAGCACACUGCUUGUAUAAAAGUGAGUAUGAGGAGAAAAAUAGCGGUAGCAAUUGAAAUAGUUGCCCAAGGUGUGUUGCAAUAGUUUUGUCUCAAGUUUGCCUGCCAUUUGUGCCAAGACGUUCUGCAGUACUUGUUGAGGUCUGCACAAAGAAUAGCAAAAUAGAAGUCAUUAGAGUCCACAAUGACCCCAUCUGCAAGGUUGUUGAUCAGAGUAGACCCUCCACUACUGUCACCGAGCAUAUUUUCGACGAUUCCUUGCUUAACAACCAACUCCACAUCCGUUGCGGUGUUCACAAAGCGAUCCACGAUGACAACAUAAUUGUUUAUGUAAUUCUCCAUGCAAUGGCAUUGUUCAAAGGCAAGGAGGUUUCUGAUUGUAAGCUCUGUCUCAUCACUUAUUGCUAAUUUUGGAAUUUCUAGAAUCCCAUUAGCGAAUUGUAUGUCGAAUAAGUUUUUGGGUGAUCCCACCUUAAACUUGACUCCUGCUCUGUGUAACUCUGUGAUGCUGGAUGUGUUUAAGAGUUUCAAGUCGCCCCUUAGCAGGUGGUUUCAAUGGUAGAGGUAGAUACAAAUUUCUACAAAAAUCUACAAAGUGUUCUACUUUAGAAGUACAUAAUUUCUCCAUAUUGCCAUCCGUUCCCUCUAUGUGCAUUAGAGUUUUGAAGAAAUUGUGGCAAAGGUUAAGCAUCGAAAGCCUCUCAAUAUUGUUAUUGUUAGAAGAGACUUUGAUUUUUUCGGGGUCAAAAAGUUCCUCAAGAAUGAAGAAUGGCAGCUGAUUUUCAAACAACCGCAUGUCAGGCCAUACGUCUGGCAACAGCCAUGGUUUGUUAAAUAUGCGGUCAAUUUCAUCCUGCAAUUCAUCGAAACGAUACCUCAACAAGACCUCAAUGAUGAAGGCGGCAUCCACUAGAAUGAUUCUCACAAAUUCAUCACUGCUAACCUGAAUGGUUUCUGCAUAACAACUGCGCAGUUUUGCUUCUUGGUCUUUUACUUUCUGUACAUAAUCGGCUAGGCUUACCCUGGUCCGACGUAUAUAAUCUUGUAAGUACCUCUUUUUGUGAUCUUCCAUGGCUUUUAGGCCUUCCUCGCCAUGAUGAAGUGGGCCUAUAGAGACUACCUGAGGUGUGUAGGCCUUUUCACUCACACGCCGUAGUCGUUCAGGAACUCUAUAAAUGCAACACAAGGAGGAGAGGGAAGACAAGCCAUCCAACUCCUCACUCAUUGAAGUUACUAAUGGAAUGCAAGGGUUUUCAAUAUCAUGUGGAGCUUGAUCGCUUCCUUCCAUUUUCCGCUGAUGUGUUUGUUGUUGUCAAUCAUAAUGGAUGAUAAUGAAAUGAUAGUCACUGACACAACAAUAAACAAAUUUUUCAAGAUGGCUGAGAAAAUUAAUACAAACAUUGCAAUUAUAAGACCAAACACACAAAGACUUUUGAUCCUUGUAACUCUUACAUACCACACUAGUGCCUUAAGAAUUCGAUUUGAAUGCACCAAAUUCAUUCAAAACUCUUCUGGUCAACUCUGUUUCUUGUAAUUAUUCUUGGAAGAUUCUAAUACAUUUUUGAUUGAAAAAUUCCUACUAAUCAUGUGAAUCAGUACCAAAGUUUAUUUCAAAUUAACAUACAAACCCCACUUUUUUUUUCCUACAUAUAUACUUCUUUAUUUCCCCUCAACUUAUUGGAGCUUCUAAUAAAGCAAAUUCUUUCUGUGAUGAUAUCAGAUAGUAGAUUAUGCUUCCAGUCAAAACAUAGACAAACCAAAAUCCCAUUAGAAGAGAAGAAAAUAAUAUACGACAUUCACAUAACCUUCUGCUCAAUUCCAAUUUCCAACUACAAUGAAACAUAAGACACUUAAAAGCUUCAAGAAAUUGGAUGUGCAAGCAAACAUAGCGAAAUUAUGAAAGACAGAGAAAGGUGUUGGGCAUUGAAAACAUACCUGAUACGUAUUGAAACACAAUUUUUUUUUGCCUUUGGUAGAUGGAGUAGCUAGAAAAGCUCAAUGCACUUGCUCUUCUGCUACAUUUCAAUAUAAGAACAUUGUUUGGAAGUCCGGUCAAUUCCUCAAAGCUUCCUUGCCUUUGUUUUGACAUGCCGAUGCCCGUCUUGGGGAAGUUUGAAUAAUCCAUUGCAGGCCCCAUGAUAGGAUUUUUAGUACUUGUGCAAACAGUGUUAAAAAUCACAUAAAAUACUUGCAAGAAUACAAGGCUAUUGUAGUAUAGAUGCUCAUGCAAGGUCGUUUUCCUCAAGGACUAAUUAGCAAUUUAUGUAAAAACAAAUUCCAAUUACUACUUAAAAUAAAAAGUCAAGAAAGAUGAUUAUAAAUUUGGUGGAUUCUAAAAAACAAAUAUUAAACAAAAACAAAUACGAUUGAAAGAAAGAGUUUUGAAUAUCAAUUUAUAAAAACACUAGGGUUUCACCAUCACCUAGCAAUCCUAUGAACUUUUACCAAUUACUUAUGAUUUGCACAUGCCACUUUGAAGGUUAGGUUUUCCUAAUGUAUAUUCUACUUGGAACCUCCAACACAGAACGUAUAUCCAACAUGCAACCCGUCCGGACGUUCGGAUCAAAUCUGAACAUGAAAGACUCAUUAAGUUUUGUGAAAACCCUUUGAAAAACCAUGCAACCCUUAAGACGUGGUGUUCAUCUUAAGUGAAAUUACAAUUAUUAAUCACAAGAAGCUAGCAUAAAUUUCAGGGAACCUUCCGACCAAAAUUGCAUCCAAUUACUUUUCUAAAGAUCCUAAUGGUGAUCAGGCAUUAAGACAAUUAGAUAGUUUAAAAUAGUGAUUAACAAUUCAAAAUACGCAUGCACUCAUCAUAAGCAAUUAAAUAAAAAUCACAUAUUCAUGCUAAGGUUCAAGGCUUCACCCUAGCAAAAGAAAUUUAGUUACGCAUACUCAUAAUUGAAAUCCAAGAAAAUAUCAUUAAGAAGAAAAGAACGAAAACACCUGAAAGUUGUGAAAACCCAAAACCCUAGCAAUUGCUCUCUACAAUGCAAAGUUCAAAAAUAAUUAAGAAGUCCUAAAUUCCUUGUGAGAAAGAGCUUAAAUAUCCCUUAAAACCUAGCUGCCAAUGUACAGCUUUUCUAUCCCUACAAGGAAACUAAUUAAAGUAAAAUAAUACUAGGAAAUAAAGUCCAAAUUGGAAUAGGAGAAUUUGCCCAAAAUCAGCCCAGCCACGUUUUGGCCCCAAAUCUCCUCCAAAUCUGGCCCAAGAUAGCUUUUUUUAAAGACACUACUACAAAAAGUGAAAAAGACGACCAGAAAACAACGACGGUCUAAGUGAAAACCGUCGUGGUUUUUAAAAAGACGACGGUUCUAAAAACACCGUCGUGUAAUACCACCUUAGACAACUAAAAAAUGGAGAUUCAAAUGGCUGUUCAAAAACAACGACGUACCUAAUUAAACAACCGACGUCUAUUUGAAACAGAUUUCCGCAGUGUAAAAUCAAAGCAAACAAAGAACGGCAGAAGUUAUGAAUAGACCGACGUAGAAAGUAAAGACGACGAUUUCAAUAAAAGCCGCCGUUUUUACUCAUAAAAUAACACGACGAGGUUUUCGUAUAAGACGCCGUAUAAUUACAAACAAAUCCACGGCUUUAAAAUACAAAAUAAUCUUAACAGAUGACACAGAUUUGCAAUCAGAGAGACAAUUUUUUGGAAGUUGAUCAACGUCGUUGAAAAUUUGCAAUCAGAGAGACAAUUUUCAACGACGGUUAUAUUAUACCUAACGACGUUUAAAAACAAAUCAACGUCGCUCAACAAAUAUAUUACGUCGUCUUAGUCUUACUUAAGACGACGAAAAACGACGACAGUAGUAAAAAAACAGUCGUUGUUUUUAUAUUCUUAUUUUAUUUAAAUCUGUCGUGUUAGUUAAAAACGACGGCAUAACAAAAAACCGUCGUUUUGUUUCAAACUGAAUUAAUUUAAAAUUUCUUCAGGAAAGCAAAAUCUAUUUAUAAUUUCCUCGGGUUAGUAAUAUUGUGUCGUGUUAGUUUACAAAUUCUAGAACAUUAAUUUCCCUCAUUUUAAAUUUUCUCGGGAAAGAAAAAUCUAUUUAUCACGCUUUGUAAUUGAAAACUAAAACUGAAAGAAUUCUGGAAAAAAAACUCUAUUUAUAAUUUAAAAAUAAAAUGCACGUCGGUUGUAGUACACUUAACGACGUUUAACAAAAUAAUCUACGUCGGUAAUUAUAAAUCUACCGCCAUCUUACCCUAAUAUAGACGACGAGAAAAGACGACGGUAGAACAGAAAACCGCCGUUGUUUCAGUUUCUUUAACAGUUUGGUCCUUUAUCUUUCUGCAGGACUUGUAUAGUUCAAAGCAUUGACAAUGUCUUCAUCAUAUCUCCCAGCAACUACUGAUUCGAUUGCUCAUGCUUUAGAGGCCAUCUGAAGCCAUUUCUAUUCUUUAUCGCAUUCUUGAAACCCAUCUUCUUCUUCUGAAGCUCUACGGAUAAAGGAANNNNNNNNNNNNNNNNNNNNNNNNNNNNNNNNNNNNNNNNNNNNNNNNNNNNNNNNNNNNNNNNNNNNNNNNNNNNNNNNNNNNNNNNNNNNNNNNNNNNNNNNNNNNNNNNNNNNNNNNNNNNNNNNNNNNNNNNNNNNNNNNNNNNNNNNNNNNNNNUUUUUUUUGGGGUUGGUUUUUUAUAGUAACCAGUUAUAACAGUAGUGGUUGUGCAAUGUUUGGUUCCCUUAAGCUUCGAUCCAACCGUGUAGCCAGCUUUAGGUCAAUGUCUCCCAAACCACUCGGGUUUUAGGGCACUAGGUGUAGAACACCCCUAAGGACUUAUUAACUCAAGCUGAAAAGGCUACGAAACCAACUAACCACCCUGCCUCAUGCCAAAACUCUACCUUUUGUCUCGAAAAUCACUGCUGAUUAGGCAGGACUGGCCCGGUUACUAGCAAAGCUUCGGGUGAGGCAAUUAUUACUUUAUAACACAUACUAACUUUAUUUAAAUUGAACAGAAAUUAAAACACACUUGGACAAAAAGUAAGUAUUCCAAUCUCACUCCCCAAAAACCAUAUUGGUGUGAUGUGCAAAUUUCAAAGUAUAAUUCAUGAAUUAGUGUCUAAGCAACAAUAAAUAGAAAAGACUCUACUGUGGGAUUGAUUUUCACUAUGUCCAUUUAUUCUAACGUUUAAAAUAAUCUAUGGAUAUUGACUGAAAAACGAAAAUUUUAAACAAGACUUAAAAAAAACUAAAAAUCUAAAAUUUACUUUCCCACCCCCUAACUUAAAUCACACAUUGUCCUCAAGGUGUGGUAAAUAAUCAAAAGAAACAAGAGCAGAAACAAAACGACUAAAUCCUAGAAAAUGAAAAUCAAAAAUAAAGAAAAUACUCUAAGAAAAGAAACUAGGAAGGAAAAAUAGAAGAAUAAUAAAAUAAAAUAAAAUAAGAAAGAAAAGGAGAAAAACAACAAUAGAAAAGAAAUAGGAAAGAAAAUACCCAAAAAUGAGACACCUUGGGGAUUCAAAGGCAGGACCAGGCGGAGUGUUGCGAAAAAGCGCUGACCAACUCAACCACGUCCACACUGGCAUCAAAUAGGAGCGACAGCUACAAUAUAACCUGCUGUAGCUGCUGCAUCUGUCAUUUGAAAAAUAUUGGAUUCCCUUCUCCUACCCCGAGCUCAGAGCCGAAAGGCUCUCUUCUGUCCAUUCCCAUUUUGCAGAAGAAAAAAGAAUAUUGCUGGAUAAACCAAAGCCUCCGCUGUGUCCAGAGAAUCAGAAAAGGUCUCUGAUUUCUCUCUUCUCAAGGCCAUCCAUCUCCGCCUUCACUCUUCUUCAUUCUCUCCAACACUCACGAUCCUUUCCUCUCUUUCAACCCAAUUACACCAGCGUUUUCAUCUGCGUGAGGAGGCCACAUUUGCAGCAAACACAACCAGUGAGGUUGAAUUAUCUGAUGCACCUGAAUUUUUGGAUGGUUUUGGAGUCCCUAGAUUCCUCAAAUUCAGAUCUGUCUCCAUCCAUGUCACCAGAUGCUAACUUGUUCCAAGAUGAAAACAAGCUGAAGCCGAACAAGAGUCUAUUCUCCACCAGUAAGGACCCCAGAUCUGUGCAUCCCGUAGGUAAACUUUCGAACCCCAGAACUGGUUUUUUUUUUUUUUUUUUUCCGUUUUUUUUUUGUUUUGAAAAUAAAAGAAGUAAAGAGUUUAGAAAAAUUGGGUUGCCUCCCAAUAAGCGCGCUAUUUUAAGUCUGUAGCUAGACUUUGCAGAAGCCUGGUGGUCAAAUCACUGGUUCCUUCAGAGUCAAAGACUCGGCUGCAAUGUCAAAGGGUGUCUCCACGUAGGGUUUUAGCCUAUGACCAUUCACCUUGAACGUGUUGCCUUUAUCUUCAUUAGUGAUUUGAACUGCUCCAUGAGGAAAAACUUGAGUCACUAGGUAGGGUCCAGUCCAGCGAGAUUUUAAUUUCCCUGGAAACAACUUGAGCCUUGAACUAAAUAACAGAACCUUUUGCCCUGGCUGAAAUUCCUUCCGUAAAAUUUGACUGUCAUGAAAUGCCUUAGUUCUUUCCUUGUAGAUGCGAGAACUAUCAUAAGCACCUUGACGAAUUUCCUCUAGCUCAUUUAACUGCAAUUUCCGCUUUUCCCCAGCUGAGUCAUAUGCAAAAUUUAACUCUUUAAUGGCCCAGUAAGCUUUAUGCUCCAGCUCCAUAGGUAGAUGACAGGCUUUCCCAUAAACAAGUCGGAAUGGUGACAUCCCAAUAGGAGUUUUAUAAGCUGUCCUGUAUGCCCACAAAGCAUCAUUUAGUUUGAAACUCCAAUCCUUGCGUGUAGAGCUCACUGUUUUCUCCAAAAUACGCUUUAUUUCUCUGUUUGAAACUUCAACUUGACCAGAUGUCUGUGGGUGGUAUGGUGUAGCCACGCGAUGAUUAAUCCCGUAUUUUGCCAGUAGGUUAGCAAAUGGUUUAUUAAUAAAAUGCUUCCCCCCAUCACUAAGAAUAACACGCGGUAUUCCAAAACGUGGAAAUAUAACCCCCUGGAGGAACUUCAGGACCACUGAUCCUUGAUUAGUUGGUGCUGCAAUGGCCUCGACCCAUUUUGAAACAUAUUCCACAGCCACUAAAAUAUAUUGGUGCCCAUUAGAAGAUGGGAAUGGCCCCAUGAAAUCAAUACCCCAAACAUCAAAUAGUUCAACAAUUAGGAUACUUUGUUGGGGCAUUUCAUUCCUUCUGGAUUGAUUGCCGACCCUUUGACACCGAUCACAUGCCUUGCACCAAUUCUGUGAAUCUCUAAAAAGUGUUGGCCAAAAUAACCCACUCUGUAGGAUUUUCUCUGCUGUCCUUUUCUGCGCAAAAUGUCCUCCUCAAGCAUAGUGAUGAGCAAACUUUAAAACACUUUCUUGUUCAGCCUCCGGAAUACACCUGCGAAUAAUCUGGUCUGCACAAUACUUGUAUAAGUACGGUUCAUCCCAGAAAUAGUGCUUUACAUCAGAUAAAAACUUCUUUUUCUGCUGGUAGGAAAAAUCUGGAUGCACCACACCCUUAGCCAAAUAAUUGACAAUAUCUGCAAACCAAGGUGUGUCAAUUUUGACAGCAAAUAGCUGUUCAUCUGGGAAACUUUCACUCAAUGGUAGAGAAUCUGCCUCUGUAGCUGCUGGAAUAAUUAAUCUAGAUAAAUGAUCAGCCACAACAUUCUCACUGCCCUUCUUGUCUUUAAUCUCUAAGUCAAAUUCUUGAAGUAAGAGAACCCAACGAAUCAAUCUAGGCUUUGCAUCCUUCUUAGACAACAAGUAUUUUAGUGCAGCAUGAUCUGUAUAGACAAUUAUUUUAGCCCCAACCAAAUAAGACCGAAAUUUCUCUAGUGCGAACACAACUGCCAACAAUUCCUUCUCUGUAGUUGCAUAGUUAAGCUGUGCAUCAUUUAGAGUACGACUUGCAUAAUAGAUGACAUGGGGAAGCUUAUCUUUUCGCUGCCCUAAAACUGCCCCGACAGCAUAAUCUGACGCAUCACACAUUAGUUCAAAUGGUAAAUCCCAAUUUGGUGCAGCAAUGAUGGGUGCCGAAGUUAGGAGUGCUUUCAACUUGUUGAAUGCUUCUAAACAGGCCUUAUCAAAAUUAAAUGGUGCAUCCUUAGCCAAUAAAGUGCACAAAGGUCGACUAAUCUUGGAGAAAUCCUUGAUGAACCGACGAUAAAAACCUGCGUGUCCUAAGAAGGACCUCACACCUUUUACUGAUGUAGGAGGUGGCAGCUUUGCAAUAACUUCAAUCUUUGCCUUGUCAACCUCGAUGCCUUUGCUAGAAAUUGAAUGACCCAAGACAAUUCCCUGUUCAACCAUGAAAUGCCACUUUUCCCAGUUUAGCACUAAAUUUGUCGCUUGACAUCUCUGAAGAACUAAUGAUAAAUUCUGUAAGCAUUGAUCAUAUGAAUCCCCAAAAACAGAAAAAUCAUCCAUAAAAACUUCCACAAUAUUUUCGACCAAGCCAGAAAAAAUACUCAUCAUACAACGUUGAAACGUAGCAGGUGCAUCGCAUAAUCCGAAUGGCAUCCUCCGAUAAGCGUAAGUACCAAAUGGACAAGUGAAAGUAGUCUUCUCUUGAUCCUCUGGUGCUAUUGGAAUCUGAUUAUACCCAGAAUACCCAUCAAGAAAACAGUAAAAAGCCCGCCCAACCAACCUUUCUAACAUCUGGUCAAUAAAAGGCAAUGGAAAAUGGUCUUUUCUCGUCCCUGUGUUAAGCUUCCGAUAAUCUACACACAUUCUCCAACCCGUAGUCAAUCGUGUAGGAACUAACUCAUUAUUAUCAUUUUUCACCACUGUAAUACCGGUCCGUUUAGGCACAACUUGAGUCGGGCUAACCCAUUUACUGUCAGAAAUAGGAUAAAUCAUACCUGCAUCAAGUAAUUUCAUAACCUCUGUUCUAACCACCUCUUUCAUAAUUGGGUUAAGGCGGCGUUGAGCAUCAACUGUUAGCUUUACGUCGUCUUCCAUUAAUAUUCUGUGCAUACAUAGUGCUGGGCUGAUUCCCUUGAUAUCCGCAAUUGUCCAUCCCAAUGCAUCUUGAUAUUUUCUCAAUACACGAAGCAAUUUAUCCUCCUCUGUCGGUGUUAAAUCUGCUGCAAUUAUAACUGGCAACGUCUCUGCAGCUCCUAAAUAUGCAUAUUUAAGAUGUUGUGGUAAAGGCUUCAGCUCCAAUUUUGGCGGCUGCUGUCUGGAUGGUUUAAGGGGCUGUUUGGGCUCCCCUAAACUCUCAUACACAUUCCUAAAUUUUGGCAACACUGUGGGCAGACUGUUCAAUGCGUGUAUGUACUCAUGAACACCUUCAUCUUCAAAAUCUGUCUCAAAUGCCCCCUGUAAAACAUGCAACAACUGAUCUGUUUUUGAAUUAGCAUAAAAUCUGUCCUGCACCAUACUGUCUACCAUGUCAAUACGCAUACAAUCUAGCUGUUCAGCAGGACGUUUUGUUGCCGCAAACAAAUUAAACACCACAGAUUGGUCCUGAACCCGUAAAGUCAAUGUUCCAGCUUCCACAUCAAUUAAGGUCCUAGCUGUUGCCAUAAACGGCCUCCCCAAAAUAAUAGGUGUUUGAAGGUCUUCAUCCAUGUCUAAAACCACAAAAUCUGCCGGUAGAUAAAGAUUAUCAACCUUAAUAAUUAGAUCUUCAAUAACACCUCUUGGAUAAGUGAUUGAACGGUCAGCUAGUUGAAGUAUAAUUGAUAUAGGCUUUAAAUCUCCUUGCCCCAAUCGCUGAAAAACAGAAAAAGGCAUCAAAUUAAUACUUGCACCCAAAUCAAUUAAAGCACUCUUAAAAUUAGAAUUUCCAAUAGUGCAAGAAAUAUUAAAACUCCCUGGAUCUUUUUUCUUAGGUGGUAGUUUGUGUAGCAAAACUGCAUUGCACUGUUCUGUCAAAAUAACUUUUUCCAAAUCUGAAAGCUUCUUUUUGCUGCUGCAAACUUCCUUCAAAAAUUUGGCAUAUGAUGGAAUUUUCUUGAUUGCAUCCAGUAAGGGAAUGUUGAUUUGAACCUUGGAUAAUGUCUGCAUAAAGUCCUUGAGUUGCUGAUCUUUUACUUUUGGCUUCAAACGUUCUGGAUAUGGAAUUGGGGCCUCAUAAACACGCUCAGGUACUUGUUUUGGAACAGUUUCUAGAUCUGCCAUAUUAUGUUUUUCUACAGGUUUGGCAGGUUCUGCUGCUGCAAAAUUUUCUGUAUGAUCCUCCACUGCAUGCUGCUCCUUUUCAAUGUUAUUUUCACGAUUGUCAUAGCUUUUUCCACAUCGUAAAGUCCGAACAACUUUGCAAUCUUCACGUCCAUUUGGAUUAGGAAUUGUUUGACUAGGAAAUUUGCCCUUUUAUCUGUCUGAAAUCUGUGUAGCUAGUUGUCCAAAUUGUUGCUCCAAACUUUUAAUAGAUGCUUCAACAUUUUGAAAUCUUUGAUUGUUGCCCUCGAUGAAUGAUUGAGUUGUUGCUGCCAGUUUAGCAAGUUGAUCUUCCAUAGAUGGUUUGGAGGGAACAAAAGGUUUUUGUGCAUGCUGGAAUGGUUUGGCAUUAGUCUGAUUGUCACCCCAUUUGAAAUUAGGGUGAUCCCUCCAUCCAGGAUUGUAAUGAGUUGCAUAUGCAUCAUUCCUAGGCCUUUGAUAGCUGUUCAUCAUAUUGACAUGUUGUUCAACAAGCUCUGGGUAAGAGUCUCUAUGUGGGCAGCCCAUUAUGUCAUGUGUAGCCAUACUGCAUAUAGUGCAAACUGUUGAUGUAGGUGGCUGCUGUGUAGAACUUGCUAUAUGUUGUAGAAGCAUAUCAAACUUUGCAUCAAUUUUCUUAUCCAUUUUUUCCAUUUGUGCAGACAUGUUGGGAGAACCUACUGAUAACUCAAAAAUGCCCCUUUUCUGUGAAUGUUCUGCUGCCCAUUGCUGAGAUUCUGUAGCCAUCAUAUCAAACAGUUCAAAUGCCUCUCUUGCAGAUUUAUUUGAUAAUGAUCCUCCAGCUGAUGCAUUCACAUGGCUCUUAGAUGUAGGAUUAAGCCCAUCAAAGAAAAUAUUCAUUUGUGUAUCUGAAUCAAUUUUAACAUGUGGACACUUUAUGUACAUCUUUGUAUAUCUCUCCCACGCUUCAUGAAACUCUUCAUUAGGCUUCUGUGUGAAUGUCAAAAUCUCCCUCUUGUAAUUCAAUGUCUUGGAUGCUGGAUAAUAUUUGUUCAGGAAUUUUGUGUGUAACUGCUGCCAAGUAGUAAUGCUAUUAGCUGGUAGAGUGAAUAACCAAGUUUCUGCCUUGUCCUUCAAAGUGAAAGGGAAAAGACGUAACUUAAUAGCCUCAGCAGAAAAACCCCUAAUCAAAAUAUUCUUGCAACCCACAAUAAAUUUUGCAAUAUGUAUGUUUGCAUCUUCAUUAGGCAAUCCCCGAAAAGUAGGUAGAAUUUCAAGCAUAUGGUGCCUGAUCUCGAACGAAUCACCCUCUUCUUGUUCAGGAUACACAAUGCAAUUGGGAACAUCAGUGGCACGGGCUUCCAAUGACUCCCUGAGUGGUCUACCUGCCGCAGGUAAUUCUAACGCCAUGUUACUCUCGUUUGCAAACAGAUCCUGCAGAAAAGUGCCCUGCAGUGAACAGUCCCAAGCCCAAGUAACUUCUCUCCGCUGUCUAUGCAGUGUGCGCUCUGGUUCUGGAUCAAAUUGUACAAUCUGUGUAGUUCCUGAUCUGGUCUGGACCAUGCAGUCUGCAAAAUCUGCAACAGAAACAAAAUUGUUCAAUUUCAAUUUUUUUUUUUGGACGAAAAUUAAAAAUAAAAUAAAAUGAAAUAAAUCAGAAAAAGGUUAAACAAAAAUUGUCUAAAAUAGUCCCCAGCAACGGCGCCAAUUUCUUGAUAGGAUUUUUAGUACUUGUGCAAACAGUGUUAAAAAUCACAUAAAAUACUUGCAAGAAUACAAGGCUAUUGUAGUAUAGAUGCUCAUGCAAGGUCGUUUUCCUCAAGGACUAAUUAGCAAUUUAUGUAAAAACAAAUUUCAAUUACUACUUAAAAUAAAAAGUCAAGAAAGAUGAUUAUAAAUUUGGUGGAUUCUAAAAAACAAAUAUUAAACAAAAACAAAUACGAUUGAAAGAAAGAGUUUUGAAUAUCAAUUUAUAAAACCACUAGGGUUUCACCAUCACCUAGCAAUCCUAUGAACUUUUACCAAUUACUUAUGAUUUGCACAUGCCACUUUGAAGGUUAGGUUUUCCUAUUGUAUAUUCUACUUGGAACCUCCAACACAGAACGUAUAUCCAACAUGCAACCCGUCCGGACGUUCGGAUCAAAUCUGAACAUGAAAGACUCAUUAAGUUUUGUGAAAACCCUUUGAAAAACCAUGCAACCCUUAAGACGUGGUGUUCAUCUUAAGUGAAAUUACAAUUAUUAAUCACAAGAAGCUAGCAUAAAUUUCAGGGAACCUUCCGACCAAAAUUGCAUCCAAUUACUUUUCUAAAGAUCCUAAUGGUGAUCAGGCAUUAAGACAAUUAGAUAGUUUAAAAUAGUGAUUAACAAUUCAAAAUACGCAUGCACUCAUCAUAAGCAAUUAAAUAAAAAUCACAUAUUCAUGCUAAGGUUCAAGGCUUCACCCUAGCAAAAGAAAUUUAGUUACGCAUACUCAUAAUUGAAAUCCAAGAAAAUAUCAUUAAGAAGAAAAGAACGAAAACACCUGAAAGUUGUGAAAACCCAAAACCCUAGCAAUUGCUCUCUACAAUGCAAAGUUCAAAAAUAAUUAAGAAGUCCUAAAUUCCUUGUGAGAAAGAGCUUAAAUAUCCCUUAAAACCUAGCUGCCAAUGUACAGCUUUUCUAUCCCUACAAGGAAACUAAUUAAAGUAAAAUAAUACUAGGAAAUAAAGUCCAAAUUGGAAUAGGAGAAUUUGCCCAAAAUCAGCCCAGCCACGUUUUGGCCCCAAAUCUCCUCCAAAUCUGGCCCAAGAUAGCUUUUUUUAAAGACACUACUACAAAAAGUGAAAAAGACGACCAGAAAACAACGACGGUCUAAGUGAAAACCGUCGUGGUUUUUAAAAAGACGACGGUUCUAAAAACACCGUCGUGUAAUACCACCUUAGACAACUAAAAAAUGGAGAUUCAAAUGGCUGUUCAAAAACAACGACGUACCUAAUUAAACAACCGACGUCUAUUUGAAACAGAUUUCCGCAGUGUAAAAUCAAAGCAAACAAAGAACGGCAGAAGUUAUGAAUAGACCGACGUAGAAAGUAAAGACGACGAUUUCAAUAAAAGCCGCCGUUUUUACUCAUAAAAUAACACGACGAGGUUUUCGUAUAAGACGCCGUAUAAUUACAAACAAAUCCACGGCUUUAAAAUACAAAAAUAAUCUUAACAGAUGACACAGAUUUGCAAUCAGAAGAGACAAUUUUUGAAGUUGAUCAACGUCGUUGAAAAUUGCAAUCAGAAGAGACAUUUUCAACGACGGNNNNNNNNNNNNNNNNNNNNNNNNNNNNNNNNNNNNNNNNNNNNNNNNNNNNNNNNNNNNNNNNNNNNNNNNNNNNNNNNNNNNNNNNNNNNNNNNNNNNGGAAGUUGAUCAACGUCGUUGAAAAUUUGCAAUCAGAGAGACAAUUUUCAACGACGGUUAUAUUAUACCUAACGACGUUUAAAAACAAAUCAACGUCGCUCAACAAAUAUAUUACGUCGUCUUAGUCUUACUUAAGACGACGAAAAACGACGACAGUAGUAAAAAAACAGUCGUUGUUUUUAUAUUCUUAUUUUAUUUAAAUCUGUCGUGUUAGUUAAAAACGACGGCAUAACAAAAAACCGUCGUUUUGUUUCAAACUGAAUUAAUUUAAAAUUUCUUCAGGAAAGCAAAAUCUAUUUAUAAUUUCCUCGGGUUAGUAAUAUUGUGUCGUGUUAGUUUACAAAUUCUAGAACAUUAAUUUCCCUCAUUUUAAAUUUUCUCGGGAAAGAAAAAUCUAUUUAUCACGCUUUGUAAUUGAAAACUAAAACUGAAAGAAUUCUGGAAAAAAAACUCUAUUUAUAAUUUAAAAAUAAAAUGCACGUCGGUUGUAGUACACUUAACGACGUUUAACAAAAUAAUCUACGUCGGUAAUUAUAAAUCUACCGCCAUCUUACCCUAAUAUAGACGACGAGAAAAGACGACGGUAGAACAGAAAACCGCCGUUGUUUCAGUUUCUUUAACAGUUUGGUCCUUUAUCUUUCUGCAGGACUUGUAUAGUUCAAAGCAUUGACAAUGUCUUCAUCAUAUCUCCCAGCAACUACUGAUUCGAUUGCUCAUGCUUUAGAGGCCAUCUGAAGCCAUUUCUAUUCUUUAUCGCAUUCUUGAAACCCAUCUUCUUCUUCUGAAGCUCUACGGAUAAAGGAAGAGGCUAUCACAAAUCUGACGGAUCUUCUUAGUCAAAAAAAUCAAGCAGAGGAUCAGGCACAUCUGAUCUUCAGAUUUCCCUGAGAAGCGAACUUUCCUUCGACAGCGAGUGGAGGCCAGGCUUGCAUCUCUUUUGAUGGAAAGCAAGGAGUAUUCAGAAGCACUAAGUGUCCUAUCAGGCUUGAUCAAGGAAGUGAGAAGGCUAGUUGACAAGCUUCUUCUUGUCAACUAGCCUAAAUGUAAGCUCAAUUUCUCUUUGAGAAAGACCUCCAAAUUAUUGUCUUUGAGAUGUGAGAGACAGUGUCUCUGAGAGAGGAAGAACUUGGAACCCUAAAUGUAAACCGCGAAAAUGAAUGAAAGCGACAAAUUUAUAGAAUAAAUUUUUAAAACCAACGGCGGUACUUACCAAGAAACCGCCGUUUCAAUUGUAAAAUCAACGUCGGUAUUACUGACGUAUAUUACAGAACUCCACGUCGGUACAUUAAUAAUCACGACGUCUUAAAUAAUCUACCAUGACGCGAGUUAUUACUUAUGUACUUUAAUUUUUGAGUUUACUACGACGGUACCUACAACACUACUGUCGUAUUUAUUUACCACGUCCGAAGUUAAAUUUACCGACGUAUUUUGUACUUUAUACGUCGUAGUUAUAUGUAACCGCCGUAUUAUUUUUUUGAAAUGGUUUUAUAUGUAAGCAACUUUUCGUCUACUUGACUUACACAUUAGUUGUUUUUAUAUUCUUAUUUUAUUUAAAUCUGUCAUCCAAAAAAGAAACUUUACAUAUUGCAGAAUAUUAAUUUCCUUCGUUUUAAAUUUCCUCCGGAAAAAAAACUCUAUUUAUAACGCACUGUAAUUGAAAAAUAAACUGAAAGGUCACGGGAAAAAAAAUUCUAUUCAUAAUUUAAAAAUUAAAAUCCACGUCGGUUAUAUUAAACCUAACGACGUUAAAUGAAAUGAUUCCACGUCGAACGAAAAAUAUUUCGUCGUGUUAGUUAAAAACGACGUAGUUAAAUGUAACCGCCGUAUUAUUUUUUUGAAAUGGUUUUAUAUGUAAGCAACUUUUGGACUUACACAUGCACUGUUUCCAAACCCGAUUAAAAAUUUCAAUCUCCAGAGAAACCUUUUCGUCUUUUUUCCUUGUCAGAGCAUUAUCAGAGUUUCUCAUCGUCUUCCUCUCGUCUUCUUCGUCGUCCUUGAACUUAAACAUCGAUCAUCUUCCUCUUGCUUUCAUUGCACGCAAAAGGUAAGCUUUCAUUUUCACUAUUUUGGUUACUGUUUUGCAUGCUCAUACGUUUUUUGUUUGAAAAAUCUUUUUACCUUUUUUCUGGCCAAAAUCAUUUUACUUCUUUCCAAGUUUGAUAAAAUAUACAGACAAAAAGGGAAAGUUUCCAACUUUGAAGACAACUACCUCAACUAAAUGAGACGACGGUAGACCACGACGGUUCGUCAGUUGUUCUAGCGUCGUCUGAAAAUUGACAAAGUUGUUUUUAAAAUAAUAGUCUUUUUUUAUAUGCUUGUUUAAUUGCAGGUUUGAUUUCUCUGAACAAUGGUUUUUGUUUUUCCCUUAUUUGAUAAAAUAUAAAGAAAAAGAAACUAGGGUUGGUAUCUAAUAUAGACGACAAAAUAUCUUAUUGUUUUACGUCGUGUGAAUGUUAAUACCACGACGGUGUAUUACUAUUAACGUCGUAUGAACAUAAAUACCACGACGUUAUAUAAAUAAUAGUUUACCACGACGGUGUAUUACUAUUGACGUCGUGUGAACAUAUAUACCACGACGUUAUAUAAAUAAUGGUUUUAAACAUUUAUUACGUCUGAGAUUAUUUCAUUGCGUCGUCUAAAAUCAUAUCAUACGUCGUAUUUUUUUAAUACCGUCGUUUGUGUUCUUAAUGUUUUCCUGAAAUAUUUUCACUUGCAGUUUUGUCUGUUAAAAUGGUUUCUCAACAACAAACUAAGGAUUCUGGCUCCAAGAAGCUUGGAAUGGUAGCUCCUCAAGACAAGUCUUCGAAGGAGAUGAAGUCUUCGAAGAAGAUGAAGUUUGCUUCAUCAUCUGCUGAGACAGAACCAACCAGCCAGACAACAAUCUCUGAUGAUUCAAAGACUGGUCGAGGCAUGAGCACAAUGCCUCGUGUUGUGAAGAGAAAGCUUCAGAAACUGAGGCCAAUUGUUGAGUACAAUAAAAGGGGGAAAGGUGUUGGCCAAGCACAUAUUGAGAUGCAGUCGUAUAUUGGUGUGUUGGCACGCUCCAGGAUCCCACUUGUGGACAAGAAAUGGUCCCAAAUCCCCAAGGAUAUAAAGGAGCAGAUUUGGGAAGCAGUUGACAUGGCUUUUGUCGUAGGCCAAGGGGGCAAGACCUCUGUUUUAGCUUCUGCUUCCAAGAAAUGGAAGGAUUUCAAGUCUACACUAACGAGGCAUUAUAUCCUUCCAUACACCAAUGACAGGGAGAAAUUAAGCCAACCCCCUGAAACAUAUAAAUUCAUAGAGAAAGCACAAUGGGAUGCCUUUGUAGCUUCAAGGCUAUCCAAAGAUUUUGAGUCUGUGCAUUCUCAACAUGCACAGAUUAGGGAGAAACUCGAGUACAAUCAUCGAUUGUCUCGAAAAGGAUAUGCUGGAUUGGAGGAUCAAUUGGAGGAAACCAUGCCUGGGGUAGAAAUUGAUCGAUCUACCUUAUGGAAGAGAGCUAGACAGGACAAACAUGGUAACAUCCCUGAUCCAAAGGUGGCAGAGAAAGCAAAAUUAAUUGUAAGCCUACUAUCACUCUGUUUUAAAUUUUUAUUAAACUGUGAAUUAUUCUUAUUACGUCGUAUGUUAUAUUUUUCGUCGUGUGAAUGAUAUUACCACGUCGAAAAGUUUUUAAAAACGUCGUUAAAGGUCUAAAUAGGAAUCACUACUAAUUUUCUGUAAUUAUAGCAUAAGACGUCGGUGGUUCAUUUUCGCGUCGUUUGAAUGAUAUUACCACGUCGAAACUUUUUUAAAAACGUCAUUAACGGUCUAAAUAGGAAUCACUACUCUGUUUUCUUUAAUUAUAGCAUAAGACGUCGGUUGUUUAUUCAUUUCGUCGUUUUAAAUAAAUAACCACGUCGGUAUAACUACCGUCGUGAUAAGUUAUAAUAACGUCGGUUUAUACGUUAUUGCGUCGUGUGAAAUUAUAUAAUACGUCGUUUGUACAUAAAUAACCGUCGUGUGUUUUUUUGUUUAUCUUUGUUUUAGGAUGAAUUGCAGAAACAAGUCUCGGAAGGCAAAGUCAGAGUAGAUGGCAGCAAUGAUGUGCUGACCAUGGCUUUGGGCCCCGAGCAUCCAGGCAGAGUGAGGGGAGUUGGUGCUGGUGUUUCCCCAAGGCAAUAUUUCAAUUUGCCCAAACCACAGAGGGUGAGCUUUGACGACCAUUUGAAGGACAGUUUAAGAGUUCUCCUUCAAGAAGAGACUAAAAAGAUGGAGGCUAAGGCAAGGGAAGAGGCCUUAAGAAUGGAGGCUAGGACAAAACAAUUGGUAGAGGCUGAGAGGGAGCAUUUCCUGAGUCAGCUUUCCCAAUUAAUUCCCAAUUUUGAUCCAAGCAUGCUUAAACCAAGAAUUAGCCAAAGCCCCAAAAAUCCAAUGUCUGACAAAGCUAGCUGCUCUGGAGGUGAUGUGAGAUCCCUACAUUUGGAGGAUGAUACUGCCAAAAUGGGGAAACAUCAGCCAGAUGAAGAGAAGGAAGAAGAAAAAAGAGAUGAAGAGAAGGAAGAAGAAAAGGAGAAAGAAGAUGAAGAAAAGCAUGACGACAAGGUAUGUUCACAUAACUUUGCCUUUUUUAUUUGUUUUUCAAAAUUUCAGACGUCGAUAUUUUUAUUUAAUCCGUCGUUUGUUUAAAACUUAGACGGCGGACUUUUUUUAAGACGUAAUAAAAUAUUUAAACGACGGUUUUUGCACCGUCGUUUAAAUGGUUUCAGACGACGCUUUAUUCAUAAAAUCGUCGUCUUUAUUGAAUUACCACGACAGUUUUUUCACCGUCGUUUAAAUACUUUUAAGACGACGUUUUAUUCCUUAAACCGUCGUCUUUGUUGAAUUACCACGUCAUUUUUUUUAUUUCUUUAAACAGGUUAUUGAAGUUGGUGCUUAUUCAAAUAUGGAGGCGCCAUCUUCUUUAAAAACCCUUUGUCGUUUUGUGGAAACGACACUCCUGCCUGAGGAUAAGACACUCCAAUUUACAAUUGAUAAGGAGGUGUUUGGUGGUGAGCGCGAUACCUUCCUCCUGCCUGAAGAUAUUACACAAUUUGCAGGCAUGGAAGAAAUUGGAGCUACUGUAUUGGCUGUAUAUAUGAGGUUUGUACUUCUAAAAUAAUACCUCGUUGGUUUAUAUAUUGCGUCGUCUUAACUAACUAACCACGUCGUCUUAACUAACUACCGUCGUGAUAAAUAUAUUAUAACGUCCUCAUCUAUUUCAGUACGUCGUGUGAAAUAUUAUAAUACGUCGUUUUUUUAUACAUAACCGUCGUGUUUGUUUGUGCUGACUUGUUUAUAUUAUUUUAUGUAUUUAGGUACUUACACGAUGUUUUGAAACAAGCCAAUAUGUGCAGCAUGGUUGGCUUUAUCGACCCUGCUACAGUUAGUGCCAACUCUGGCACAAUAACUGAAAGAUCACGACUGGUAGCAGCUCGACUUCAGAAGACAGACGGUGAACAGAUUUUCAUGAUGCCUUACAAUCCAGGGUUAGUCUCCUUAGGAUUUUGUUUUUAUGAUUUUCAAUAAAUGACAGCUUAUAAACUAACCACGUCGGUGUUUUAUUUUAUUUAGUCGUUUGAAACUACUAACCACGUCGGUAUUUAUUUAUCGUCGUGAUAAAUAUAUAAUGUCGUCGUUAUCUACUUUAUUUCGUCGUGUGAAAUACUAUAAUACGUCGUUUUUGUAAAUAACCGUCGUUUUUAUAUUCAUUUUGUGCAGCCGUCAUUGGAUCUUGCUGAUUGUAAGAGCAAAGAAGGAGACCGUCUAUUUUCUGGAUCCUCUGCCAGGUCAUCGUGUGGUCGACGAAGAGGCGAAAAACAUCGUGAACAGUGCUUUAAAAAUAUAUAAUACCCACAUAGCCCGAGCACGACGUAAAAAUGUAAUUUGGAAAACUCUCUCAGGCACACCAAAGCAACCCAGCAAUGUCGAAUGCGGGUACUAUGUGAUGCGCUUCAUGAGGGACAUCAUCAUGGAUCCUUCCUUGGGGUUUGAGAAUAAGGUAAGAAGAAAUUACCUUCAUACAUUUCACGUCGUUUUUUGUAUUAUCAACGACGGUCAUGUAAAAUUAACGUCGUUGAAUGGAUAUACUACGUCGGUUAUGAAAAAUAUCGUCGUCUGUGAUUGAAUUUCUUUUUAUUUAUAAACCCUAAUAGUCAUUGUUUAUGCAGUAUGCCAAGGGAAACCAGGAAGCUUCAUACCCCCAAGAAGCCAUUGAUGAAGUCCGGAAUGAAUGGGCAGAGUUUGUUUUCCAAAUUAUUAAACAGGGCAAUUAUUGAACACUUGAUAUUUAUGUAUAAUGUACAAAUUUUCUCUAUAAUAUGUAAUGUAAAAAUUUGUUGAGGUUUUCUUAAAUUAAAAAAAAAACAAACAUACAAAUUGCUUAACCGACGUGUAAUACUUUUCCAACGACCUAAUAAAGUCAAAAACCGUCGUAUUUUGUUGUUUCGUGUUUUAAACAAAUACGACGUAAAAAUAUAGUUAGACGACGUUCUUUGAACAAUUGAGUCGUUUAUGGUUUACAACAUCUUCAAUUUCUUAAGGGUUCAGGGUAUCAUCGACGACGUUUAUGUAACGACAGCGGUUAAGUCGUGGAAUAUAUAUUUUACGUCGUAUAGUUAAAUAGCCGCCAUGGUUUCUCAUUUUAACGACGUCAUUUUAACGACUUAGUAGUCUAUUACAAUUUACAACGUCUACAAUUUAUUAACACCGACGUGGUUUGUUGUUGUGGUAAGAAUAUUUUAUUAUUUUUAUAUCAAAAUAUUCAAAAUAAAUUUAAAAUAAAUCAGAAAAUUGAAAAGUCAUCUCCUAUGAAGUCAUUGAUAUAUUUUCUUCCACAUAAACCUUGAAAAAAUUCAUUUUGAAUAACAAAAAUUUAAAAUGACCAUCCAAAACAAAAUUGUUUUGAUGAGUCAUAAAAUCACUUCUAGUUUUAUGGUUUAGGGUUUAGAGUCUAGGGUUUAGAGAUUAGGGUUGUUAUUUGUUGGGGUUUAUUUUUAAAGUAUAAUUUUUGGGUAGUCUAGGGUAUAUGUUAGGCUUUAAAACCAUAAAACCUUUUAUAAACUUAAUUUUUUAAAUUGUAUAAUUUAGUUUUAUGGGUUUAGGGUAUUAAUUUUUAACGACGGUGGUUGCGUCGUGGAAUACAUAUUUUACGUCGUACAGAAAAACAUACGACAUGGUUUACGCUUUAAACGACGUCAUUUUAAUAUGUAAGUCGGUUUAUAUAAUUUACAACGUCUUUAAUUUCUUAACACCGACGUGGUUUUUCAGUCGUCGUUAUAUAAAAAAUUCAAAAUAAAUUUAAAAUUAAUCCGAAAAAUGAAGCUUCAAAAUGAACGGCCUUACGUUCUUAAUCCGAAAAAUGAAGUUUCCGUCGUGGAAUAUUAAAUUUACGUCGGUACUUGUAGAACUUUCGCCUUGGUUUUUCUUUCGACGUUUUAAAACGCGCGAGCUCUAAAAAUUUUCGCGUGACCUAAAUUUUUUUAGAUUUGGCUCUUAUUCUUAUACUUCGAACCCUGAAACCUAAAAUUUUCAGAUUUCGCUCUCUCACUUCUGCUCUAAUUAAAAGUUGCACUCUCCAGGCUUCGUCGAAUCUGUGAGCUCGUCCAACCUGUAAGUACAAACCCUAUCUUCCCCUUGUAAAUUCAUUGAAUGAUAUUAGGUUGUUUUGUUAAAGGGUUUUAUGUGUAUGCUUUGCGAUCUGUUAAUAAUGUGCUUAUAGGUAUGGGUUCAUAGAUUUUCUGUUUAAUGGGUUCAUGGAUUACAUUAUCUGUUAUGUUGAAUUGGGAAUGGAUUUAAUUUUGUCGUAUCUUUUAAUCACCCUAUGUUAUGUUGAAUUGGGAAUGGAUUUAUUGUUUUCAUGCUUGGUUUCAUGUAUAUGUUGGUUUCUUGCUUGGUUUCAUAUAUAUGUUGUGUUCUUAAUGGGUUUUGUGUUCUUGAAAAUAAACUGAGACACGACAAAUUUUAAGGCAUACGACGACGAUUACACGACGGUUUUUUUAAACUACCGUCGUUGUAUUACUUAUACAAGACGGUUUUUUCAUAAACCGUCGUUUGUAUUACUUAUAAUAGACGACGUCUGUUGAAAAUCCGUCGUCUAUAUAUGCCAAAUACGUCUGUUUUUGUUUAAAACCCGUCAUCUCUGUUGUGUAUUACUUGCGAUUAGAUCAUUGUAUAAUCUGCUAUAGUGAUGGUCAUUGCCUGUAUUUUCACUUUAUUAUAGAUAAUAGGUUAUAGUGUCGGAGAUGGAUAAGUCAUGGAUGCACUCGGAUAGAAGAUCGAAGGCAUAUGAAUUUGGGGUGGAAGCAUUUUUGAACUUUGCUUGAGAAGUACUUUCCCCCUUCAUUCUUUGAUAUCAUGGUUCAUCUAGUAGUACAUCUUGUCAGAGAAGUUCGUCUAUGUGGGCCAGUAUAUUUUAGGUGGAUGUAUCCGUUUGAAAGAUAUAUGAAAGUGCUGAAGGGGUAUGUUCAGAAUCGUACUCGUCCCGAAGGUUGCAUUGCUGAGCGGUAUAUAGCUUAAGAAGCGGUAGAGUUUUGUACUCAGCAUUUAUCUGAUGUUAGUACAGUUGGAGUGCCUUCAAGCCAAAAGAUGGGACUUUCAAAGCCAUUAUCAGGUUGCACAGUGAGCGUAGUUGAUCAGGACCUGUUGAAUCAAGCACAUCUAUAUGUCUUGGAGAAUACGGAGGAAGUCCUACCUUAUAUCGAGUACGUAUGAGCUUUAUUCUUUAAGUUUCCAUUUUAAAUUAUUUCUUAUGUUUAUCUUCUAUAUUUGGGACCGUAAUGCUUGAAUUUUUCGUGUCAUGUAGGCAACAUAUGAUCCACAUCAAGAUUGCUUAUCCAAAAUUUAGAAAGAGAACAAAGUGGCUGCAGGAUAAGCACAAUAGCACUUUCAUUCAAUGGCUACGCUUCAAGGUAUAUGUUGUUGAAUAACAUAUUUCUCUUUUAAUUUUCUUCUUAUUUAUAUGUUAGAUUGAAUUAAGAUAUGAUUAAUUUGCAGGUUCAAAGUGAACUUGAGGAAGACAAUCAUGGCGUAUCAGAAAAUUUAAGGUGGCUAGCAGCUGGUCCAAACAUGUCAGUGCCAUUAUAUAGGAGCUAUCUUAUUAAAGGUAUUAAAUUCAAUAUCAAGGCACAAGAUGAUGUGCGGACAACUCAAAAUAGUGGAGUUUAUUUACUUGCACAUACCAUGCAAGUUGCUAGUGCCAAGGAUAAAAACCCAAUUCUCUCAAACAUGGGUUUCUAUGGUGUCAUUCAAGAAAUUUGGGACCUUGACUACCAAAAGUUUACAAUCCCAGUCUUUAGGUGUGAUUGGAUAGAUAGUUCUGGUCUUGUAGUCGACGAACUUGGAUUUACCCUUGUAGAUUUGAGUAAAAUUGGACAUAGGAAUGACCAAUUUGUUUUGGCUUCUCAAGUCAAACAAAUAUUUUUUGUUGACGACCCGAUGCAUCGUGGUUGGUCGGUAGUGUUAUCAAUGCCUAAUAGAGAAUAUAAUGAUGUUAUUGGUGAUGAAGUCUUAGGUGAUGUGAUAAUUGAGUGUGAGCCAUUUACUAGAGGGAUGCCAAAUGUUGACACAUUUGAUGAACUGGUGGGUGAGUUAGGCGGUCAAAAUAUUCGAGAUGGGUGUGAAGAUAUAUGGAUUGAAUGAUGCUUAUGUAAUUGGCAGUGUAUGACAUUAAUUUUGUAAUAUAUUGUAAUGUGAUUUCUUCACUUUCUACGUUCAAAUAAAACACGACGUUAUUGUGAACCAGUUAUUCAGCAUAUUUACCGACGUCUUAAAGCAACGUAACAAUGAAGAACCACGACGCUAUUGUGAAGCAAUUAUUCAGGAUAUCACGUCGGGGAAGGAUUAAGAACCGCCAUGUAAUUCAAAAUAACACGACUCCAAUCCCAUAAUACCGACGUCUAAAAAACGAGAUAUAUAAUCUGAACGUUAAAAAAUACGACGUCAUCAUACAUUUUCCACAUCGCAAGUUCUUUUAUAAACGAAGAGGAACGAAAUGAAUUCCGACGGAAAUUCAUUAUAACCGCCGUCUAAUAACAAUUAAACGACGUUAUUUGUAAUACGGCUCUCAUCAUAAUCAACGCCGUCUAUAUGUUCUGUAAUACGGCUCUCAUUUAUUUGGAACCGACGUUGUUUAGAAGUUCAACGUCGUCUAUAUUAUUAAGUGCGUCGUGAGUAAUGAUGAUAGAUAUAAAUACAACGUCGACUAUAUAAAUGCCACUGACGUUGUUUCGCAUUUCAACGUCAACUGUAUAAAUACAUACGUCGUAAAUAAUGACACUGACAACUAUUUCCACGUCAUCUUUUUUAGAAAAAUCGAAGUGGAAAAUUUAUUUCACGACGGUUGUUUGUAAAUAAGAGACGUAGUAUAUUUCAAUAACGUCGUCUUCUCAUGUAUUUAAAGACGUCAUAUUUUUUCUUGUCGUGUAAAUUAUAUUUAACGGCGUAGUAUUUUAGUUGUCGUCGUUGUAUGUAUAUCUUGCGGCCUUGUUCUUUUAACAUGUGUCAUAUUUUUCCUUUUUAACGACGGUGAUUUGUUUGAGUUGGUCGUCUAUUCUCAUCCUCGACUAUUUUCUAGAACUUUAGCAGACUAAACACGUCUGUUUUUAUUGUUUUCCGACGUUGUUUUAUUUAACAACGUCUAAUAUUUAUCGUCGUUGUUUGUUUCUGAAAAUAUGACGUAUAAAUUUUGUAAUACGACUCUCAUAUAUUUGUAACCGACGUUGUUUCGUUUUUCAACGUCUACUCUAUAAAUACAUACGUCGUAAAUAAUGACACUGACAACUAUUUUCACGUCAUCUUUUAUCGAAAAAUCGAAGUGGAAAAUUAAUUUUACGACGGCUGUUUUUAUAUAUGCGACGUAGUAGGUAUCAAUAACGUCGUCUUCUAAUGUAUUUAAAGACGUCAAAUUUUUUAUUGUCGUGAAAAUGAUAUUUAACGGCGUCGUAUUUUUAUUUUCGUCGUUGUAUGUCUAUCUUGCGGCCUUGUUCUCUUAAUAUGUGUCAUAUUUUUCCUUUUUAACGACGGUUUUUUUAGAGAGUUGGUCGUCUAUUCUCAUCCUCGACUGCUUUUUUAGAUCUUUUUGCAGUACAAAGACGUCGUUUUGUAUUUGUUGAUGACGUUGUAUAUUUUAACAACGACGGUGAUUUUGCGUCGUGGUUUAUGAGGGAAAAGAUGACGGUGGAUUCCACGACCAUUGAAAAACCGAAUACACGACGGUGAUUUACCGUCGUCUUUUUGCUUUUUUGUAGUAGUGAGAUAAAAAUGUUCUGAACACUUCUCUAGAAGGCCACGAACCCAUCCGAGGUCAUCUUGGGCUCCAAAAACACAAUAAAAGCCCAACACGUCACUAUUCCAGCACCGCGCACUGCUCAUUUAUUUUAUUGCCAGAAAAUAACCGCUUGGAAGAAAAAUCUGAAAUUUUGAUACGAUCAAGCUAAGUGACUCAAGAACGUCCUCCAACUGGAAUUACUCCAAAAUUCCUCAAUUUGAUUAUGUUUUGCUCCAGAGAGAGUCGAAAGUCCUAUAUUGGAAAUAUAAUUCAAAGUAUCAAAAUUCUUCCAAAAUAUUAACCAAAAUAUACUAAGAAUGAGGUUAAAUAUAUAAUAUAAAAUAUGUCCAUCACCCCACAACAACUAAAGAACCAACAUUUUGUAGAAGGUUUUGUCUAUACCUUUGACUGUAAGUAAAUCUCUUGUAUCUGCUCCUGUGGUUCGGUGAAGUUUCUUUGUGUCCUUUCUGCGGAGUCUCCCAUGCUUGUUCCAUGAAAAUGUUCUAGGAGAAAAUACGGUUGUUUCUUACUAGAUUCAAAUGAUUAAGAAAAAUAAAAACGCAAGAAAAAAGGUAUUUUCUUGAUGGACUUGGUGAUGAAAAAUAUCACUCUCUUUAUAUGUCGUCUUCCUUGGACUUUGAGACCUUGGGUUUCGAUUCUUCUUGAGGAUUGCAUAGGGUUUCUAGGCCCAAGAAUACUUUGAGUUAGUUUUUGCGUUUUGGGCUUUGAGACUUUGAGACUAUAAUGAGUGGAAAGUUAUAAGGGGUAAGUUAUAAGGGGGUCACUUUAUAGCCAUCAGAUUAAUCCAAGGGCUGGGGAGAAUUGAGAUAAAGUUUCACAAUUGGGUAGGUGAGGAACCCAAACCCGAAUUGAAUAUCCAGCACGUCCAAAAAGAAGAAGAAGAGGGAAACACGUCCGAAAAAGAAGAAGAAGAGGCAAGUUCGAAGUUUGAACAGAAAGAACUCAUCUCUCUAAAACACAGAGGUCUGAGAUACCCAAUGAAGGCAACGGCUAACGACAGUUGAAGGCAACAAUUCGCCACUCCGUUCUCCAGACCCCGAAAAAGUAUUUAUUUGGAGUAGAAGGGGCAAAGGUGUGGAUUCCAAAUCAGUGAAGGGGCGAAGCAGUGGAAGGGGAAGGGGAGAAGCUGUAUUCGUUGGAAGUGUAGGUUCCAUUUGUGGAGCAAAGAAAUAGAAAGACCCCACACAGACACCUUGCAAUAACCAGCAUUUGGUGAGUAAUUUAUGGAAUUUGAGUUUAGGGUUAGAGUAAUGGUUUUCCCCAAUUUGUACCAUAAAUUUUGUUGGAUUUGGCAUCUCUUCGUUGUGCUUCAGUUGCAUGUUAAUUUUUGCUUAGGUAUAUGUUAAAAAAGGAAUGAAAAUUAAGUCAAUAACAAGUGAAUAACAUGUCAAUAAUGAUAUGAAUAAGAUAAUGGUGUUGAAUUGGAGGAGGCCCUCAAAACCUUCCACAUUUGAAGCAGUGCAUAGUGCAGAUUAAGAAGAGGCGCUAGAAUAUAUAUAUAUAUUUUAUGAAGUAAAUAUGAUUUCCUUUGUUACUAAAUUUGCCUGAGAAACAUUUGAACAGAUAAUAAUAAACUCAUGAAUAGAACUGCAAAGCAUUUGAUGAGCAAUGUAAGGAAUUUAAGUUUAGGGUUAGAGUAAUGGCAUCUCUUAUUUGUGCUUCAAUUGCAUGUUAAUUUUUGCUUGGGUAUAUGUUAAAAAAUGAAUGAAAAUAAAGUCAAUCACAUGUCAAUAACAUCUCAAUAACAUGUCAAUAACAUGUCAGUAAUGAUAUGAAUAAGAUAAUUGUGUUAAAUUGGAGGAGGCGCUCAAAACCUUCACAUUUGAAGCAGUGCAGAGUGAAGAGUACCUCUCUGGCACUAGAAUUUAUAUAUUUUGUGAAAUAAAUAUUAUUUCAUUUGUUACUAAAUUUGCCUAUGAGAAAUGAGAACAGAUAAUAAUAAACUCAUGAAUAAAAGUGCAAAGCAUUUGAAAUGAAGGUUGAUCUAUGACGAUUGUGGGUGACUGAAGAAAAAGGUAGAAAGAAAGAAGGAUGUGGCAAUUGCUUAGCAAGCAGAUAGCAGAGUACAUGCUUUGCUUUGCUUCCUUCCACUAUAUUUCUUAUUUAUUUAUUUUGGGUUGUGUAUGAGAUGACAAUAAUUGUCAUGUGUGUGAAGUGCAGAACUUGCCUACAUUGCACUCACACGAGUAUGGAUGCAUAAAUAAAACACGUGAAAUUGUUUGUAAUUCACAUAAUCAUUGCAUUAACAGGUAUUUGCACAAAAAUUGUCAUAUUGCUUUGAUGAUGUUAAAGGCUGUGAUGAGUAAUCCCUAUGCUCAUGUACUUUGUAAAAGUUGUAAUGUGCCUGGUUGACUAGUUGUGAUUGUGCAAAUACGUGGUAGUAUAUAUGUUCACGUUAUUUCACAUUGUAUUUGAGGAAAUGGGAUCCAACGUGGAGCUGGUAUGGCCAGAGGCAGAGGUAUAUUCGUCACGGGUGAACAACUGCUCACAUGCAAAUUCAUCUCUAGCUGCAAUUCGAGCGAAGUUGAGUGCGGAACAAUUAGAACAAUUCAAGACAUCAUGCUUUGGCCAUCUUCUGAAUAUAGAUAAGAUUCAGUUUAGCGGGCAGAUUGUGCAUGGGGUUGUGUUGCGUAGAGUAGCGGGGCAGGGUGUGAAAGACUUGGAUGGACUGAGUUUCUUAUUAGGGUGUGACGUUGCUCAGUUCACUCGUCAGGAUUUCUGUUUGAUCACAGGGCUUCGUUUUGGGGAAGUGCCUGAAGUUUCCAGUGGAGAGAGUGAUGAAAUCAGACUUCAGAAAAGAUAUUUUAUAGACGAAGGAAUUACAUGCAAUGCUUUAGAAGAAGCAUUUGUGAGGUGCACAGAGGAAGAUGACAUCUACAAGCAAGCUCUUGUUUACUUUGCUGAGUUAGUGGUUUUGGGAAGGGACAAACAUUUGAACAUCAAUCUAAAUUACCUGACCCUUGUAGAGGACUUGGAUGCGUUCAACAGGUAUCCGUGGGGUUCGGUGUCCUUUGACAAAACCCAAGACAGUCUAUUUUCUGCACCAACAAAGUAUGUGAAAAGCUUGGAAAAUGAAGAGGGAAGAGGGAAGGGGAAAAGUAAGGUAACGGGAACAAGCCGGAGAAAUGAGAAGGGCAAGAAGGAUAAGCAUGGUGAAGCGCAAAUGAGUGGCUGGAGUUUUAAAGGUUUCACGUAUGCUUUCCAGGUACAUGGUAAUAAUGUUCAUGUCAGUUAUGUUUUGUUUUUCUUUAAAACAUAAAUAAUGACUUUUGUCCUGUGAAUUGUGUAGAUUUGGGUAUAUGAAUUAAUUCCUAGAAUGGCGGACCUGAAUUACUGCAAGGUUGUUGAUCCGACCGUUGUCCCGCGUAUUUUGCGAUGGAGAACUACUACGUCUGUUCCAGAGAUGAGAAAGUUGAACAAUUAUUUUUUCCAGAGCAAAGAGGUUUGGUUUGCAGCCCUUGGAACUAUUGAUAAGAUUGAAUGAAAUUAUGAAGUAGAAUGAUUUGAUAUGACUCUUGUCUGUAUUCUGAAACAGUCAGUUCAGUUGCGGGCGCUAUGUCCGAGUGAAGAGGAAAUGAGACAGCCAUAUUGGAGUUGGCCACAGGAUCGCCCUGCUGUUGUCUCAGCAGAGUCAAUUCCUUCUUCAUGUGGUGAUCUUGAUGAGUUGAACAAGGUGGUAAGUUGGUUGAGGUCCGAGUUGUUUCAAGUAAAGCGGGAAAAAGACGUCCUUCACUUAAAGGUCAUACGGAUGGAAAAACUGUUGGACCAAUGUUUAGGUCCUCAGUUUGAGCAGGAAGUAAGGAGGGACCUAGCUUUACUGAAACAGAGGACGAAUCGUUGUGUCAUCUCACAUCUAUUUAAGGGAUAUGGGGAAAUGGAUGACAUUCAAUGGGAUGAAGGGCCAAGUAACAGAAAUGAGGGAGAGGAAAAGGAAGAUGAAGGGAUUGAAGGGGGUGAAGGGCCAAAUAAUAGAAAUGAGGGAGCACAUAAGGAAAAGGAGGGGAUUGACGGAGAGGAAAAGGAAGAGGAGGGGAUUGAAGGGGGUGAAGUGCAAGGAAAACCAAGUGAGGUAGAGGAAGGGCAAAGGAAAAGAAGUGAAGGAGAGCAAGUGCAAGUAAAAAGUAGCAAAGGAGAGGAAGCCCAGAGACAGAGCAGUGAGGGAGAGGAAGUGAAAAGAAAAAGCAGUAAGGGAGAGAAACUGCAAAGGAAAAAAAGGGAGGGCAAGGAAGUGAAAACACAAACAAGUGAGGAAAAGGAAGUGCAAAGAAACCAAUGUGAGAAAGAAGAUAAUGAAGUUAUGUUGCUUGGGGGUGACAUUGGCGAGAGCACGGAGGGGACACUGCUUGAGUUUACUGUCGGGGACAUUGAUUUGGAUGAACCUACAGCUGUGCUAUCUCAGUUGAACGUGUGGUUGAAUGAUAAAGGUAAAGCUCUGGCACAAGGGGUCCAAUUACGGAAAAGGAAGAGGAUCAUUCCUUUGUGGAAGAUCAUUGAAGGCAGUGAAUUGGUUCCAAAAAUUGGGGCACAGACAACCGGACUGAAGAUGUUAGACCCAAUGAAGGCGAUUUCGCAUGAUGAUCUGGUGAAAUUGCUGAAACUUUGUUGGGAAUGGCGCCAGGACCCAAAGUAAGUCCCUUGCAAUUAUAAGAUACAAGCAUGACUGUAUAUAAUUUUUUAUAUACAGUGUUCUAAAACUGUUUUAUAUUCAUAGUUUGGUGAUGCAAUUUGGCAACGUGGAAGCUGAGAUUGAAUUCUUCGCUUCCCUCGUGAAAGCUGAUGGUUGGCUGAAAGGAGAUGUAAGUGUAAUUGAUUAUGCAUUUGUUUUAAUGUACAUACAUUAUGAGAUUGACAAGAAAAACAUGUUGCAGCACAUUGAUUUGGGGUUGUAUCUCAUCCGGAAGCGACAACAACAGUUGGAGACAGAUUCGGUAGAAGUAGCGGACUGGACAACGACCGAUGUUUUUUUUAUGGUAUGUCAUCGGCCUUGACCAAGUGCCGUUAAUAAUUACACAUUUUCCAUACACACACUAGUGGAGGUGUUUAACCAUUGAUUGUUUUGUAUUUCACAGAAUCACAUUCGUACUUGCUUUGCGGAUAAUAAAAGAAAAAAACAGCAGCUUGGGUGGAAAAUCAGGAAAAGUUUACUAACCGUUGUAAAUGGGAAGGUUCCUCCGUGUGGGUUGGAUUGGCAGACCGUCUAUAAGGUGUAUACCCCAUUUAUGUUGACGAAGUACAAGCAUUGGGUGGCUGUAAUGAUUGAUCUGGUAUUGUGUGAAAUCAAAGUGUACGAUUCAAAGGUUUCACUAAUUCCAGAUGACAUCGUAAAGGAAGAACUCGGCCCGCUAUCAAUUACGCUUCCAAAUCUUCUCAACACCAUCGACUUUUAUGAAAAAGGUGUUUAUGCAAACAAUUGCAGCCAAGAUUAGUGGUGUCCGUGGCCAAUAGAGCGUGUGGAUGUUCCACAACAGUCUAAUGAGUAAGCACAACUUGCAAUUUAAUUUUAUUACUUUCAAUUGUCAAUUACGUUAGAAUGUCAUUAGUUGAAUUGAUCGAGUUCUUGUUUUGCUUCAGAGGCGAUUGUGGCAUGUUUGUGUUAAAGUACAUUGAGCUUUUCAGCGCUGAGCUUCCGUUAGCUACUUGCACCUCGCACAACAUGCCUUUUUUUCGGUUGAAAUUGGCUGCGGAGAUAACAAGGGGAGAUGCUUACUUCCCAUGAUAUUGGUUGAAGAUGACAAAUGGUACAUGAGAAGGUUUUGGGAAUGUCCAUUCUCAAACUAAUGUAAAUACACAAUAGAGAAGUACGGGUCCUUAUCGAAUUCUACCGCUAACUCCUUCAUGACAUUUACAUGUUUGUUAACCAAACUGCAUUGAAUUGGAAUUUUAAGACUGCAUAUGUGAAUUGGGAUUUGAAGAUGGCUUUUUAAGUGUAUUACAUCAUUGCAAAGUGAUAUGUCAUUGUUGAUGCAAGCCACCAUUAAUCGCAAUGUGUUGCAUCAUAAUAGGUGUCUAAACAUGCGAAAGGUUUUCCGCAGCUCAGUAGCAUAAAAGUAGAAACAAAGACAAUAUACACAAAAUGAACAACAAUUCACAAAUGCACCGACAAGCAAUACACACACAACAGACAAACAAUAUACACAAACUUGGCCUGCCAUAUACAGAGAAUAGACAUGCAAUAUACACACAGUAGACAUGCAAUAUACACACAAUAGACAUGCAAUAUACACACAAUACUCCCUUAACACACACAAUAGACAUGCCCUUGCCCACAAUAAUGAUGCAAUAUACUUCAGUCCCCAAGUACACCAACCAUAGGGAAGUCGUAUUGAAUAGGAUAUUAAACUUAACAGUUGUUCUUCCUACUAAAAGAAAGAAUAAGGUUCGUUUCCCCCCUUCAUUCUUACUUGAGUGAUACUUGUGGCCCCAAUAAACAUCCAAUUUUGGGGCAAUGAUAUUCCAUAUACAUGCAGCAAACUAUCAAUAAACCUUCAAUAAACCUUCAAUAAACAUUCAAUAUCGUUUCUAUAACAUGCGAAAUACAUGCAGUUACCAAAUAUUACAAAAUGGGUUUAGGGUCUCAUUGGUGGUGCGUGCAACAUGUCUUGUGCGGGAGAACUUUCACAAUCUUUUAAACCGUGCAGUUAAAUGAUCAUUAAAAGAACAAAUAAAAUGACAAUUGAUACAACUAAUAAAACUAAUACCAAGUCCUUAAUGGACUUCAGCAUGUUCAGCACUCUAGCAUCAUACGUGUCAUCUUGAUGUUCUGCUUCAGCGGAGGUUACAUCAACCCAUUCGAAUCCAUUGCAACUGGUGGCUCCCUAAUUGCAGGCAUCAUAUAUGGAAUAUAAUUCUGUCAGAGUUAGACAUAGGUUUUUUUUCACCCACAUACAUAUUCUUUAAAUUAAAACUUACAUAGGAGGUUAGACACUUCCAGAAUGGCUUCCCUCGAUUUUUGUCAGAUUUUGAAACCCGAAGCACCAUUGUAGCUCCACAAUACUGACACCUCUUUGUUUGAGCGGGAGAUGAAGAUGAAGACAUGUUUAAUCUUCUCAGUUGUACCUCUUCUCACUCAGAUCUUCUCACUGAAACCUCUUCGGACUCAUACCUUCUCACUCAUAGUUGUCAUUCAUACCACUUCACUCAUAACCCUAAACUUGUCACUCAGCUCUCUCUCAUCUCUGCCCAAAUCGAGUUAUAUUUCUUUUUUUUGGGAUCAUUUGGUGGGUUGGUCACGAUGUCGACACCUGUACCGUCAGCAUUGUGACAUCUUUUAGCCCGAAAAGCAAUAUAAACUACUUCACUACCAAAUAUAUUUUCUGAAUAAUGACGGGACACUGCUUCAAUUUUAUUAAUUUAUUUAUAUUUCAUUAAGGCAACUAGUUGGAUAAGAAUCCGUCAUUAUUGGUUCCAUUUUAAUAACAUUACUAGGGGUAAUUGGGUGUGGGAAAAUGAAAAAGUAUAUGAUGGGACCUUCUGUCACUAGUCAGUAAUCCAUCACAUUUGUAUCAAUGAAUUUGAUAGUGGGAUAAACCCAAAAAUGGCUAUGCAAAUAGCCAUUUAAUUAACUUUUUGACUGUCUGACUCUGUAUGCACCGUUAUGACGUUUUCCCUUCUUUUGUCUUAAGUUUUAAUUCACUGGGGUUCAGUUUCUUUCAAAAGGGUCAACUUGGAAAAACCCCAACUGGAAACACCUUUUCAAAACACUAUAAACAGAGGCUAAAACAAAACGUGUACCCCAAAUAUUAUCAUUUAUCCCCUCUGCCACUCCUCAAAUCGUUCCAUUCCAAAAACUUUUCAAUGAAUUCGAAACACUUCACUACAGUCGGAGGAAAGAGAAGGAAGCAUGUCCAUUUCGAUAUGCCCGAAGCCUUCAUCCCGGAGUCCGCUUGGUUUCAAGUCAUGUUAUACGUGGCAACCGAAUCAUCGGAAGAUCUCUUCCGUAUGGCAUCUGUGUGACGAUUGUUCCGAACUUUGGCAAACAGUUCACAAGUGUGGAACACCAUUUCAAUGGCAAAGUACCCAGACCAUCCUAUAUGGUACCGUGCCAGACCUGCGGUCCAGCAUUUCUUGCAACAAUGCAGGGCUUGCGAUAACCCUGAGUCCAUAUUUAGAGAAGCAUUCGAAGGUUUUUUCAGGCACGGUAAGGUGGAAGCGUUGUAUGGGAUGCGCAUUGCAGCCACGGCAGGCCAUAUGGAAGCGGCAUAUGUAGUUGGACUACUUGGUAUGUCCGGAAUUGGUCAGUCAAAAGAGGAUGCAUUACAAUUCUUGUGUUCUUUGAAUCAACGUAACAACAUUGAUAUGAAAGGAACCAGGGAUGCUUUGACAGGAAGAUUUCACGGAGCAUUUGUUGCAAGACAUAUCGUAGAUAUGUUUGACUAUGGGAAGAUUAAGUUCAAUCGGUGCAGCGCUUGUAACAACAAUGAAUGGUAUUUUGUUAUUCCAGGCUGGCCUAGUGAAGACAAGAUAAAUCCUGCGUUGUGGACUUGUUGCAAUCGAUGCAAAUGGCACCGUGAGAGUAUUUUUUGGUGCAAACUGAUGCGUGAGUAUGUUGUGCGAGGGAAUCACGUAUUUUUGCAUUAGUUUUAGUACGAAUUUACGGUUUUGAUGCAUUGUGGACUUGCUUCUCUUCACUUCUAGGUUGGCUGGCUACGUUAUACCUAUCUCAGUUUAAAUGUUGUUCAAAUGUUGGUAUUUUGUCAUAAACCGUUUUAUAUAUAAAUGUAUAAUAUUUAUUAUAUAGCGGAAUUAUUACUUACAUCAUAGACGGCUAGGAAUGACAUUUUACUGACACAGAUAUUUUGCUCACCGACCCCAAUCUUCAUAUUUGAUAAACGAAAAGUUAUGCAUGGAGUAAAUAGGUGUCUUUUCACCAGUGCUUGGGAAUGACAUUUUCCCACUUAGCAUAUCCGAAAGGAUUUGGUUACACGUUUCUUAACCUAGGGGGUUGAACAGUGAAUGACGUAGACUAUUUUUUGUGUGUGGAAGGAGUACAAUGGAUGACUUGUAUAUUUCCAUAUUAUGUUUCAAAACAUCCCUUCAACCUAAAAAAUAAAAAAAUUAACAAAUUGAAGAACAGAGAAACCGAUGAGCACUACAAAUGGCCUAUUCGCACGGAAAAUAAAAUUGUUUUCAACAAGUUGGACUAAAUAUAAUUAACAAAUGGACAGCCUAAAAAGUAAUAUCAUAAUAAUUAUAAUAAUUGUGGAUAAAUAAUAAUAAAAUACUAAUGUAACAUAACCAUUAAACAGGGAAUGCAGUAGGAAGAUGAAAUCGCAAUAAGUUCGUAGAAAUUUUGGGAUCGUUUUUCUAAUUUUUGUGUAUUUAGUUAUGAAUUUUCCAAGAAAAAAGGUAAUAAAAUAAUAAUUUAGGGUAAAAUGGGAGGAUGUGGCCAUGUUCGGUAACGUACACUUGUGCAAGUAGUCAAAAGUGACGGGCUGAGAUCGCGCCAGGUGUCAUAUUCUUGUUAAUUUUGGAUUCUUUUGUUAAAAAAUCUUUGAAACUAGGUAAUAAAUAGUAGGAAAAUCGUAAAAAUGGCCCAAAAAUUACUCCGGCCUCCUUUUGACGUCCUAAAACUAGGAGAACCUAUAAAUCAUUCGUCUCGCAAUGAAAUAAUCCAAAUUGUGUUACAUAACUCACUUUCCUCUUAACCCUAAGUAUUGAUGUUUGUUAACUUCAACUUGAAUAACCUACUUCAACAAGCAUCUCCCGUUAAUAUUGGGAAUUAAUUUUACAAAUGCGUAACAAUGAAUCGGAGAAUUCAGCAACGGAGAUGGAGUGUCAAUGAGUUCGUAGCAAUUUUCGGAUAAUUUUUUUAUUUUGUGUGUAAUUAGUUCUGAUUUUUGUAAGGAAAAGUAAUAAAAUAAUAAUUUAGGGUAAAAUGGGAGGGUGUGGCCAUGUUGACUGACGUACACUUGUGCAAGUAGUCAUCAGUGACGGGCUGAGAUCGCGCCAGGUGUCCUUUUGCUAUUAUUUUGGCUUUUUUAGUGCAACAAUCUGUGGACAUAGGUAAUAAAUUCUACGAAAAUCCAAAAAAUGCCCGGAAAAUGAGAAAAUGAAAAUUAUUUGUACAUAACUCACUUUCCUCUUAACCCAAAUUCACGUUAACACGUAUAUUUCGGAUAAUAUUCGAAAUAUAAUUUCUAAUAAUACAAUAUUUAGUUUCACUAUAUACAAUAAUAUGUUUUUUUUAUAAUAAUGUACAUAAAUAAUAAUUGCACAUGCUUUGAAGCCAUCAUUGCAACUACGCCUAGAGCUUUGAAGACGUCAGUUCGUAUUCAAUAAGUUGUCCACAUGCAACUGCACCUAGAGUUUUCAACACGUCAGAGGUAUUCAAUAAGUUGUCCACAUGCAACUGCACCUAGAGUUAUUAACACGUCACAGGUAUUCAAUAAGUUGUCCAUAUGACGCCGCAUUGGGAAUCAGUAAUAUAUUUUCAAUCAUGUCAAAUCACAUAAAUAAUGCCAUACUUUUUCUCAAUAACCUCACACAAGUGAAGCAAUUUUAAAACCCUUAGUGAAUAUUUAUCCUAGUCUAUAUGAGUGAUUAUAUAAUCAGUUGCAUAAUAUUUUUUUCACAGUAUAUGUUAACUUUGAGAGGGAUUCCACAAACAUAAAAUAUAAAGAAAGCAAGAAAUAGUAGGAAAUGAACCAGUACAAAAAACAAUAUAUAAAGUGUACAUAAUAAUUCCAUAACCUUGUCACAAACGCACUCACAAAAGCUUUUCCAUAAACCUUGUCCUAACAUAUAAUAAAUAAAGGCAACAUUGCAUAUGAUGCAACCAUGUCCAAAUCUGAUAAGUGAUCAAAAACAAAUGGACAUGGCAGCAACAUAUGAUUGAAGUAGAUGGGCUCUUUGCAUCUUCUGUUUUCGUAAUUAAAGACAUCAAAAUAUUAAGGUUUAAAUCUUCCAUAGUAGUUAGCAUCAAAAUAGCUUUGAAGCAGAGUGUAACGAAAAUUCCAAUUCCACUUAUUUGCCUCUGCUCAAACACGAGAACCAAAAUGGUUACUUCCCUUGCUGAGUAUAUUUGGUGACGUCGGAAACGGUAAUAGAUGACCAAUCAAACCCGGGUACGACGAGUUUUGCAUAGGAUCGGAAGUAGUCGAAUCCAGCUUGCAUCACACGCUUCUUUGACUCCACUACAUUAGAUGAGUUCUUGUAUUUUUGAACAGCUACACUCUGAAGUCGUUUGUGUCUACGCUUCAUGCGCUGCAACUUCGCCCUAUCCAGAUUGGCCUGCCUUUUGUCAUCUUCAAUUUGGCCUUCCACAAAUUCCAAACGUGCCCUUGCCCUUUGGAUUUCAUCACCAAGUUGAAGAUGCCUCUCCUUCCAAAAAGCAACAACUCUUUCAGACUCAAAACUUCCAACAAAAUGGUCAUUCUGUCUAGCAAUGUGACAUUGCUUGUCUGGUGACUCACUUGCGUGUCGAAGCCGGUCUUUGUUUGGAGGGGUGUUUAUUAUACUCACAUCAAACUUGGUUGUGCUUAUGCUCAUUCUUUGGGGGGAAUGAGUUUGUUUGCUUGAGAGAGUAUCGGUAGAUGGAGACAGAUUCGGUGGAGGAGUGAGUUUUGUGUGGAAGGAGAUUUUAUAUGAAAGGGGUGAUAGUAAUACCAAGAAAAGGGUUCCCGCCAAAAAAUAUUUGGUUGACAAAGUAGAAAUUAUUUUUUUAGUCUGAUACAAUCUAAGUUUAAUCCUAACUAGUUUGGUUGAGUUAACUAAGUAGAUGUCACUUCCAUUGACUUUCUUUCAACAACUAUCAGUGGUGUAAGGAGAGUGUGAGGUUGACAUGCUUGAAAAGCAAAAGCUGACACCUAUUUUUAAAAAAUUCCCGCCAAAAAGUACAUAUGUUGACUACACACAAGCUUUGGUAUGUUGGUCUAUAAACCUAUGUUCCCUUUCUCAAACGAAAUUGCAUAUGCAAUCCUCAUCCUCCCAAAACAAAGAGGAUUAUUCAAGCAUGUCAACCUCUUCAGGCGCCAACAACACAAUCGAACAUGACAAAUUGGAGUCACAGGUUCUAUUUCCACAUUGUACUCGCCGACCCCUUCCUUUUUCAACAUCAUUUGGGAGUGAGGGGGACUCCGAUGAUCCAUUAGAGGCAAUACAUGCAGUCAGUGGCAAGCUGGAUUAUAAUUCCAGACUGAUCAAUUCAUGGCACGAGAAAUGUGUUGAAGACGAGGCAAUUUUGGCUGAUCUUAACAUUAGGGUGAGCAAAGCGUUAUCCCAAAAGAACAAGUACUUGAAGCUGAGUCAUAGCAGGAAGCUGAAAGCUGAGGAGUUGGAUACAGUAAUGAAUGAUGAAAUGAAAGGUUGUUUGAUGAACCAUAUGCGAUGCGAACAGCACCAUACUGAACUGGAGUUGGCAUUCAACGAAGGAUUCGACAAAUUCCGAGCAUUUGCGGCAACUACUCAUACAAGUUAUGAUUGGAACUAUGUGUCCCCUGAUGCUGUGAGAGAGAUACUAGACGAUGGGGGUGACAUGAAUGAGCAUAAGCACGUCAAAGCUGCUCGGAAGAAGCCGACCGAUACGACUAAGUGAUUGCGGCUACCGCUGUUCAGUUAGUUGAGGGUGACCGUGGUAUUGCACAUAUACUCCCUUAAUGUCAUUAUCUAACUUAAAAUAACACAAAUAUCAGUUUCAUUUGCUUGAUAUAUAAUUAUUGGGACUAUGUAUUGCAAGUCAUCAUGUGUUAUAAUGUCUAACAUUAUAUUUUGCAAAUAUGGAAAUAUUAUUCAAGAAGCAGUCAAUAUCACAGAAAGCCGGGAAUCAGUAAAUGCUCCUUAUCAUGUCCAUUUACAUUAAAGAGCUGGAGUACUAAUGUGUUCAAAAAAAACUGACACGUGAGUCAUAAGUAACAUAACAUGUGCUAUACAUUGUUUACUGAAUGGUUUAUGGUUUAUUUGUAUAUAAUAAAAUUUCAAAUAUUGCUGAAGAUUUAUUUCGUGUAUAUCACUAGGGAUAUGAGUGGCCAUAAGCAUGUGAGACCUGCUAAGAAGAAGCUGACGAGUACGACCCAGUGAUUGGCUACCGUUGUUCAGUUGGUUGGGGAGAUCGUGGUAUUGCUAUGAGGAAGCACACAAUAUGUUUUGCAAUCAAAUGUUCUUUUGUGUGUGGAAUUAUGAGUAUUUAUGUAAGUUAGUGUACCCUUUAAUAUUUUUCACCUAAGUAUCGAAAUGCAGUUUUUGAAUGUUAUGUUUUUUUUUACCCGCUGCUUUCUAUUUGCUCUGUUCCAACAAAGUGCUUCAAGUAUCCUUCACUUACAAAAGUGUACAAAAUCGUGCCCCUAAUAACCAGUCGGAAAAAGUGGCUACUGCUGGAAAUGAUUACUGGUAAUGGAAACAACAGCUGGCUGCUGUAAUUGCUGCAUUACCGUGAGGAUUUGAAAAAUGAAUCUCUGUUAAAACAAAUUUCACCCUAAACUGCCCAUUUUACAUGGUAAAAGUCAUUGCUUCUUCAAAUCUUUUGCAGCUACACGAUGCGUGGUCAGAAUCUUUGACAUAUACGACUUCUGCCACUCUUGUUUCCCAAUUUUUUCUUUCGCUCACGUUGAACACAACUUUACAAGCAUCCUCUGUUUUGAGCUCUAGGAAACAUGCUGUACUUUGUAUUAGUUCUUGCUCAAACUUUUGAAACAUUGUCCUUGUGUACAAGGUAGCCAUUUGUUUGUUCAUUGGCAUCGGUAGAAGACAUUGAGCCACUUCAAAUGCAUCUGCGUGAUCAGCAACUAACUCUUUUUCACGUUGAUGAGAAAGUGCCCUCUCAAAUCGUAUUAUGAAAUCCAUCAACGAAUUUCUCCUUGAUAUGUAUUGCUUGAAAAAACCAUGAGAACCUUCCGCUCUUUGGCUGCUUGACAUUCCAGCGGCAAAAAAUUGUCGUGCGUAGGCUGGAACCCAAGAUUCCCUUAAAUCAAACAUUGAACUUAGCCAUGGAUGGUCAGUCAAACCAGCCUUUGUAACCACAAUAUUCCAUUUUGCAUCAAACUCAUCCUUAUUGUCAGUAUCCCAUAUGGCUUUCUGAAAUUCAGGCCAAUACUCCUUAUAAGCGUCACGUGGUAACUUAACAGAGAACUUUGAUGUGAUGUGCUAUAUGCAAAGUCGAUGAAAUGUACUCGGGAAGGCUAUUGAAAUCGCUAUGGCCAUUGCCGCAUCUUGAUCUGUAAUGAUCGUUUUAGGUUCCCCACCUGGCAUGGCUUUCUUAAACUCCUCAAACAUCCAAACAAACGACUCAGUCGUUUCCUUGCUCAAAAAUGUGCAUGCUAACACAAUUGUCUGACCAUGGUUAUUAACUCCCAACAUUGGUGCAAAUGUCAAGUCGUAUCGAUUCGUGUUGAAUGUGGUAUCAAAUACAACAACAUCUCCAUAAAACCCAUACGCCCGUCUAGAAGUUGCAUCUGCCCAAAAACAUCGACUAAACCUAUCAUGCCCAUCUCCCUCAAUCUUGAAAUAAAAAGCCUCAUUUUUUUUCUGUUCAGCCAUAAAAUACUCGGUCACUAGUUCAACAUCGUGGUUCCUCAGCUUCCCAAUCACACUACAUUCAAGAUUGUAGAUAUCUUUUUUGAUAAAACCGAUUUUAUCCAUUCCUCCGGAUUGCACCUCGAAAAUACUUACCUUCUGAUGAAUGGGAAUAUUAACUGAACCCAACUGUUUUGUGAGUACUUUUGUAGAAUCUGAAAUAUGACGGUGUGAUCUCAAUAAAUGCAUUCUUUCUAAGGGUGUCAUCUUAUGAUUGUGUCCCUCUGCAAAAAGAGAAAUGUUAUACUUGUUGCUCCCAUUUGUCUUCACAACCACAAUCUUUGCUUUGCAAUUGCAUCUACUUAUUCCCCGUUGUCUUUUUCUCUCCCGAGUUUCAUCCUUCCUGUAUGCACCUUGUUUGCAACAUACAAAUUCUUUCCUCAAAAUCUCUUUCUUAUUUUUCCCCCAAAAGCUAGAAUGAAGUCGAAUACCAAAGCCAGCCAAGAAUGCAUAUCUAUUAUAGAAAUUGUAAACGAGGUCAAGCGAGUCAAACUUCAUCCCAACUGCUGGUGUUUCCUCAUUUCUUACUUCAGGAAUAUAAACCCUCCCAUUAGCUGUUGCACAUUCAUCACUCUCUGAGCCCCCAGACAUUUUAUCUACGUAUAUUAUUGAUCCACUUCUAUAUUACUGCAUAGCAAUUAUUCAUUCAUUAAUCAGUCAUUACUGCAUCACAACAUAUCAAUGCAUUCCACUUACACAAAACAUUGCCCAAAUUGACACAAAAUACGCAUAGCCUAACUUCCGAUUACACAAAACACAAGCAAAAUUUCAUAAAAGUUACGUCAUCUCUUGUGAAAUAAUCUGGUCAAAAUAACAUUAGAACCAACAUGUUCAACUAAGAACACAAAUGUAAUUCAAACCACCAAUUACAGAACUUCACCCAAUAUCCUCUCCAACUGCUUACUCCUAAUGUCAUUAAGCCUAAGUUUAGGUUCUUUUACCUACAUUUCAUAAUUUUUCACCCCGACCAACAACAAUGAACUAAGUAUAUUGAAUAUUCACAAGGAAAUGACACAUUAUUGAUGCCACAAAUGACGAAUUUCCCACCCUCACAAAAAAUAAACCUAACCCAAUAAAAUCAAUCCAGCAAGUGAACUUACCUCUCAAAAUCAAUCGAGAGCUCUGAAGUCAGUCAGCUUGAAAGAAUGUGGUGGACAUUAGAGAAGACUCUUUGGUAUUUGAGACUCCAUCUCUAUCAAAAUCGAGGAACAACUGCUGCUGCGGCUUCUAGCUACAAAAACAGAUAUGCUACUUUGCUUUCAUCUAGAAUCUUGUCAGCUGAAUGAAAAAGAGAAGGGGUUUUCACUUGAGCCAUAGAAUCAAAACAGGGCAACAGCUAGGUAAGAGCCAUUCUUCGUAAUACCCAGGAUACCAUAGAUCGCAGGCCUCCCAACGAGCUAAUGACAGUGGAGUGACUAUAAGGUUUGGGAGAUUUGGAUCCUUCUAAUUGUGGGUUUGCUUUACAUUCAAAAAGAAAGGAUUGUGUUCUUCAGUUUUUCACAGAGAGGGAAAGAGGGGAACAACUGAAGUUGGGUUUCUAACGGGUUAGAUUUCAACCCGAUUCUACAUGCACCCUCUUUUAAAAACUCACCGUUGGAUGAAAUCCAACGGCUCUUACAUACCCCUCAAAAACACCCCUUAUAACUUCCCACUCACUAUAGAAGCUCCCCCAACUAAAUCCCAAAAGGGAAACAGAUUUGAACAACAUACAAAUUUGAAGGACACACAAAUAUGAAUCUCAGCACCGGUGAGAAAUUAAUUUUAGUUGAGGUUGGUAGGUAGGCAUUGGAAGUUUUUAUUGUUUUUGCUCCAAGUCCCUCCUCCACUCACUAAUACAGAUUACUCGCAAAUGAACUAAAGUCUGCAGGGAUAUAUGGACUCCCCUGUCCAUACGAAUGUUGGAAGAAAUGUGUGUUAAAUUUUAGAGAGACGGGUCUGUGACCCACCACUAGCAACGUUGAUAUUGUCUCCAACUUAACUACAUGUUUAGUAGAUGUGGGGUUUUAUACAAAAAGUAUUGAUGUUAUUGGGAAUGGAACCACUUAUUAUAAGUUAAAAUUUAUUUAGUCAAGUUUCCUAUGUGGGACUUUCUAUUCUUCAACAAGCCCCUUCAUGUGGGACCACCACAUAGUGGGCCACACGUAGAGCCAAGUCCACAUCGGAGUCAAUCAUUCAAGCCCAAUACCUAAACACCACGUAUUGUGUGAGGGGUAGGGGUAAACAUUCAAGCCCAACAUAUGAACACUGUAACAUCCCAACUCCAAAUUUAAUCCCUUAUUUAAAUUAUUUAAGUGAAAUUACAAAUUUACCCUUGGGGUAGGGAUAUUUUGGUCAUUUUCUUACCCGAAAAGAGUUUGGGGCAGUGACUAGUAUUUUUUGGUAGAUCGUACUGAGAUGAGUCUGUAGACAUGUAGUGGGCUCGAUUCGGAGUUGAAACGAAGAAGUUACGAGCAAAACAUCACCAAUGGCAAAACCGUAAAUAUUUCAAAAUGAAUUUUUAAUAAAAAAAACCUGAAAAACCCUCUCUCUCUCUCUCUCUCUCUCUCUCUCUCUCUCUCUCUCCUGCGCACAGCCCCUUUCCCCCCUUCGUUUUUUCUUUCCGUGGCUUCCAAGAGCCACCAUCGCCACCACGAAUCACCACCGGCCAUGAGGCCGGACUCGUUCGAACUGCCGCCGCAUCCUCUUCCUGUUCCGGUCGCUCCCAGUCGCUGCCAUCCGCUGUGCUGGCCGGAAAUCGAAGAAAACCAGCCGAUUUUUGUCAAACUUUCGGCCGCUCGUUCUCCCACUUCCGGCCACCAUUUUGGCCAUCCAGGUAUAGAUUUUGAACCUCUCGAGCUGUUCUUGCUGCCUGUUGUGUUAGAUUUGGGAGAUUUCCGCGUUUUGAAGGUCGAUUAAACGAUGGAAGUUUGGCUGGUUUUUGGCCUCCGAUUCCGGCCACUUUCGGUCACUUUUUGGGGUAGGUCCAAGAACAAAAGUGGUUCCAAAUAGGGUGUUAUACCUAGGGUAGGAGUCUUGAGCCGUGGUUUUGAGAUUUCUCGGUGAUGCGUAAUCGCUUUGGACACCCAUACGCUACCGGCGCGUGUGGUGGCGCGUGGGCACUGUAGAAAUGGGGUAUUGUGUCCCGAUGCGAUCCCCUUGUUGUCACGAGUGUGUAGUGUGCUCGGAUUCCAAUUUGGUUGACAUUCGAACCCCGAACGAAUUUCUCCUAUUGCACGUUAUCCGCGUUUGAUAGGUUUGAACCGUUGGAUAGUCUUGAAUUUAAUAUAUUUAAUCUAAGCAUUUCUAGGAUCGUGUAGGAAUUCACGGAUCAUGAAUCGGAACCCCGGAUGUUCCGAUUUAAUAAUUUAAAGUUUAUGUUUAUAUUAACUGUCAGAUCGUGCAAUCGUGAGCGAUCCGACCUUCCGAUCCGGACCAAACGUGCAGGACGUAUAUCCUAAACCUUGUGGAACCUAUAGGAACUUUCGAAUCAGAAUUUAGAGGUCGUGGGCCUAGUGGCCCCGUUUGACCAAGUGUGGAUAGUUUGACCCUUGGUUGACCUUGAGUCUUCCAAGGUAGUUUUCCUUCCUAGAAGGAUUAUAAUGACCCUAAUGACAGGUCUUGAGCGUUGUUGAGCCAUGUUGACUAGGUUAAGAUUUUUAGAGUGUUUAUUAUUGUCGUAGGAAACUCUUGGACAUUAUUUUAAUAAUUGGAAUUAUAAAAGUGAGUUUUGGGUUCGGCUAUGACUUUAGUGAAUGGACUUUAUUUUUAAAUGAAUAGCAUGGCUUUGUGAUGGAAUUUUUAGGCAUGUGAAUUUAAUGGUUUAUUGAAAUUCAUUUUUAUAAUUAAUAGUUAAUUUAGCAGUUUUGGUAAAGUAUUAGUGAUGUGUGGGGUACUUGGGAUUUUGUUGAGGUUUAUACAAUAUUAGAGAUUAACUUAUAUAUUUAAAUAUAGGUAUGAAUGUAUGAAAAGAGUUUAGAAUGUCAGUUUGAAGUACUAUACGCACUACCCUAGGUACCUCAUCGGAUUUUGAUUACACUAUAAGUACCACCCUGUGAUUGUCAGGUCACCCAUGGCGUAGGAUUUUCCGGCGGAAUGACAGACCCCAUACGUGACGUUGGAAUUUCCGGCGUAUGGGGAGAUGAUAUUAUGAUUGUUAAGUCACACGUGGCAUAGGUUAUCCGGAGUGCUGACAGACCCCAUAUGUGGCGUUGGAAUUUCCGGCAUAUGAGGAGAUUAUGUGAUUGUUAAGUCCCACGUGGCGUAGGUUAUCCGGCGGGAUGAUAGACCCCAUACGUGGGGUUGGAAUUUUCGGUGUAUGGGGAGAUGAUAUAAUGGUUAGGUCACAUGUGGCGUAGGAUUUUCCGGCUUGAUGACAGACCCCAUACGUGGCAUUGGAAUUUCUGGCAUAUGGGAGAUUAUGUGGUUAUUAGAGAGAUGAAUUAAGAUUAUUAUACUGAGUUGGGAACGAAUGAUGUUUGAAAAAGAUUUUGUUUGGGAUUUCUGCAAUUGAUUGCAUGUUGAUGGACUUGGAAAUUUUGUAUGAAAGAACUACGUGUGGCUUGAUCCCUUAGUAAGGGUACAUAUGCAGCUUAGGGUAGUGCCUAGGUGCAGCCGUGUGCUAAACUUUACUCAUGUUGUGUGAUGGAGAUUCGUUCGGACCUUGUUGUUAGUCCUGAAUUUUAGGUGAAAAUGAGAUGCAGUCUUGUUAGGAGGUUUAAAUUUUCUACGUUUAAUAUUUGGGAAUUUAGAUGAUGGAAAUCGCAUUUGGCGUUCAUAAAUGUGUUUGAGUUUAUAUUUGCAUUGUUUAGAGUUAGUUGGUGGUUUCGUUUCGAAUUAUUUGAAGGCCGAAGGCUGAUUAUGUGAUUUAUAUGAAAUUAUCUUGUGCAUACUGCCAGUUGUGAAUAUCAAAUGUGUUUUAUGCACGUUGAAAUUUUUAGGAUUGUUCAACUUACAGGGGAGACUGCCGAAAUUUCGGCAUAAAAUCUCGUGCCCUUAUUCCUUAUUGGGAAAAAUGAUUUAGUUUUAGAAGUGGGUUCGACAUCGGGGUGAUGUCGGGAAUUUUCACAGGAUUCAUCUCGGGUUUCGGGAAAUUCGGGUCGGGUCCUGUCAAACACCACGUAUUAGGUAAGGGUAAAGGCUCAAUUCAGGCCCAGUCAAUCAACCCAUUAUGAUAUCAUGUUAAAUUUCAGAUAGACGGGCCUGUGGCCCACCACUAGUAACAUUGAUAUUGUCCCCAACUUAACUACAUGUUUAGUAGGUGUGGAGUUCUAUACAAAAGAUCUCGAUGUUUUUAGGAGUGAAACCACUUAUUAUAAGUUGUAAUUUAUUUAGUCAAGUUUCCAGUCAACCUGACUUUGAUACCAUGUUAAGAUUUUAAAGGGACGAACUCUUGGCCCACCAUUAGCAAUAUCGACAUUGUCCCCAACUUAACCACCUGUUUAACAAGUGUGGGGUUUUAUCCUAAAGAACUCGAUCUUAUUAAGAGUGGAGCCAUUUAUUAUAUGAAACUUUCUAUUUUGUUAACUCUGUGUAUUCUUCAUCAAUGUGAACACCCCUAAACCAAUCAUACCUGAUACGGAUUGAAACACAAGUUUGUUUUUUGCCUUUGGUAGAUGAGUAGCUAGAAAAGCUCAAUGCACUUGCUCUUCUUCUGCUACAUUUCAAUAUAAGAACAAGGUUUGGAAGCCAGGUCAACUCCUCAUAGUUUCCUUGCCUUUGCUUUGACAUGUCUAUGCACUUCUUGGGGAAGUUUGAAUAAUCAAUUGCAGGCCCCACGACAACUAAGGAACCAACAUUUUGUAGAAGGUUUUGUCUACACCUUUUGACUAUAAGUAAAAUCUUUUGUAUCUGCUCUUAUGUUUCGGUGAAGUUUCUAUGUGUCCUUUGUUGAACGAAAAAAUGAGGUUGUUUCUUACUAGAUUCAAAUACUUAAAAGAAAAAAAGAAAUUAUUGUUUCUUAAUUGAUUUUAUGGUGAACAAUAUCAAACUCUCCUCUUAUACGUCUUCUUCGUUGGACUUGGGGUUGUUUUCCUUAUAUGUCCCUUAUAUAUAUAGGGCCUUUGGUUGAGCCCACAAAUACCUUCAGUUAGUUUUUGGGUUUAGGGGCCUACAGAACCUGCACUAAACAAUAAAAGAAAAUACCUAAUUAGUUUAGUACGAAUUCUAUAAUGAAGGCUUUAUUAGGUAAGAUUUUAUUUCUUAAUCGUUAGAUCAAAUUUGACAGGACCCGUUCCUGAAUUUCUCGGAAAUCAGAGCGAACCCCGUCCUUGUUUCGACAUCACCCCGAUGCAGGGUCCACUUACUAAAAACCGAGACUUUCUACCAAAAUUUUGAUAGAAUCUCCCUUGUAAAUUGAGCAAACCCAACAAAAAUUUCAGCCUGCAACAUACAUAAAAAUAAUCCCAACCAGCAGCAUGCUUACAACAUACAACAAAACGUACUAAAUGGCCUCCGGCCUCACAAGUAAAAUUUAACAUGGGUAAUCUACUGAUGUAAACGAUUCGGCCUUCGAACACUGCUUGCAACCUUCCUGAAGCGACUACUGGCUAAGGGGCGCAAAACAGAAAACAUGUGAGUGGACAAAAACAAGAUUCAAUUAAAACAACAUAGUAACCCCACCGUGUAAAAAUAAUGCUCAAGACAUGUAGGUUUACAAUUCAUAAUUAAAUAUUCAAAAACAAAUUUCAUUUAAAAUUCUUUAAAACCACAAAUCACUCCAUCCAUAAAACCUCAUGCCCACAAUUUUACUGCUCCUACCAACCCACUGUAUAGACUCUAAUUUCUUCACAAUCACAACUAUAUAUAAAUAUAUAAAUUGUAUCAUACAACAUACUCCUCACACUACUUAGGUACAGGGGAAACAAUCCAACCGGAGGAUCGUUUAACUAGCCCGCAGGAUUUUCAGGUGCUAUCCUGAGUCUAGGAAUGAGUGGUCCAACCAGGGGACGAAACUCUAUAGCUCACACACCGGAACAUCCAACGCCACGUGUAGCUCCAAUACUAAGUCCUACAGGCACAGACUGGAUCACCACACACCGGAACAUCCAAUGCCAUAUGUGAUAAUCCCAAGCAAUAUACAGAGUCUUCCCAUACGUCGGAACAUCCAACGCCGCGUAUGGAAAGUGUUCACACGCCGGAACAUCCAACGCCACGUGUGGGAAGCCUAUUAACUGGGGAAAGUACUUACAUAGUGUAAUCAUACAAUUUCUCUCAACAACUCCUCAUACUCAAGUUCUUCCACAAACUCACCUCAACAAUCCCAAGUACCCCACCUAUAGACAAUAUAUAUAUAACUUCCCCAAAAUCUAUACAAAACAUACUCUCGAUAUCCAAAUAUGCCAAACUCACAAUAUAUUGCCAAAGUGCAAUACAAACAUCAAAAUCAACACAUGAAUAUAAUAUAUAUUCAAUAUACCAUUUAAAACAUUAUGCGUAAAUCUUUCAUCAAUAAAACCAUGCGUAUGAUUGAAAACAAAGUCCACUCACAAGUAUUCCUACGCUGCUUGACCACGAGAGAGUCCUGCCUGCUGAGUACGUGCAGUAGGAGCACCUAUUUUGAGAUACAAACCUUUAAUUAAUAUAAAAUUACUUCAAAACGGAAAACACAAAUUAAAUACUUAAAUCCCCAAGUUCCCAGUACAUGUACGUUGAACGAGGUAUCCUAAGGUCUAGUUACAAGUUUGGGAAUCGCUCACGAUUGGACGGUUAUCGCUAACCCACAAAUUUUGAAUUAUUGAAUCGGAACAUUCGGGGCUCCGAUUCACGAUCCGUGAAGUCCUACGUGAUCCUAGGAAUACCUAAAACAACAUAUUUUAAUUGGAAAACGCACAAUAUGCGAAAAUCCGUUCGAUAGUCAAACGAUGUCCGAAUUGAGAUUCGCAAAAUGCUACGCACUCGUGACAACCUGAGGAUCUCAUCAGGACAAAGUGCAACUUCACCACCCUCACCCACGCGCCGGCAGCGCGUGGGUGUGUAGAGUAAAUUCCGGCGAUGGAAAAACUCCACACCUACUUGAGGUCAGGAUCUCAUCACUCAACUACAGGGAGGUUCAAUUAGGACGGCAACUGGCCGGAAUUUCACUUUGAAAUCCAGCCAAAACUUAGGUUUUCUAAUCGGUUCCUAGACAACAAAUCGAUCUAAACCUAUGCAACAGUCAGCUAGACUAAGGAAAAAGAGGAAGAAACCUCACAUUUUUCACUGGAAUCGGAAGGGAGAGGCGACGGGGCGACGUCGGGAAGACUCGGGUUUGAACCAGUCGAUGCCGUUGACGAUUCUCGCAUUUUUCGGGGGGACUUUGGGUGGUUCGGGUUAGUGGCUUCACGACGAGUCGAACGGGACCGGUCUCGGGGGCUGGGGUGGUCGGGUGUGGUGGCGGUGUGGUGGUUUUCGUCUCGGUGAACAGUAACAGGGGAGGGUUUCGCACGCGCAGAGAGGGACUCGGGAGAGAGAGAGAGAGAGAGAGAGAGAGAGAGAGAGAGAGGAGAGAAAAGAAAAAUUAGAUUUUUACUCUCCUCUUUUCAAAAUAUUUACAAGUUUGCCACUAAUGAUGUUUUGAUCGCCAUUUUCUUGUUACAACUCCGAUUCAAGCCUACCGCAUGUCUAGGAAUUCAUCUCAGUACCACCUACCCAAAAUUACCAGUCAUGGUCCCAAACUCUUCCCGUAACAGAAAAUGACUAAAAUACCCCUACCCCAAGGGUAAAUUCAUAAUUUCACUUAAAUAAAUUAAAAAUAGGAAUCAAAUUUGGAGUCGGGGUGUUACAAAAUUGGUUAGUACGAUCCAACGGUUAAUAGAUAAAACUUUACAUAAAAGUCAUAUAUAAGGCCCUCACUAUAGAAUGACUCGUUAGUUUAGUCUCUUGUUACAUAUCAACUGUUAGAGAUAUUUUUUUAAUAAGGAUCUACCAUACCACAUAGUUGGAUAAGACAUUAUACACAACUUUUGUAAGAGCAUCUCCAGCGAGCCAGGCCAGCCCAAGCAGCAAGGGGCCUUAAGCCCGGUAAGCAGCUCCAGCGCUCAAGAUUCAGCCCAGGCAAGGUGUGGAACCCACAAGGAGAUCUGGCCCGUCACCUUGCCUUUGGGUUUCAGUCAGGCUGAUGUCAACGAAAGAAUUUCAAAAAAAUUUUGCCGUUGCAAUGCACGCGCCAACGAUAAAUUUUCUUUGGAUUUCUUGCGUUGAUCCACAGCUACCAAAAACCAACGGCUACAAGCCACGUGGCUUCUCCAAGAGCCUCUGAUCCAAAAAUCUUGUCAAAUCUAACGGCUGUCCAUUUUUUGGCUAAAAAAAUAUCAAAAAAUUAUGGAAACAUUUUCUAUAAAUACCUACAAAUAUUAUUCACUUCCCACACCAAACCUUCAUACAAAUUCAUAUCCUUUCAAUAUUUUUCACUUUCCACACAAGAUUUUCUACUACUAAAUUUCAUUUGUGUAAAAAUACAAGUGGCCUCUUCUAUCAAAGCCGGAGGCGCGUGGACAACCGUGGAAGAUAUUUUGUUGUGUGAGUGUUGGGUCAAAGUUGGUCAUUGCCCGAUCACCGGCAAUGAGAUGAAGUCCUCUCGUAGGAGUUUCUGACAUCGCAGCGAAAGUAAGAUGUGAUAUGAGAAUGUAAGGAAUUUGAUGAGAGGAAUGGGAUUUGAGGAGUUUGAUGUAGGAAUUGAUGUUGAAUUGGAUUUGGGAGGUAUGUAUAUAUGAUUUGAGAGUAUGUGUUUAGGGAUUUUGAUAGGAGGAUUUGAGGAAUUUAGAUUUGAGGGAUUUGGAUUUGGGGAAUUUAAAUAUGAGGAAUUGAUUUAGGGUUUGGGUUUGAAUAUGAGAAAUUUGAUAUGAGAGUUUAGAGACAACUGAUGAUUGAUUGCUCUAAUACCAUGCUAAAAUAUAAAUAUGGUUUGAAUACUUUAGGUUGAGUUUUAUUCUUUUCCAUAAGGAGGUAUAUAUAGCAGUUUACAUGAGUGUUUUACAAGGAAAUAGAUACAGUAAUCAAUUAGGAUAAUAUCUCCUAAUUAUACAAUAAUUUGUCAACUAUAUAGAAUAGGAAAGUAAAUUCCUUAAUUAAUCAAGAAAAUAAAUCUCAUUGAUUAAUUAAGAGACUAACGUCAACAUUUAUAAGCCAUGGAAGAGCAGAAAAAGAGGUACUUAGGAGAUUUUAUACGUCGGACUAAGGUAAGCUUAAAGGACUAUAUCAAAAAAAUAAGGGACCAAGAAGCAAGACUGAGAAGUUGUUAUGCAAACCCAUUAAGUUUAGCAGUGAUGAAUUUGUAAAAAUCAUUCUAGUGGAUGCUGCCUUCACUAUUGAGUUCUUAUUGAGGUUCUAUCUGAAAGGAUGUAGACAUGAAGGAGACCGCUUAUUAAACAAAUCAGCUCCCAUUCUUUAUUCUUGAGGAUCUUUAUCACACAUACAUAAUAACCGACUCUUUUAGGAAUUAUUACAGUACUCAUGAUCAUGAGAGGCUUUCAAUAAUUAAUAUUUCUAAGAAUUUCGUCACAGCUGGAAUAUUGAAUUUGGAGGGGAAGGGAGACAAAUGGAACAGAAUAUCAUCUUCUUCUAGUGUUGGAAAUUUUAUAUUAUUUAAUAAUAUUUAAUUUCUAUUGUGAAUGAAAAAUAAGUUUCUUUAAGAAACGUGUGUCUUAGGCCAGUUUUUCUAACUGGUCGGCUUCCUUAGAUUUGUGCCUAUUGCUUUUCAAAGUAUAAUGAUGCAAUGGUUGUAUCUCGUUCAGGCAAAUGGAAGGUAUAUAGCAAUUUAUAGAACAAUACAGUAAUCCAGAAGAAAUAUUAUGAAAUGAAAAGAAUAAAAAGUAAAAAAAGAGAAGGAAAGGAAUUCCCACCUGCAAUGUAUAUGUAUGAAAGGAAGGACCAAGUUUGUUUUAAAAUGGUAAGAACAAGUUGAUUUAUAAUUGGGUUCAGAUCAACUCAUGGAUUUCUUGCCUUUUCUAUUCUCCUUCCUUGGACAUGAACUGUUUAAUCUUGGCUCUUCCCCAUCAUGUUGGGCCUAUCUUCUUCUUGAGGAUUGUAUAGGCCCAGGAAAUGCUUCAAGAUAGUUUUUGUGUUUUGGGCAUUGGGACCUAACUUCACAAAAAGAAAACAGAUUUGGCCAAAAAACAAAUUUGAAGGACAUUGAAAUUGUACCUGUAGGAUAGGUUAAAACACUGUAAGGGAGGUAAAUAGUACGUUUACAUAGUUUAAGUGUAAUAAAGGAAUAAAAACAUGCCCAGAGGAUUGAUAAGUGAUAUCAAUUCUUGAAUAUAGAGAACGUAAAAUAAAGGAACACGUAUAAAAUUAUUUUAUGUGGUAAAACCCCAUCUCUAGGGAAAAUCCACGGGACUUCUUAGUCCAAAACAAAUCUAUUAUAGAACGAUGAUUACAAGAAGUACUCACACACUUAUCCUAGACACAUUCUAGAUAAUGUUUACUGACCUCUUCGUAACUCAACUUCUGUCACAGGAUGAUCUUUCGACACUUCUUAUGUUGAACGCAAUACUAGUCACGAUUUCUUUCAAGCUCAUUGGAGAAAAACCGCCACAACAGUCUCGGUGCCCUCAAUCUUAUGAGUCACUGAACAUGCAAAUGAAUACAAUAUGAAUGAUAAAAGUGUUUGAUAAAUCACCAAGUUAUGGAACACUUGAUGAUUUAUUUCAAGUAAAAAUUCAGCUUUCCAAAGUUUAUGAAUUGAAAAUAUGAUCGUUAAAGCUCUCUAAACAAAAAAAACGAAGGUCUUAUUUUAUAGACUUUUUCUUUACAAGAAAGAAAACACGUUGAAAACCAAAUCUCCAAUUUCAAGGCUUGACAGAAAAUCACAAAAGUAUCUUUCCUAUUCUAGAGAUUGGUCACAUGAAGUCCAACCAAUAGGAAAUGAGAUAUUUAAGAAAGGAAGAUUUUGAUCAAUAUCAAUAUCAAAUGAAUUCUUAUAUGCCUAGUCAACUAUUAAGGGUAUCUUAACUACUUGAUAUUAUGAUAUGAUUGAAACAUGAUUUCCACGUUAGAAAAUUAAGGGGAUUUUAAAACAUGAAAGUAAUAGGAGAAUCAAAUUGAUUUGGACCAAAAUUGCCUAAAAAGAAAACACUCCUAAAUAAACUUCAAUUCACUUUUAAAAACAGUAAAACUUGAUUGAAUCGUUCUUUAAAACAAUUCCCUAAUAUACAUGCAUGAUAGUGACAUCACUUACCUCUGAAUCAGAUGCCUUUUACGAGUCAAGCCACAAGUUUGUGUUUUGGGGAUUGCUGAGCUGCAUCAAUCCUGCCAAUGUCAAUUCUGCCCCUAGGCUCUCUCAAAGCACGUUUACAAUCUAUGCUAAUAUAUACUAGAGUUUAUGCUAGUAUCUAGAAAAUGCCAACACUAAUUUCGUAACACGUAGAAAUUGUUAGAGAUUGGAAGUUUUUUUCAUUUUUUUCUUCCAGACUCUCCACCACUCACUAAUACAGUUUACUCAUGUGAUGAAUUUACAAAACCUAUUUCUCUACUCUCACAAAGACUAUACUUAGGGGGGGUGUAUUCAAUUAGGAGUCUAGAGCGUUUAAAAAGAUUUUGUUUAAGUGCCAGCUUUCAUAGAACUUGAUGGAACUUUAUAAUUCGUAUAGAACUUGAUAGACUUUCAGAAGACUUCUGUAUAAUUUGUUAAUAAAACUUUCUUAAGCUUUCAUAGAACUUGAUAGGCUUUUAUUCCAGAAUUAUGUAGACAGUAUAUUUCAUUUUAUCCCCAUCCUUGUCAUUUAAAGAAAGAAACUUGAAUGUUUUCAAUCAAAUUUGUUUUUGUUACCAAAGCAAAAACAAAAAGUACUUGUUUGCGAAGGAAGAACAUAUGCACAGUUCAAAAUGAAAAGAAUAAGAAGCAAAGUACCUAUUGGACCAAUGAAUGCUGUGUCAACUAGAGAAGCAAUUGGAUCGGCUGUCAAAGCCAAUGCUACAGGCAAUGCAUCGAUGGUCCAAAUUGCAAUAAAAAAUAUUUUGUAUAAUGGUUCUUGCAGACAAAGACCACAUAAAUUCUGGACUGGUCCAGCUUGAAUAAUAAGGUUAGAUUAGCCGAUGGAUGAGAGUAAAAGCAAAGAAAGUUGAUGAAUUCAUCACCAAUUAUUUAAUAACUGUAACAUCCCACAUUGACCAACGGAGAGGGGGUGAUGUGCCUUAUAUGUACAUGCCCACUUCCAUCUAGCAUGAGUCCUUUUGAGAGCUCACUGGCUUCGGAGUCAUGGGAACUCUGAAGUUAAGCGAGUUGGGGCUAAAGCAAUCCCAGGAUGGGUGACCCACUGGGAAGUUGCUCAUGAGCUUUAGAAACAAAAAUCAUGAGGGCAUAAAGGGAGGCCCAAAUUGGAUAAUAUCGUGCUACGGCGGAGCCGAUCCCAGGAUGUGACAAUAACCAAUAGAGUAUUUAAACAUAAACAACAAUGUUUGAUAAACAAAACAAAUAGUCCAAAUAUUAUCCAAAAAACAAUUCUAAAACCAAUCAUUCCAAACAAACUAGUCAUUCCCAAAAACUCUCAAAAAACCCACUCAUUCCAAAUUAUAGGAUAUCCAAUUUGAGCGCUCCUCAGGAGACAUUUUCAAAAAUGCAUCCUUUUUUGUGUUACUAUGCAACAAAGAGAGCGCUUUAUAAUGAGCACGUUCAUCCAAAUUUGAGGUCUCCUUAAUGGCAUCCCACAUAUAACUCUGCUGCUCUCGCUCUUUUCCCCUUUUUGCCAAUAGGUUAUGGACCUCCCGGAAGUCGGUGACAAUUGAAUCAAUGCUAAGGCUAAUUCUUCCCAUAGCUUGUUGGGUGGUCACAUUUGAGAUGGCAUUCCCUUCCAAAUCUAUUCUAGUUCGUUUCCUCUAGUAACAAGCAUAAAUCCUAGUAACAAGCAUAAACCCUAAUCCCAACCUAUAACCUAAUAACAAGAAAAACACGAUGAAAAAAAAAUCAUGGAAAAAGAAAACCCAACGAGGUAUUGAUCAAAAAAAAAAAUAGGGAGCAUACCUUCACAGAUGGAGGAAGGAAGCUGUUUGUCUUCACAGAGAGAAAAGCUAGGGAAAGAGAAAAACGUCUGAUGAAAUACUUUGGGGGGAGGUUGGAUUUCUUUUGGUCUUUGAUAUUUAUAACUCUCCCCUUAAAACCUACAAAAAUUUAUCACUUAAUGAAAUCCUUCCAAAUAUAUGACCUUUCGAAUACACCUAGAUUUGAUUCAACUUUUUUAUAAUCCUAAUUGAAUACACCCAUAUUUGAGUGGACUUUUUAAAAGUUCAUAUAAGUCCGAAUUGAAUACACCCAGACUUGUAAAACCUCUUUUAAAGUUUGUAUAAAUCCAAAUUGAAUACACCCGGAUUUUUAAAAUAUUUUUUAAACGCUUUAUAAUCCUAAUUGGUACAUCCCCCUUAUUCUCAAAAGACUAUAUCACUUUACCUCUAUCUCUGUGAAAUGUAAAAAGUUGAAACUUUAAUGUCAAACCUCGACAAAAGAUGAACUUCCAUCAGUUGCGUUGAAUUUGGAUUUGUUGAACUAAAGUGGUUUUACUUUCUCUGUCAGUGUUUGAUGACUUAAUUUGGUAUUUACUUCUUUUUUUCCUUGGAAAUGUGUUCCACCAACGUGAGGAAGAAAAAUGUGCACAAAUUAAUAUAUUUAAUAAAAGCCCAAGAUUUCGGAAGCACAUAAUUUCUACAAAAAUCUAGAAAGUGUUCUACUUUACAAACUUCUUAUGUCUAUCAAUUUCUACUAAAAUUAAUUUCUCUGUGGUGCUCAGAUUCAUCAUAUGUGUGUCCUUAAUUUUAUUGGAAAUUAGAAGUUUCCAUAAUUUUUAUUUUUUGGGAAUUUUCUGAACCAAGAAAAAUCAAGUAAAAUUAAUAAAGCUUAAAUUGGAAAGGGAAAAUAUCUAGAGGACGCAUUGUAGGAUUUCUCAUGCCGAUAAUUGUACCCUCUAAAUAUAUAGGGACAUAUUUUUUUUGUUUUCAUGACAUGUGGUCCUAAAAUUAUUGUUCCUAGCGGGCUCUCCACCCCCUCUCAAAUUUACGUGGUCCAUUAUGAUUAACCAUAUAUUUUAUUGACCAUCCAGCUGUGAGGUUUUAUCCCAAAAACCUUAGGUACAUUUCUCAAUUAUGUCUGAUACAUCACAUCAUGCCACAAUUGUAUAUUCACAAUUAUGUCUGAUACAUCACAUCAUGCCACUUGCCUCAAAUGAAUUUAAGUGAGUGUGGCAGUGGGAAGUAAUUACUUCUAGGUGCCCCUCAUCAUUCGUCUAUAAAAUGGUGAAGCCAGUGGCUAUAAGAGCCAGCUCCAACUUUCUUUUAUUCGUCUAUAAAAUGGUGAAGCCAGUUGCCAAGUUAAUUUCAGUCCUAAUGGGGUUUCAUCUCCCACUCAUCUUUGCUAUUCUCAGUGUAAGCUCUGCAAUUUGAUUAACUUUUCCAUUCUCUCUCAUUGUACUCUAUAUAAACGAAAGUUUUGUGUUCCUAUAAUUCUCUUUGAUUUUAUUUAGUACGUACUUAAGUGUCGUCCACUAAUUAAUUACAGUUUGUGAGAUUUGAUUUUAAUUAGAGUUCGAAUUAAUGUUGCAGCUAGCAGUGGUUGCACUGGCAAACCAUGCUGCUCAACCAGCACCUCAACUUUACUGGAACUCCGUCCUGCCAAACACACAAAUGCCAAGAUCUAUCAGUGAACUUCUGCAUCCUGGUUUGUGUUGAGCUCUUUAGAAUCUUAGAUAUCUCUUCUACCUGCCAUUUUACUAAAAUAUGUUCGACCACAUAUUUAUCAGUUAACUACUGUCAUUACAUGAGUGACACUUAUUCACAAAUCGGCUGAUCACUUAUUUUCCAUUUUACAUGAGUGAUAUAUAAUUUGCAGACUCCACAAAUGAAGAAAAUAUCGUGAAUGCUGUUGGGAAUGGAAAGCGCAAACCUGAAAUUUUCCCAUUGAGAAAUAUAAAUUACGUUCAAAGCCAUUAUGGAGUGUUAAAUAGAAAUUACGUUCAAAGCCAUUAUAAAAAACGUCCUCCUCCACCUGAAAAUAUCCCAUUUGCAAAUCGAAAAAAGUACGCACUAGGUUCUCCUCCAUCUGACAAUCAACUACUCCAUUAUAAAGAGUUAGCUAUUUUCUUCUUCGAGAAGGACAUGCGCCCUGGCGCAACAAUGAAGUUCCAAUUCCCUAGAAAUUCAAACACGGCUACUUUCCUGCCACGCGAAAGUGCUCAAUCGAUCCCCUUCUCCUCUAACAAACUACCAGAAAUUUUCAACCAUUUUUCAGUGAAGCCAACAUCUGUGGAAGCCAAAACAAUUAAGCAAACAAUCGAAGAGUGUGAAGCUCCAGGCACUAAGGGAGAGGAAAAAUAUUGCGCCACAUCUUUAGAAUCAAUGGUUGAUUUUAGCACUUCGAAGCUUGGAACAAGAAACGUUGAAGCAGUCUCGACGGAGGUAUUGGAAAAAGGAGCCACCAUGUCCAUGCACAACUAUACAACAAUGCCGGGACUGAAGAAGUUGGCAGGUGACAAAGUCGUUGUGUGUCAUAAGGAGAACUAUCCCUAUGCUGUGUUUUUCUGCCAUGCAAUAAAACAAACAGCAGCUUAUGUUCUCUCCCUGAAAGGCGAUGAUGGGGAGAAGGUUAAAGCAGUAACCAUCUGCCAUCUAGACACAUCAGAAUGGAACCCAGAGCAUUUGUCCUUCCAAAUCCUCAACGUUAAGCCCGGAACCGUUCCCAUCUGCCAUUUCAUUUCCACUGAUGCUAUUGCCUGGGUUCCAAAACACAAAUUUGCAUGAUCAUCACUUAGCACUGUGGUGUAAGAUAUAUGAUGAGAUAAAGUUUUUGGUAUUAGUGGUCGGGUUGCCUGAAAAACACAGAUUACAGAAACUGCUUGAAAUUAACCCGAUCAUGUUUUCUCUUGUAAGACUUCAACUUGUACUCCUAAAGCAAGUUAUAUUUAUGAAGAGAUAUUAAUCUAUAUAUAUUUUAUGUAUAUAUAUAUAUAUAUAUAUAUGCUUUGGCUUUGUGGUUCUACCCAGUGUUUG